rnacentral:lncRNA from 1 species
UUUUUUUUUUUUUUAUUGGGUCCCUUCACAUGUUUGUGGGGCGCAAUUUGUAAGAUAAGUGUGUCAUGUAAUAUUUGAUCUCACUAUAAUUCAAAUUUAUAGUGAAGAUUACAAGUUCCUUGAGAUAAUUACCUCUACAUGAUUUUAGGUUUACUUCAUUUUUAAUUGGCUAAUAUAUUUUGGAUGUCGUCGCAUAAAAUUAUUGCCAAAAUUAUCUGCAAUUAUUUCAAGUACUUUGGUUAUGUAUAUUUUCUUCCUAAUAUUGACUAAAAUGCUUUCUUAGCUCUCUCAUAAUCAUAGAAGGAAUUUAGACAAGCAAUAUGUACACAAAUUUGCAGCAGUCUUCUUUAAAUUACAACCUUCAGUGACACAUUUGUAAGAGAAAUAAAUAAAAUAGCAUUCUGACUAUAUUUACCUUAGAAGAACCCAAAAUCUCACACGAGAUCACUAUACAAAAAAGAGAAAUAAAAUAGCAUUCUAAUCAUAUUUACUUCAAAAAGGAUCUAUCUCAUACGAGAUCACUAUACAAGUAAUGAAGAAAUAUUCAGAAGUUCAGUUGGUUGUUGUCACGUUGACCAACCGAAAGCAUGGGAGGGAAAAAAAAACAAAGAAUUUACAUGUUUCAAAUCUAAAACAUAUCAUAGUUUUCAUAGAUUCAAGAAAGUGAAAUGCCUCAUAAUUUCACGCCUCCACGGUUCCCUUCCUCUCCUCCUCUUCAGCUUUUAGCCAGGCAGCCUAUAAGGGAAACACGAGAAAAGUCAUGAGAAGUAGAAAAAGAACAACAAUAUAAGAUGAUCUAGGAUAAAGAUAAUACACUUGCCUUGUCUCUCUGAAGUCUAGACAUAUGAGGACGCAAAGAGUUCCCAAGACUUAAGCCUCCCCAAGCUUCUUGCAACUCCCUCUCCCUUGUAGCUUUCCGAGAAGUUGAAUCUCUUAUCUGAUAAUCAUCCUCGGGCUGACUAGCAGCCAUCUUUUCUCUCUCAAGUCUAGACUUGUGUUUCACCAAAAUCUGAUCCAAACUGGCUUUCCCAAGACUUAAGCCUCCCCAAGCUUCUUGCAACUCCCUCUCCCUUGUCGCUUUCCGAGAAAUUGAAUGUCUUAUCUGAUCAUCGUCCCCGGGCUGACUAGCAGCCAUCUUUUCUCUCUCAAGUCUAGACUUGUGUUUCACCAAAAUCUGAUCCAAACUGCCUUCACUGUGCUGCAAUUGUUUAGCACUUGUGUCCCUUUUCUUUACAUUCAUCAAAUUGUCUUCUUCCUUUGCAUGAAAGGACAUUUUCUCUUUUUCAAGCUUUGAAACAUGCUUCACUAAAAUCUUAUCCAAACCUUCGCUAUCCGUGGCACUAUUAGCUUCAAACUUUCUUUGAGUCCUUUGGAAACGGCAAACUGGCUUUACUAUAAUAUUGUCCAGACUAUCCGGUGAUUCUUUGUUUUCAACCUCGAUUGAUAAUGUGUCUGCUGACUUUGACGGAUGUUCUCCGUUACAAGAAUUUCCUACCGUACUUGUAUCAUGAUUUACAUUCUGGUCAACAUUUUCUUUUCCUACCAGCGAGGUAGUCUCGGACACAUUUGCAGUCGAGUCUGCAGUGUUCUCCCUACUUUUUGCUUCUUGAACUUCCCUUUCAAGUCUGGUCAUAGGUUUCACCAGAUAAUCUUCUAAACUGGGAACUUCUAUUUCAUGUUUCUUUUUUUGACCAGUUGCAACAGUUCCCAAUCUUUUCGAGUUCUUACCCUCAAUUUCACCAAGUUUUUCAUUCUUCCUCUUGGCCUCUUCAAUAUCUUUCUCAAGCUUCGAGGAGUGCUUAACCAGCACGCUGCUCAAGUCAGGAAGCUCAGAUGAAAGCACAUUGCUAUUUGAAGCUUUACACUUCGUUUUUAACAACAUUUCGGAGUUGUUCUUGGCCUCUUCAAUUUCCUUCUCAAAUUUGGAAGAAGAAGGCUUCUUGAGAAUACUUGCUAGGUCAUGGCCUGAAUUUGUGUGGUAUUCCGAAUGAACCAAUGUAUCACCAGAUUUAUCUUGCCUUUGUUCACUUCUUUCCUUGGCUUCAGUCCUGGCAUUUUUGGCUUCUAAUACCUCCCUUUCUAGUCUCGUUAAUCGCUUCACCAGAAACUUAUCCAAGCUUGGAACCUCAGACGAAUGCACAUUGCUAUUUGAAACUUUAGACUUGGUUUUUAACAAUGUUUCGGAGUUGUUCUUUGCCUCUUCAAUUUCCUUCUCUAACUUUGAAGAGGCAGAUUUAUCUUGCCUUUGUUCACUUUUCUUGAGAAUACUAGCCAGAUCAUGGCCUGAAUGUGCGUGGUGGUCUUCUGAAAGAACCUUAUCAGCAGAUUUAUCUUGACUUUGUUCACUUCUUUCCCCAGAUUCACUCCUGGCAUUUUUGGCUUCUAAUACAUCCCUUUCAAAUCUCGUUAACCGCUUAACCAGAAACUUAUCCAGGCUUGGAAGUUCCUCAGCUGUCUUACUUUUCUUUCCAUCCAAAUUAUAGCCCUUAACUGCUACCUCUCCAACAGCAGCAGAACCUGAAAUGUGUGGUUUGCUGUUUUCGGCUUCAGCUAGAGCAGCAUUCAAUCCACACGUUGCAACUAUAGUGGCAAGAGAUGCAAGCUCAUCUUCUUGCAAACAUCUAAGCCUUUCCAGCAUCAUUUCCACGAGAUUGGGCAUAUUAAACUUUUCAUAUGCUUGCUUCUUUUUAUAUUUCCUUUCCUUUACCCCAACAGGUUCUGUCUCUAAAUCUGCGACUUCAGAAGCCGUAUCUGAUUCACAUUCUGAAGAGAACUCAGACACUUCUUGAUGAUUAUCGUCUGUUUCAGGGUUCUGGCUUAUUCUGUGCAGCAGUUCCUUGACUUCAUCUUUGUUCAUGGAAGGGCAAUUAGCAAGCUUACGAAGGGCAGCCUUAACUGCACUUGCUACUUGUUUAUCCACCUCAAAUGCAGUUUCAAACGAUGUUCUAACAGUAUGAGUGGUGGGUCCUCCUUCUCUUGCCGGUGACUUUUCUAUUUUGUAAUGCUUUCGUGAGCAAUCAGGAAUGUCAAACAAGAUUACUCCAAUAGCUGUUGCAGCUUCAAAAGCUUCUGCAGAAAAAUUUUCCGCCUUUAUCAGCAAUUGUUCUGCUUCUUUACAAUCAAUCCUGUAUGACAGAUACAGAAAACUACGUUUUAGACUAACAUAUGAACAAAACUCUAUUCAAUCAAUCAACUAUAUCUCAUCACAAACACGUUACUAUUGGCUAUAUAUAAAUUUUAUAUACCCAAUUCACGCAUUUCACUCCAAUAUCCCAACCACAAACAAGUUGCUAUUGCCUAUAUUAAAUUCACAAUCUAAUUUGCGCAUUUCGCUCCAAUACCAAAUAAUUAGCAAAUCAAUUUACUAAAAUUCACACCUAUGCUUAUACAAACAUACACAAGUCUCCAACCAAAACAACAUACAUCCUAGAGGAUCAGCCUCAACACGUUCAACCCCUAUAUUUACAAUUAGCAAGAACCUGCAGCAUAAGGAAAUUAAAAAAAAAAAAACUUCAAAUACAGAAUACCACUAGUGGAUCGUCAAUCUCCAGAUGUAACAUUAAGUUUAACAACAACUAAACAAUAAUGAACAUUAAUGCUCACUAGCAUAAGUAAUUUAAAAACUGUUUCAAAUAUAGUAUAUCACUAGUGGAACCUCAAUCUCUGGAUCUAACAUAAGUGUAACAACAACACUAAAGACAAAAAUGAAGAUAAGAAUGCUCACCUGGCUGCUUGAAGUAUUCGGCACCAUGAUGCUUCAAUCAGUGCAGCCUUCCGUGUUUCCACAGCUCUUUGAGCAGCUUCUCUUACUGCUAUUUUUUCUCUCAGAACUCUACAAUAAUGGGGAUUAGCAUCCCCCAAUGUCUCAUCAAGGGUUGAGUUCAUUCCAUCCACUUCCUGGAAUUUCAUACAAGGCCAGCAACACUAUCAGUACAUCUAUUGACAAUUGAAAAAAAAAAAAAAGAAUGCACAAGCAUAUAAAUAUACCUGGAGCAUUUUUAUUUUCCUCUUCAAAUAGGAAUCCACUUUCUUGCGAGGGAACCAAUUCAGAGGCGAAGUUUUGCGAUGAGGUGGCUUUCUAAUUUGUGAUCCAGAUUUGUUUAAAGAAACUAAAUUUGACUGUCCACCUUCCUUCACGGCUUUAGCCUGCACUACUCCAAAACACAAAAUGAAAAACCAAAAUUGGAAACCACCAAUUAAAGCAAACAUCUAAUAAAUAUUUCAAAGCAACUAGAUUCGACUAGCCACCUUCUUUGAUUGCCUUGUUCAGCACUAUCUGGAAACAAGACGAAAUACUACCAACGUUAGGCAAUACACCAAUCAAAGUGAACGGUUAUGUGAUUUUGCUUGAAGUAACAAAAUUUUAUUGUUGACCUUCAUUUCCUUGUUGUGCACUCCUAGAAAACAAGAACAUACCCGGUGCAGUCCCACAAAGUGGGGUUUGGAGAGGGUAGAGUAUACGCAAAUCUUACCUCUACCUCACUGGUAGAGAGGCCGUUUUCGAUAAACCCUCGUCUCAAGACAAAACAAUCUAGUAAAAGACGUAAUGGAAGUACAAGAGACAAUAAAUAGUAACAAAAAACAAAUAUUAUCAGAACAAUACUACAACAAAAUAAUACAACACAUAUUAACAGAAAUCGAAAAACAAGAAACUACAAGAGUAAUACUACGACUACUAGUAAAGGCAACAAGACAAUGCACUCCUACAUACUAGUAUGAACACACUCCUACCUUACUAACUUUCUACCCUAAUCCGUGUCCUCCACACCUUCCUAUCUAAGGUCAUGAACAAAAGAAAUUUACACCUUUUAAAGUGCAGGGAAACUUACAUUUCACAACACUUAGUUAGCAACUGAUUUAAUUUAACUCUCAUACAUACUCAAUGAUAAUGAAGUUUUAGUUUUGUCAUUACCGUUACACACCCAGUCACAAAAUCAUAUUUUUUUUAAACCAAUUCGCUAAAGGAUAGAUGACAAUCAAGAUUAAAACAAAAACAAGAACAACAACAUACCCAAUAUAGUCCCUAGAGUGUACGCAGACCUUACCACUACCUUGUCAAGUCGAGAGGCUAUUUCGUAACGCCCCUAGGCCAAAAUCAAAGAUAUUGAAGUUUGCAUUUUGUCAUUACCAGUAUACCCACUCACAAAAUCAUAUUUUUGUUUAAAAUCAAGAUUAACAUGCGGGGAUCAAAUUACUUUCUUUUUUCCCUAAUUAAGACCAAGGUUUUUUUUUUUUUCUUUUUUGGGAAUACCCGAAAAUCAAAGAGACUCACCCAUCUAAGAAACGUAAGCAAACUGAAAAAGUAAAGAAUGGAUAAUGGGUACCUUUCCAAGUUUGGAAGUAGCCGUUGUAGAAGCGGCAGUAGGACUGUUCAUACUUUCGUUGGCCGGCUUCUUUUCAAUACAACCCAUAUCAAAACAACCCAAAUCCAUUCUCCAAAAUAAUAACAAUUGAUGGAAAUUACAAUCUUUUUCUGUAUACUCGUACAAUUUAAAAAGCAAUCAGUCAAAGGGAUGCCUCAACAGUUACUGAAAUCAAUGGAGUAAUUAUUAGCGUUUCUUGAAUCUGAAUUGAAGAAAUUUGUGUUCUGAUUCUCAAAAGAGAAAGAGAGAGUGUAUUGCUUUUGAGUGAAAAAAAAAAAAAAACUAUCCGUUACAAUCGAUCCUUUCGCUCCCAACGGUCUUUUUUUUAUAUAGAUUUUUUUUUUUUGUUCACUUAUUAAUUGUCAUCUAAACAAAUAAAUAAAUGGAUACUCCUUAAUAAUAAAUGAGAAGAGUGUGAGAUUAGUGUUACAAUUUCAUAGUGGUUGUAAUUUUCAUUAAUUUGCAACUAUUCAGAUUUCACUAAUAGAUUGUUUUUUUUUUUUAUUUAUAAAGCGAUUUUUUGAUCAAAUAUCUAAUCAAGAUACAAUGAUAUAUAAAUUAAAAAAAUUAUUUAAUCGAAUUAAUAUACUUUUCCAUGAACUGAACAAGGAGUACUAUAAUUUUGUAUUUUGUUUGCUCUAAGAUUAUUUUUUAAAAACGAUUUAUUAAAUGAGGAAACAUAGCUACGAAACGGAGAUUUUAAAUGAAUGAAAAAAUGGCUAAAAAUUAUGAUUGGGUUAGAAGAGAAAGUCACACCAAAUGGUCAUAAAUGUCCCUAAUGAUGAGAAAUAGAAUAAGUUUUCUGCCCGUUCGAAUUUAAUCACAAGUAUGCACUCAUUAUUAGUAGCCUUAGAUAUUAAAAAUAGAAUAUAUUUUGCUCUUUCUUUAAAUUUAAUCACAAAUAUGCCCUUUACUAUUAAUAGAACGAUUUACAUUUGGCCCUCAUGUGGUAUUCUUUUCUGUUUCCUUCAACCUUUUCCCUUUAUUUAAUAUAGACUAGAUAGAUUGUGUUUGAACAUUAUCAUUGAACCAUGAAUAGUUGAUAGGAUUAUCCAUCCUUCGUUUUAUUACCUAUAUGGUACAUAGUUUUACAAACAUAAGUGCAUCUAAGCAUUUAUAAAUUGGCCCUAGUUUCAUUCUAGAAUUGUAAAUAACAGAUGAUCAGAGCUGGUUUAUGCUACUAAUAAUGCAACCAGAAAGAUGAUACUUUAACUGCAAGUCACAAAAGGAAACCACAGCGCCGACAAUUAGGCACAGCAGUAAAGCUAUGGAAAGGACAUUGAUGAACAAGAGUCGAGAUUAUCAUAACAGAGAAGAAGAUAUUCACAAUGAGUGGAAUCGAAUCAGGAAGUAACAAACCAAGAGGAUCUGACUUAUGAUAAACUAUAAACUUUCCUCCUCCUUUAUCCGGGGCUAGGGACUCAAGCACAGGCAGACUUAAAAUUUUGGUUUUUGCUCUUUAGGUGAGGACCAGCAAAACGUAACAAUAAAUGUCCAGAGAAACAUAACAAUGGCAAACAUUUUCUGUGCUUGGUUUAAAGGAGCUGGUCCUGGCAGAUCAUUUCUUGUUGCCAGCAUCUCCAACCUUCAUCUGCAAAAUUCAACCAACGAGAAAAUCAGAACCAGAAUAAAUGAAGUCUCUCAAUGUUGUAGCAGCUGAAAACCAUUACCCUUCUUGACACCGCGUACUAUCUGAGCUCUGCGCUUCCACUCCUUCAUCUGCUUCAUAGACUUCUCAACCUUUGUGUCUUAUCCAUUCUGCAAUAAUUGUUCAAUCCUCGAAGAAAUUAGCCAAAAAAAGUACAGCCCCAGUCCAUUCAUUAAGCCUGAUUUCAACGCUAAAGGUGCACUAGACAUAAUGGAGUAAGAAAACUAAAACAUUUACAUUACUUGAAGAUAGAGUACAAAAACAUGAACUUAUUUGCCAAUACCGACAGGAAGAUGAAAAACAGUUCAUAAUGAAGCAAAACAGUUACCUCAUGAGCACCAUUCUCUAGCAUUUUGGAACAUCCGCAACCAGGGGCUUGGACCUUUCUUUUCCACAUCCCAAUUCUUAGGAUACCACGGGAACUGCCACAUCAAGAAGCAGCGUUCGGGAUGAGGCAUCAAUGCAAGAUGCCUCCCAUCCGGAGAACAAAUUGCCGCCACACCCAAGGGAGAGCCAUUAAGAUUGAAAGGAUAUACAUCCGUUGGUCUGCCAUCAUCAUCAAAAUAUUUCACUGGUGCCAAGUUUGAGCCAAGAAUAUGAUUGAAAAUGCUAUCAUCAGGGAAAUAAGCUCUUCCUUCACCAUGAGCAGCCCAAACACCCAGCGUACUACCUUCCAUGCCUUUGAACAUUAUGGACGGUGAUUCUUCUAUUGUCACACUCGUGAAGCGGCACUCAAAUCUUCCUGACUCGUUAUGUACAAACCUUGGCUGUGAUGGGUCCCCGCCAGCACCCAAAACACCUCCCACUUGGGGCCCCGGAACCCAACCCAACAGAGCCAUAAGUUGGCACCCGUUGCAAACUCCGAGGCUGAAAGUGUCUGGACGGUUGUAAAAUGCCUGAAAUUGGUUUAAAAGAGGCUGAUUAAAGCGAAUGGAUGCUGCCCAACCUUUUGCAGAAUCGAGUACAUCAGCAUAACUAAAACCUCCAACAAACACAAUUCCUCUAAAUUCAUCAAGCGUGAUAUCUCCAUUGAGAAGGUCUGACAUUGCAACAUCCCAUGGUUCAAAUCCAGCAGCAUAAAAAGCUGCAGCCAUUUCUCUAUCACCGUUGCUGCCUUCCUCCCGGAUAACUGCAACCUUUGGCUUUGAAACAGCAGUCAUAUACUUAUCAUCAGUAAAUGUAGGUGUGAAGGAUAGUUUCCAGGAUGGUUCACGCCGAUUCUUCAAUCCUUCCUUUUCUAAUUCUACACAUGAAGCCAGUCUUUGGAACUUUUCCAGUUGAAAGCUGGUGUCUUCCCACAUAUCCCUGAGCACAGAAGUUUUCUCAUUCAAAUGUGUAAUCCCGUCAAUCCUAAAUUCAACUAUUGGAGAUGAACUAACUUGACCAAUGAUAUCAGCUGAAACAGCACCAUGGCGGAGCCUUUCCAGAACUAAAUCCAAGUUCUUCCUUUGAACUUCAAUGAGAAGGCCAAGCUCCUCUGCAAAAAGUGUUUGGGCUACACUACUCCCUAAAGAAGCUAAAUCUAAGUUAAUGCCACAGUUCCCUGCAAAAGCCAUUUCAAGGGCAGCCACUACAAGUCCUCCAUCACUGAUAUCAUGACCGGCAGAUAUCAGCUCAUCAGAAAUUAGAUUCUGAACCUCAUUAAAAACAGUUUUAAGAUAAGAGACAUCAUCCAAAUCAGGAUUUUCAUCCCCAAUUUGAUAUUAAACCUGGGCAAGGGCAGAUCCACCAAGUCUCCGUUUCCCUUUGGCCAAGUCAAUGUGCAGCAGUACACCAUCAUCUCCAAGCUUCAAGUCUGGCGCAACUGUUUUAGUUAUAUCAGGACAUGUCACAUAAGUACUGAUGACUAGAUUCCCUGGAGCUUUAACAACCUCCCCAGAUGCUUGGGCUGCCAUGGAAAGACUAUCUUUCCCCCCAUCAAUUGCAAUUCCAAGUUCAAUCAUAGCUUCAGAAAGAGCAACAGCAGCAUCAUACAUAGCAGCUCCUUCACCAUCUAGCUUUGCAGCAUACAUCCAAUUCCCACUUGCUUUAACAUCAGAAAGAGAUGUAACUUUUGCCCAAACAAGAUUUGUGAGUGCUUCUCCAACAGACAACCGUGCCAUUGCUUUUGGAUCCAAAAGACCUUUUAUUGGCUGCUCCCCAAUUGAGCAUGCACCUCCGGUAAAGCCUGUAUAAGUCUGAGCUAUAACAGCAACAUCAGCAAGAGGAAUCUGCAAUGGACCCACAGUUUGCUGCUGUGCCACAAGGCCUGUGACACACCUGUCAACUUUGGUGGUUAAAACCUUUUCGAACAAACAGAAGGAAGCCUCAGGACCUUCUUCAAUGAAUCUAAAACUGUUGUUGCAGGACCAAUAUCAAGUGGUUCACGCAGAGUGUUCAUGCGAUUUAAUUCAAAUGUCUUUUUAGGCAUGUCUCCAAGCACCUUCUCAAGCUCAAGAUCAACAGCAGGCGGAGGAGGAGGCAGUCCACUAGACCUACAUUUUUCAAUUGCUACACUAUCCAGCAGAACAAUCAAUACGCCCCUCACCAUUAAUUGUUCCAAUAACAGCCAUUGAAAGUCUUUCCCUUGAACAGAUAGCUUCCAAAAGACCGCGGCUUUCAGGCUUCACUAGUAUUGCAUCUUGCUCCUGAUAUUCUGCACCCCAAAUUUCUAGAACAGACAUUGUGUGAUCGCCAACUACAAUUGCCCUUAUAUCAAUUUUGGCACCCUGUGGGUGUAUUAUCUCCUUCACAACAUUACAGUUUCCACCAGCACCCUGAUCAUGAAUGCUAAUGAUGGGAUUGUUUUCACCCAUUUCAACGCAAGCACGAACAAGCCGAUAUAACUUCUGUGCCAUCUCAGCAUCUCCACGCUGCACCGCAUUGAAGUCAAGCUCAGCAUCAUUCUGUCCACUGACCAUGCUGGAUGCAGCACCGCCUCCCAUUCCAAUGCGAUAUGCCGGUCCUCCAAUCUUAACUACCAACAUACCAAUCUCGGGUUCUCCCUUUGAUAUGUGAAGGUGAUCUAUUUGCCCAAUGCCAGCACUAAACAUGAUCGGCUUCAACCAUUCCCUCCUCUCACCACUUGGCAGUCUCAUUCCAAAAUUUCGUGUAUAACCCUGGAUCAAGGGCUCCCCAAAUUUAUUCCCAUAAUCUGAUGCUCCAUUACUAGCAUCAAUAAGGAUCUGCAGUGGUGAUGCCAGAUUAGCUGGAUAUGUGAAAGAAGGAUCUUCCCAAGGAGCAUUUGACUCUUCAAGAUGAAGAUUUCCAACACAAUAUACAGCUGUAGAUGCAACAACAAUAAAACCCCUUCCAGUAGCAUGAGUAUCCCGGAUACGGCCGCCUGCACCUGUCUCAGCACCUGGAUAAGGUGCCACAGCACAAGGGAAGUUGUGGGUUUCUGCAGUAAAUAAGAUAUCAAGGAAUCUGGUAGUCACGUCCAAGGGGCAUGUCGAACCAGGCUGAAUAGGUCGCAAUUGCUUCACUGGAAACCCCUUAAUAGCACUGGAAUUAUCUUUGAAACCAAUAACCGAAUUGUUUGGAUUAGCAAGCAAAGUGUUUUUGACGAUCUGCAUAAGAGUCUUAUCCACAGGUUGACCAUCUAUUACAAGCUUCCCUGUAAAGAACCAGUGCAUACUGUGUUCACUAUUUGAUUGAGCAAUAUCAAACAGUUCUACAUUCGUAGGAUUUCGCUUAAUGUCAUCCCUGAAAAGUUUGGUGUAGUACUUUAAGUCUUGUUCAUCAAAGGCCAAGCCCAUUUUCUCAUUAAUUUCCUCCAGUGCCUUGCGACCCUUUUCCAUGAUAGGUAUAUAUUGAACUUCCUCCGGAACUAUACUUGUCUUGAAAGAAGAAAGCUUCUCAACAUAAACACAUUCCGUCAUCCGAUCAUGAACCAUCGAAGCAAACGCAAUAAUGUGAUUAUCCGGAAGUGACCCAUUGGCAUAGAAUAAAUACCUCCUUGAACGUUCCAUUCUAUUUACUUCUGGUAACCCACAUGCUUGACAAAUCGACACUGCAUUAGCAGACUAUGCUGUAGUGAAAGAUAGCCCUGGACCAACUUCAAUGAUAUAUGCAUCCAGACUUUUCCUCUUCUCCUCGUCAAGGAAACUCUUACUUCCCAAGCUCUCAGGUUCAUAAGUUUCUCCUAAAACCCAUUUAAGCACAGAAAGUUUAUCACUUGAAAGAUCUGAACUGAGCCCAAUGUUAAAGCAUUGUUCAGUUUUCAAGCCAAUUAUUUGAUUUGAUAUCUUUGUCUGAACCAAUUUGAGAAGCUCAGCAGUGGCACUGUCCUGUAGAAACGGAACGCGAUAUAAAUGUAUCACCUUUUCAGCAACCUCCUGAAAUUUGCCUGAAUCUUCAUUUACCAAGCUACUGACAUCCCCGGAAACAACGGCUAUAAUAUUCACCGGAUUAUGGGACCUUAAUCUCAAACUUUUAUCCGAAUACCCAGCAGGGCACUGUCUUGGAAGUGUACCCCAAAGCAAACGAUUUGUCUGCCUACUAAAAUGUCUGGGCAGUGCUAACUUUUGUCUAUGAAAACCCUGCAGUUCAUAUAAACAAACAUAACGAUUUGUUCCGUUGGCGAUCGAUACAAAAAUUAGUCAACAAAAAAUAUUUAACAAUUUUCCAAACAUCAAUAAACAGAACAUAUUCUCGACAAUAAACACUUUCCCAAACAAAAUAAACAGAACAUAUUAUAGACAAUAAACAAUUUACAAAACAUGAAUAAACAGAACAUAUUGUAGACAACAAAAUAAGUGAUGAUCAUACUUGUAAGAACUCUGUUGCAGUAAUGUCCCAAGCAGAUGUUGUCAUUCCCAAACUCUGCUUCUGCAAUAAAUAACAAUUGAUAAAAAUAUAUGCUCAAAAAAAAACAGAGUCUACAAUAGCAAUCACAAAUAAUUAAGAAACAGUUAUAAAGAUAGGAUUUUGGUUAUAGAAAUAAUCCCAACUUCUCAAGAUUUAGCAGAAUAUACAUAAAGAGAGCAAAAAAAGCUCAAAAACCAACAAAUGGUCAAAUUAGAGGAGUUGCUUUGUACCUACAUUUGGGUCUUUCUUCAACAAACAAGACAUACCCACAAAGCUUUUUAGCAUAAGAUAGAGCUAUAAUGGCUCACUCACCAAUUUUGCUUGCCAAAAAUAUCAAAACUUUGAAAUAAAAAAUUGAUCUUUUUCCACAAAUUUUCAUCCUACAAGAAAAAGAAUACAAUAAAAUUGAUGUAGCAAGAGUAUACCUUUGAGUGAUGCUUUAGCAAAAUCAGCUAAAAUCAGCGAAAAGGGAAGAGGUAGUUCAGUUCAAUGGAGGAAAGAGCUAAAUUAGUGACAGUGUCCUGUUUGGGUUUUAGACAAAACCCUAGUUUUAAGAAAUUCUCUAAAUUCUAAAUUCCAUUAUAUUUAUACUUAUACAUUUUUUUGUGAAUUACUGUUAGACUCCACUCACCACUGUAAUAUCUUUGUGCUUCAAAAAAGAUGGAGUAGGAUUUUCUAUUUCAAUUUGGUUGUUUGGUAUUACUCAAUAUUUCAAAAUUGUUUAUUACGUAUAUUAAUUUUUUUAUAUUUUAUAUAAUUUUUAAAUAUAGAAAUUUUAUUUUAAAGAAAUUUAAAUUUACAUCAAAUAUUAAUUAAUUUAACUAUCACAUAAAAUGAAACAAGAAAGUACCACUUCCUGUAUUUUAAUUUGUUUACUCCAUUCAUUUUUAUUUAGUGAUCUUCUUUGCUAAAAAUAAAUAUUUUUAAUACUUAUCAUUUCACAAAAUCAAAACAUAAUUAUUUUUUUAUAUUUUUAUCCUUAGUUAUAAAUAUGUGAAGUAUCAUUACAGUACAAAAAAAGAUAAUUUAGUCAAUUUAACGUGUAAUUGAUUUUUUCUUAAGAAGAGUGAAAAUAAAAAUGAUCACAACUAUUUAGGAAUGAACAGAGUAUUUGAUUUUACUUUAACAUAAAAUUUAGAAAAAUAAAAAAACUAUAUAAAAAUAUAUCAAAAUAACUUUUUAUCUUAUAUUACCUUAUAUAUCAUGCAAAAAGUUAUGAUUAAAGAAUUUUAAAAAAAGAAAGGGAUACUUAUAUUUUUUCUAAAAUGGCUAAAAAGAGAAUACUUACAACCAAAUGGAAACAGAGGAUUGAUCAUACUCCCUUCAUCCAAUUUGACAUUCCACGUAGAUUAAGAAACACAAUUAAUAAUAUGGUUAUUUAGUAUUCUAUUAAAUGAUGUUUAUAUUUUAAUUUGGAGAAAAACAAUUAAUACUAAGAGUUAAAAAAAAAAAUUAUCUUGUCUUGAUUGAUGAAAAAUAACAAAUAAAAUUAAAAAAUUUAGGACGAGUAAUUACAAUUCAUUGACUAAUUUAUCCCAUCUCAGAGAUGAAUAAAAUAAUUCCAAGCAGAAUGACACAAGGUUGGAUAUCCCAAAAUUAAAUUUGAAAUAAAUAUUUUAUCGCAUUUGGUAGACGAUAUAAAAAUGCAAUAAAAAUCCUAUAAUCUCAAGUGCAAUUCUGAAAUAUCUUAUGUUGUCUCGUGUACCAAAUGAGCAUGCUCUUAAAAGGGAUCAUCUUUUUCUGUAUUCGUUUUCUUUUUUGAUUCUAAAGGAUACCUCUGUUUGUUUUUCUGCAAUUAUUAGUUAGUGUUAUUUCUCAACUCUUUGAUACAAACGGAAGAUCGCUUCAGGAAUUGAUUUCUACGUGUAUAUAUAUAUAUAUAUAUCCACGAUUCAUUGUGCAUGGAUUUUAGUUUAAGGAUAUGUAAGUACGCUAUGACACUAACUAGCUAUCACUUAUCAGUACUUUAAAAAGUACUUUUGGUCCAAGCCCAAGGCGAACAUAGUAAAAAUGUAUCGAAGCAAUUAGGAGUAAAAAUAUCAUAAGGUGCAAGUAUAGACGUACGCUCAAAACAUUGACCAGUAUCUUUAGUAACCUGCGUGGAUAUAUUGGAUUACUUCUGAAAUCUUGUUAUAAUACAUUAUUCUGCUACACGUCUUAUUUGUAUUAUUAUACCAUAUGCUAGUGCUAGUACUAGUAUAUAACACCAAUAAGAGCACUAGUUAUUAUUGGAAGAUCCCACACCUAAAGAGAUUUCCUCUACUUAAUCUAUUGUUCAGUGGCCAACUAAUUUAAAUUUGUGUCGACUAAGAGCUCAUUCAGAAAUAGCACUCCCUACCAAGAGAUUAGCUAGUUUCAAUAACGUUGCCUAUAAUUAGCCAUGUGGAAAUCCUGUUCGGGUUUGUCAACACCAUCUUCACUCCUUAGCCAAUAAGUCUGAGGAAGAGAAGCUGCACCAUUUGGUAUGUCAUCCAUCACUCUUUCUUGCCCUUUUGGAAAAUAUAUUCCUGUUCGUGGAUGUGGCACCCACCACGCACCCUUCUGUUCUAUCUCCUCCUCCUCCUCUUCCUCCUUAUCGGUCCAACUCGAGAACGUGCUCAUCAUUCUUUUAAUUUGUUUCAUUUUCUGUGACCUGCAUCCAGCACUUUUAACAUUUUAGCCAUCAGUAUAAAUUUAUACAGGUGCUAGACAUGAUUAUAUAUUCUAAACUUUUGAUAUUUGCAAAAAAAAUAUAUAUAUAUUAUAAGUUAAAAGACCAUUCGAGAAAUCAAAAUAUUUUUUGAAUGAUUUAAGACUUUUAAAUCUAAGAUUAGAAGUGAAUAUUUAAUAUUAUUAUCAGGAAAAAAAUUUCCUACCUUAGGUUUGCAUACACUCUACCUUCUAUAUACCCCGCAUUAUACACUAAAACUAAGCAAACAAAUUUAAAGAACAAGAAACAGCAUUCUAAUUACCUAAUUAGUCGUAAUCUCUGUGAAAACGUAGUGAUUCCAGCUGCAGUGAUAGGCAUAUAUAUAAAAAGCUUUGAUUGAUAAACCAAACAAGAAAUUAGAAAGUGUAGUAGCAAGACAACCUUUUGCUGAUCGUUUUAUAUAUACAGAAGAAGAAUAUAUUCUUUUCUAAGGAAUUAAGUUUGCAAAUCUUAAAAACUUCAAAAAAAAAAAGUGAUGUUUCAGAAAAAGAAAGAACAAAUCAAAGCAACUUUUUAUAUGUGUAAUCGCUCUCAAUUUGUCCUUGUCAAUAAUAAAGAAGUUUAACGUGAUCCUUGUCCUCUUAAUCUUUCAUUAUUUUGUCAUUUGAAAAUCUCUAAAUUCACUGCCACAUAUUCGAUUAAUUUCGUGGACGUAAGUCUUUUUACUUAAAAAGAUAUUGACAAUGACAAUUCAAUUUUAUUUGUACGUGGAUAGAUUAUUAGGGGUGUUCAAAUUAAAUUUAAACCCGUACGGGUGGAUAGAUAAUUAAGGGGUGUUCAAAUAAAAUUGAACCCGUACCAUAUUGAAAAAUGAAAUCAAACACGACAAAAAAAGGGUUCAGGCAUAAUUUAGUACUAAGUACGAAAAAAAAGAAAAUUGAAUCAAACCGAAAUAUAAGUACAUAACUUUUAUAAUAAAAAAAAUGUGUCAAUUAUUAUAUAUAUAUAUAUAUAUUGUUUUGGAAUGUUUAUUCUUGAGUUAAGGGUCUAUCGAAAACAACCUCAUUGCUUAAUUUUAAGAUAGUAGUACAGCUGACGUGCAUUUUACUCUCUCCGAACCUCACUGUCUAAAGAAUAUGUCUUUUUUGUUAUGAUCUUGAAAGUUAAUUAGAAAAAAACUGAAAGUGGAUAGAAAAUAAAGGAGGAAGCUUAAUUAUUCAUAAGUCGUUUAAAUUUGUAGAGCUACUUUGAGAAUAAUAUAGUUUUAAAAAUAAUUCAAAUCAAAAACACAUUUUCUAAUUAAUUUAAGAUUAAAUGUACUGAAAGAUAGCAAGAAUCAAAAUAAAAAUUUAUCAAUAAUUAAAAAAAUCACCUACUCCGCCAAACAUUCUACUAAAAGAGUACUCUUACAUCCCUGUUUAUGAUACCUUUCGAAUCCCAAGAGUUACACAAAUUCUUUUUAACCAAAUUUUUUCUAUGCAUGUCUUUUAAAUUUUAAAUAAUCUAAAUUAUUAACUACUGUAAUUUAUAAUUUUUUAUGUAAUUUUUAAAUUUAGAAGCUCUACUUUGAAAAAUCCUAAAUCAAAUUAUAUCUAAAUUUACACUUAAGAUUAAAAAAAUUAUUUCUUAAACUUAAUCGGUGUCAUAUAAAUUGAAACAGCAUAAGUUUAGCGAAGGUCUUUUAACUUACUUUUGGUACGCGGGAUACCCAAUGGCACCAAGAGAGGAUGGAUGGAGAUUACAAGGAUUUUGUUGUUCCUAAAAGAACAGAACAUGUACUAUUCUUUCACGAUAUGACUCUCUCGUACUAGGUAGAAUCCAUCAACCAUUUCACACUUUAUUAUUUGUUAUUCUCAAUUCUCAAAUACAAACAAAAUAUGUGACCGAAUAAGUGAGAUUUUAUUAUAAAUUUUAAAUAAAAAUUUUGAAUUUAAACUUUAGAAAUAAAGAUUUUAAGAAUGAUUUGGUAGAGUGCAUUAAAAAAAAUAAUGCAUAUAUUAAUAUUAUGUAUGUAUUACUAGUACCUUAUUUGUAUUAAUUAUACACUUUAUUUGAUAUUAAUGUUUGUAUAAUUAAUACCUCAAAUCUACGAUAUUAGUAAUACAAUGAGUUCUAAUACAUGCAUUAAUACAGUUAAAGACACAGUGACCCUUCAAAAAAAUUUUCACAUCAUUUUCAUCAUAGGUGUAGAGGGUAUUUUUUAAAAAAAAAUAAAUACAUUGUUUUAAAAGAAAAAUCAUGCAAUGAAUGUUAUUUCUAUUAUAUCAAAUCGAACAAUGCAUAAGAAAAAUCCCAGCAUAAUUAAUACUAAUAUUAUUAACACACUAUAGUUUUUAUUCUUAAAAUAAGCAGCUUUUGAGCAACAAACAUGAAAAGCACUUUUGAUGUGCUGGAGCUUAUUCUACAUAUAAGCAGUUAUGUGUUUGGAUAAAAAUGCUGAAACUAAAAAUAAGCAGCUGAUGUGUUUGGUAAAAAAUGCUGAUAAGCAAUUUUUUCUGUUAAAAUGACAUAAAUAUCUUUAACUAUGAAAGUUCGUAAAAUUGAUCCUUGCAAAAUGUUUAAUUUCAAUUGAUUAAAAUACAAGUUAAUUUAUAUCUCAAGUUAUUUUAUAUUUUAAAUUAAUUAGAUAAAAUUAUUUUUUAAUAAUUUCAAAUUGUUUAUUGAAAACAUUUAUGAAACUGAAAAAUAGCAAACAAAAUUGUUUUUCGCUGCAAAGUAAAAUUACUAAUUACAACAAGAAUAAAAAGAACUUUUUUUUCACGGAAAAUUUAAAUCAAAAUGACAUUUACCGUGAUGGAAGAGAAACCUGCUUUGCUUCCACCCACAGAUCUUUUCAAAUAAUAUUUAAUAUUAUUUUAAUUAAUAUAAUCUUUGAAUAAUAAAAUUUGAAUAAUGAAAUGAACUAAUCAAUCAUAACAUUACAAAGUCCAAAGGAAAGAAAAACAUAAACUAUGAUAGAGAGCAGCAACAAUGGAAGAGAGCAAAAAAAGGAAGAAUAAGGAAGGAUAUUUUAGAAGUUUCAACAACAUGAAAUAGAUAAUAAAGUAUUUUACUUGGUCAAACUUAGAAUAGUUUUUAAGGUAAAAAUAAUAAAUUGGGAUAGAUCAACUUAUAACUUUUGACUUAUUUUAGUUUAAAAAUACUUAUUUUUAAGCACUUUUAUUAUUUAUCAAACAUUCAAAUAAGUUAAAAAAUAUUUUAAAGCUAAUUUGACUAAUUUUUAAGCCCAUCCAAUCACCCUUUGGACGAACCCUAGGUACAAAUCUUAAUGAAUAUGAAUUGUAGAAUUCGAAGACGAAUGUUCUAAUUGCAACAAAAGUACAAAGUCGUUACUUUUUGUACUAAAGAACCAAUACCCCAACCUUAAUUGUCCUUCUAUAUUAGUUUCAAAUAUCGACACCUAUUCACAUUCAUGUGCAAGAAAGAAUUAGUUACUAAAAUUAUUAAAAAUUCAUUUAGUUUGAAAAAAUUAUAAAUACCUUAACUUUUAUUAAUUUAGAUUAAAAGUUGAUAUACAUUCUAAAAUAUCCUUCUUAUCUCAUUUUAACUCAAUUAACUACGAUUUCUUUCUAAAUCAACGACGAAAUUAAUUGAAUUCCUUAAAAUUAUUAUCGUAUAAUUAUAUCUUUUAAAAUGUGUCAAAAUUUUAUAAGUAUUUGUCGAUAUUUUUAAAAGUUCAAAUAACAUAAAUUAGUAGCAAAAAAUGACUUAGAGAUUACUACCGUAGGCCACAAAAAAUAUUUAGAGAUUGAGAGAUGCUCAAUACGAAUUCCUACUACAAAUUUAAUUAAAACUGCCACUAUUAUUUGUCUCUGCUUAUACAAUGAUGUUUGUAGGUAGUUGAAUACAAAAUUUAAGGUAUUAAAUUAAUUUUAUAUUUCAACAGACGAAAAAGAUAAAAAAUAAUGAUUUAAAGGGAAGUUUAACAAAGAAAAUAUCACGUUGAAUUUUUUAUUUUUAUCAAACUAUUGUAAAUAUUCUGAAAUAUUCCAAAAUGAAAAUAGUUGCCAUAUAAUUUAUAGCUGAUAAAUAUACUCAUUCAUGAAUUAGAAAGUUUUAUACAGUGUCAAAGCUGAGAAUAUAAUCAUGACAAGGGCGAAAGGUUAUAUCUGUAAUGGAUCUUAUCACGAUAACAAAAUAUCUUCCCAUUGACAUAAUGGUGUCUCUUCAAUGGCGUAUAAAAUGAAUGCCUAACAUUUGGACCCAUUUUUUUAAAAAAUUAAUUAUUUUUGGGCUAAAAUAAUUUCAUUAAUGCUUGAAAUAUCAUUCGUGAAAUUUAUAUUCCGUAAAAAAGUUAUUUUCCUUAUUUUAAAGAGCUUAUGUUUUUCAGAAAUUUUAAUUAACUAAACAUAAAGAAAUUUAAAAAAUAAUUUUCUCUCUAUGAAUAAAAUGAAACUACAGAAUAUCACUUAAACAAGAGGUCUCAAAUCUCUGAAGUACAAUGGAAUAUUGGAAUGUCAUCACAUUACAAGCCCAAUAGUAAGAUUUCAUUACUGUUUCAGAAACAUCUGUACCUAUUAGGCAGCUAGUUACAUAUAAAAUUGUAAUUUUAAUUAUCCGAUAAAAUACUACCUAAUUGCUAGUUGAUUAAAAAAAAAGGUAAUUUGUUAGUAUGUAAAAGUUACAUUAAUCCCAACUUGGAGUGUUGGAAAAUAAAAUUUUCGAGGUCAAAAAAUAAUAAAUAAUUGAGAUAAGAAAAUAUUGCAACAAACAAUUUUAUUGAUUUCAACGCGAGCGUUACAAUCUCUAUGAAUCAUUUGAUUCGUCUUUUCAAAUAUAAAUUCAAGGGCUAAUUAAAGUUUGAUCUUGAAUUUGAGCUUAAUUUGAUGGAUUUGAAGGACUUGAUCUUGACUUGUGCUUGAAUUCAAGGAAUUUUGAGCGUGUUCUUGAAUAUUGUUGUCUUGAUCUUGAAUCUUGAUGAACUUGAUUUGAAUGCUUGAAUUUUUUAGAGAAAUUGCAGAGUUUGAUCCACGGGCUUUCUCUUGCUACUUGUUAGAGUUCUGGGGGUUCGUUUUUCUGAAAUUAUGAGGCCCCUAUUUAUAGUUGUAGGAAAGGAAGAGUCCUGAUGAAUAUGAAUUUCCUUUGAUCAAUCAGAUUUAAGUGGUGGCGCCUUUUAUGGGCUUUUAUUUCAUGGACCUGCUGCAUUAGUUUGACAUGUGGCAUGGUCCUAUUGGCUCCUUCACUUGACUUGGCUACCACGUUAUUUGACACGUGACGCUUAUUUGGGCCUCUAGAAUAUGAAAAUAUUUUGGAUUUAGUAAAGUAGGCCCAUCAUUUGUAACCCAAAUUAAUGGACUAACCCAAUAAAUAUUGGGUCUUAUUUAAAUUCAUACCUAUUUGGACUUAAAUAAUUAAUUCAAUUAUAUUAAUUCGUAAUAUUUAUUCGAAACUAAUAUAUUUUGAAUUUAAUAUAAUUCAAAUUUUGUACGAAUUUAAAUUUAAUGAAAUUAUAUCGCCCAUAAAUACUCCUACUUCAAAACUUAUCGAGACAUUUAAUAUUUUAAAGACUAACCUUGAAGUACCAACUUGAUAUUUUAAUUACACACAAAAUAAAAUUGUGUGCAAACAAAAUUAUGACGGACCAUUUUUAUACACAAAAUGAACACUUUGAACAUGCAGAAUGAUUCACGUGCAAGUGUAAAGAAACAAAUGAAUUUGUUCAUCUUUGUUCUUUGACAUUUAAUGAAUUUGUCCACUCGUGGAAUAUAUAUAUAUAUAUAUUAUUUUAUUUUUACAUGGUCCCAUGGACCCCUCUUUUUAAUAUUCAAUCAAAUAAUCCAACAAUAUACCAAUUUGAUAUCUUUUGGAUUAAUAUGAACUGCCGCCGUCCUUUUUUUUCACAUUAGGUAGGUCCCACGUCUCCUUUGCCUUUUUGAAUUGAGAUGCUGCUUUCCUUCCUAUUGUUUUCUCUUAGAAUUAGGACGUUGCCUCUCCAAAUUUAAAUUGAUUUAGGAGUUUGCCACCGCCUAAUUACUCUAUAAAUACACGCUAUAAAUUAUACAAUUCACAACAGUAAUUUUGCUUGGUCCUUGUUGCAGAUUUUAUCCUGCAUUGGUUCGGUCGUUGUGCAUCAUUGAAGUAUUUUUGGUGAGUGGCCUUUUUUCUUAUUUUGUUUACUAUUAUUUCAUCUUUUUCCCUUUCUUUUGGCAGGAUUGAAAUAAAUAGCAAUAUUGACCGGCUUAAGGUAGGAAGAGUUUAACUUCGUCUCUAUCACCUUAAGACCGAAAGACUUACGCAAUAAUUGGCCGACUUAAGGUGGAAAGAGUUUAACUUUACCUCUAUCACCUUAAGAUCGAAAGACUUAUGCAAUAAUUGGCCGGCUUAAGAUGGUAAGAGUUUAACUUCGCCUCUGUCACCUUAAGACCGAAAGACUUUGCUUGAAGACGGCAUGGUUUUCUUUAAAUAUGUGCCCUUUCACCGAUACAUUUAUGCGAUGAUCUUCUCUAAUUAUGGGCUCUUUCAUCGAUGCACUUAUGCAAUGGUCUUCUUUAAGUAUGGGCCCUUUCACUUGAUGCACUUAUGCAAUGGUAUCCUUUAAGUAUGGGCCCUUUCCAAUUGUUAGCUUAAGGUGCAAAAGGACAAAUUUUUAUCCACCUUAAGGCAUGAAAAUUUUGAUAUCCUUUCAAGUAUAAAUCUGCGAGAGGCCGGCUGAAGGUGCAAAGGGAUAAAUUUUGUCCACCUUAAGGCAUGAAAAUUUUUAUAUCCUUUUAAGGAUAAACAUGUAAAUGGCUAGCUUAAGGUGCAAAAAGACAAAUUUCGUCCACCUUAAGGCAUGAAAAUUUUUAUAUCCCUUUAAGGAUAAACAAGUAAGAGGUCAGCUUAAGGUGCAAGGGACAAAUUUCGUCCACCUUAAGGCAUGAAAAUUUUUAUAUCCUUUUAAGGAUAAACACGUAAGAGGCCAGCUUAAGGUGCAAAAGGACAAAUUUUGUCCACCUUAAGGCAUGAAAAUUUUGAGAUCCUUUUAAGGAUAAACCCACGAGAGAAUAGCUUAAGGUGCAAAGGGAUAAAUUUUGUCCACCUUAAGGCAUGGAACUUUUGAGAUCCUUUUAAGGAUAAAUCCGCGAGAGGCUAACUUAAGGUGCAAAGGAACAAAUCUUGUCUACCUUAAGGCAUGGAAAUUUCGAUAUUCUUUAAGGAUAAACCCGUAAGAGGUCAGCUUAAGGUACAAAGGGACAAAUCUUAUCCACCUUAAGGCAUGAAAAUUUUAAUAUCCUUUAAGGAUAAACUCGUUAGAGGCCCGCUUAAGGUGAAAAGGAACAAAUCUUGUCCACCUUAAGGCAUGUAAAUUUUGAGAUCCUUUUAGUUGUAGGCUUGGAGAACUUUGGCAUUCCAAAUCCCUUUGAAGGAAAUUUCUUUCUUUUCGACGGGUUGCCCCCAUUGAGUCACAAAUAUUUAGAAUAAGUCCAAAAUUUAAUUAGAAUAGUUUCAUACUUGGUAUCCAUAUGGUAGAUAUUGUAUGAACAUAUUUUUUUUUACACUGGUGCAACUGAACUCAGAAUGAAAUUUCCAGCGUCUACGUACCUCAGUAAAGAGGAUCAAGUCACAACGUAGUUCUGGGUGAGUGUUUUUUUUCUUGUGUCCUAACUUUUACCUAGGCCGCCUCUUUCGAGGUUUUCAACCUAGCGAACUUUCAUUUUCUUUUUGAGCCAUACACAGUUUAUACUCUUGCGGGCCAGGAGUGGACAUACAGUUUAUACUCGUGCCUUAAGGAGUGUACAUACAAUUUAUACUCGUGCCUUAAGGAGUGUACAUGCAGUUUAUACUCGUGCCUUAAGGAGUGUUAUCUUCCUUUAAGGAUAGUACUUCUUCAAGAACUUGGCGUUGAUGGGACCAAUCCUCACGCCAUCUGCAUCGACAAGCUUGUAAGCACCGUUUGAAUAUGCCUCUUGUAUGACAUAUGGUCUAUCCCACUUUGGGGUGAAUUUACCCCCAGACUUAUGAGAAGUGAUAAUGGGCCUUCUUACUGCAAGAACUUGAUCUCCAAUUUGGAAGCAUCUCAAGCGAACCCUUUUGUUGAAAAAACGAGAUAGCCGGGAUUGAUAGCAUUCAAGAUUUUGUUGAGCCUCCAGCCUCUUCUCAUCAAGAACUUAUAACUCCGCAAGACUCAACUUAGCAUUUUCUUCAUCGGUGAGCCCUUCUUGAAUAGCCAGUCUCAAAGAAUGUAUUUGACGCUCAAGUGGCAGGACUACUUCAACUCCAAAAGCAAGUUAGUAUGAGGUUGCUUGCGUUGGUGUACAAUAAGUUGUCCUAUACGCCCAAAAAGCUUAUUCCAUUCGCUCAUGCCAGUCUCAUUUGGAUUUGGAGACGACUUUCUUCAACAAGUUGCAUAAAGUCUUGUUGAAGGCUUCAGCUAGACCAUUGGAGACAGCAUGAUACAUUGAAGACUUGCACUGCUUAAAGCCAAAGAGGUCACAGAUCUUGUUCAUCAACUUGUUAUCAAAUGGCUUGCGGUUGUCGGUUAUUAUGUACUGAGGAAUUCUAAAGCGGUAGAUGAUAUUCACUCAGAUGAAGUUUGCAAUAUUUUCUGUCACGCCUCAAAUUCUAUUGGGGCGGACUGGCACCCGUAACCGAGGAGGCUCGGGAGAACCAGCUCAUAACCUUAUACUUCCCAUGCAUACCUCUAUGACAACCCGAAAUUCGGACAACAUCAUGUCGCAUAUAAAAGGAAAUAAUAACCUGUAUAAACUCGAGCACACAUAUAUAUGUAUAUACAAUACUUGGCUGUUGGAGCCAUCACGUCUAUUAACAAAAUACCACCUUAACUGUACAUUAGGUCUACAAAGCCUCUAUACAAUACACAGAGUUUAACUAAGGUCGGGACACACCCCGCCAUAUAACUAACUUCUAUAUAAUACCAAAAGUGACUGGAUAUGACACGGAAAGCCCCGAAGCAAACGGGAGCUCACCAAAAGCAGCUGGGUAUCCUAGCUCCUACUUGUGCGGUGUAUGAGCUGAGGUGAUAUCCUGGCUCCUACUUGUGCGGUGUAUGAGCUGAGGUACCUGUGCCUGCAGUAUGAAAUGCAGGUCCCCCGUGGGGGACGUCAGUACAAAAUAUGUACUGAGUAUGUAAAGCUGUAGAUAAUCACAUAUGAUAUAGGAGCUCAAUAGAANNNNNNNNNNNNNNNNNNNNNNNNNNNNNNNNNNNNNNNNNNNNNNNNNNNNNNNNNNNNNNNNNNNNNNNNNNNNNNNNNNNNNNNNNNNNNNNNNNNNNNNNNNNNNNNNNNNNNNNNNNNNNNNNNNNNNNNNNNNNNNNNNNNNNNNNNNNNNNNNNNNNNNNNNNNNNNNNNNNNNNNNNNNNNNNNNNNNNNNNNNNNNNNNNNNNNNNNNNNNNNNNNNNNNNNNNNNNNNNNNNNNNNNNNNNNNNNNNNNNNNNNNNNNNNNNNNNNNNNNNNNNNNNNNNNNNNNNNNNNNNNNNNNNNNNNNNNNNNNNNNNNNNNNNNNNNNNNNNNNNNNNNNNNNNNNNNNNNNNNNNNNNNNNNNNNNNNNNNNNNNNNNNNNNNNNNNNNNNNNNNNNNNNNNNNNNNNNNNNNNNNNNNNNNNNNNNNNNNNNNNNNNNNNNNNNNNNNNNNNNNNNNNNNNNNNNNNNNNNNNNNNNNNNNNNNNNNNNNNNNNNNNNNNNNNNNNNNNNNNNNNNNNNNNNNNNNNNNNNNNNNNNNNNNNNNNNNNNNNNNNNNNNNNNNNNNNNNNNNNNNNNNNNNNNNNNNNNNNNNNNNNNNNNNNNNNNNNNNNNNNNNNNNNNNNNNNNNNNNNNNNNNNNNNNNNNNNNNNNNNNNNNNNNNNNNNNNNNNNNNNNNNNNNNNNNNNNNNNNNNNNNNNNNNNNNNNNNNNNNNNNNNNNNNNNNNNNNNNNNNNNNNNNNNNNNNNNNNNNNNNNNNNNNNNNNNNNNNNNNNNNNNNNNNNNNNNNNNNNNNNNNNNNNNNNNNNNNNNNNNNNNNNNNNNNNNNNNNNNNNNNNNNNNNNNNNNNNNNNNNNNNNNNNNNNNNNNNNNNNNNNNNNNNNNNNNNNNNNNNNNNNNNNNNNNNNNNNNNNNNNNNNNNNNNNNNNNNNNNNNNNNNNNNNNNNNNNNNNNNNNNNNNNNNNNNNNNNNNNNNNNNNNNNNNNNNNNNNNNNNNNNNNNNNNNNNNNNNNNNNNNNNNNNNNNNNNNNNNNNNNNNNNNNNNNNNNNNNNNNNNNNNNNNNNNNNNNNNNNNNNNNNNNNNNNNNNNNNNNNNNNNNNNNNNNNNNNNNNNNNNNNNNNNNNNNNNNNNNNNNNNNNNNNNNNNNNNNNNNNNNNNNNNNNNNNNNNNNNNNNNNNNNNNNNNNNNNNNNNNNNNNNNNNNNNNNNNNNNNNNNNNNNNNNNNNNNNNNNNNNNNNNNNNNNNNNNNNNNNNNNNNNNNNNNNNNNNNNNNNNNNNNNNNNNNNNNNNNNNNNNNNNNNNNNNNNNNNNNNNNNNNNNNNNNNNNNNNNNNNNNNNNNNNNNNNNNNNNNNNNNNNNNNNNNNNNNNNNNNNNNNNNNNNNNNNNNNNNNNNNNNNNNNNNNNNNNNNNNNNNNNNNNNNNNNNNNNNNNNNNNNNNNNNNNNNNNNNNNNNNNNNNNNNNNNNNNNNNNNNNNNNNNNNNNNNNNNNNNNNNNNNNNNNNNNNNNNNNNNNNNNNNNNNNNNNNNNNNNNNNNNNNNNNNNNNNNNNNNNNNNNNNNNNNNNNNNNNNNNNNNNNNNNNNNNNNNNNNNNNNNNNNNNNNNNNNNNNNNNNNNNNNNNNNNNNNNNNNNNNNNNNNNNNNNNNNNNNNNNNNNNNNNNNNNNNNNNNNNNNNNNNNNNNNNNNNNNNNNNNNNNNNNNNNNNNNNNNNNNNNNNNNNNNNNNNNNNNNNNNNNNNNNNNNNNNNNNNNNNNNNNNNNNNNNNNNNNNNNNNNNNNNNNNNNNNNNNNNNNNNNNNNNNNNNNNNNNNNNNNNNNNNNNNNNNNNNNNNNNNNNNNNNNNNNNNNNNNNNNNNNNNNNNNNNNNNNNNNNNNNNNNNNNNNNNNNNNNNNNNNNNNNNNNNNNNNNNNNNNNNNNNNNNNNNNNNNNNNNNNNNNNNNNNNNNNNNNNNNNNNNNNNNNNNNNNNNNNNNNNNNNNNNNNNNNNNNNNNNNNNNNNNNNNNNNNNNNNNNNNNNNNNNNGGCUGGCCUCAGUAGUUUGUGUGUAGGAAAUUUUCCUGCACAUUUACUAUUCCCAAUAUCCCGGCCAUCGUUUUAUAGUUUCGAACGUGCUCGAUUAUAUUCGAAACCUAUUCGUUUUUGGAAAUCUUUAUAUCGUUGGAAAGCUUAUUCAAUAACCUUCGUAUGGAACCAUCGAUGGGCAAAUUUCGGUAUAAAUAAAAUAAAAUAAAAUUAAUUCCAUAUAAAUAAGACCAAUACACGUACUUGAAUACGCCAAUACACGUACUUGAAUACGCGGUGUUACAUUUUCCUUCUUUACUUUCUUGAGGGCAACAGUUUCGGCCUACUUUGAGAAGUAAUUUGUUGUGGCCAAGAUGUAUAAGUGCCUACCAGAAGAUUUUGGUAGUGGACCGACAACAUCCAUUCCCAAAGCAUUGAAUGGACAAGACGCUAUAGUUGGAUGUAGUACCUCUGGAGGUCGAUGUAUGAAAUUUGCAUGGAAUUGACAAGCUUUGCAUUUUCUAGCAUAGUCCAAGCAAUAUUUCACCAUCGUUGGCCAAUAAUAUCACAUCCUUUUAAUGUGAAAAUGGAGCUUCUUUCCAGAUUGAUAUGUUCCACAAACUCCUGAAUGUGUUUCUUACAAAGCUUGGAUUGCUUCUUCCUCUCCCAAACACCAUAAGAGUACUCCUUCAAAUGAUCUUCUAUACAGUGUGUCCUUAUAGUAGAGGAAGCGAGGUGCACGACGACGAAUGUCAGUCUUUCUUUUUGGAUCUUCUGGAAGUAUCCAAUAACAUAAGUAAUCAAUGAUAAGUUGUUGACAAUCUUCUUUUUCAGUUUCAGAUACGGCAACGAGGUAUUUCACUUUAUCUUCUUCAUCAUUUUUUAUGGGGGUACUACCCAUUCUUGGCGGACAGUAACUUGUGUUUGAUUUGAAAGAGUCAGGGUUGAGGCCAAAACAGCUAGGGCAUCAGCUUGCUUAUUUUUCUUCCUUGGCACAUGCUGUAGGGUUACUUCUCCAAGCCAUCCCAUCAAAUUUUUUGCAUAUUCAUGAUAUAGUCUUAACUCAGGCUUCUAGACUUCAUAGCUUCCCAAAUGCUGCUUUAUCACCAAUUGAGAGUCGCCAAAAAUUUAUAAUUGUAGUUGCUUCAUAUCGACAGCUAUCUCUAGUCCUACUAUGAGCGCUUGAUACUCAGCAACAUUAUUGGAGCAACGAUUCGUCAAGGUAAAAGAGUAGGGGAUGACCUCUUCUUGUGGAGUGACAAACACUAUGCCAGCACCAGCUCCAUCUUGAUGUGCAGCACCAUCAAAAUAUAUCUUCCAUAGGGAUCUAACUUCAACAGCCAUUGUAUCUUCAUCAGGGAGUUCAUCGCUCAGCUCCCAAUCAUCAGGUAUUGGGUGAUCUGUCAAGAAGUCAGCCAGUGUUUGUCCUUUUACAGCUUUUUGGGGAACAUACACAAUCUCAAACUAUUGAAAUUGAAGGUACCAUCUUGCAAGUCGGUCACUAAGGACUAGUUUCGACAUUACAAACUUGAUGGGAUUUACCCUAGAGACUAGCCGGACAACAUGAGCCUGAAAAUAGUGCUUUAUCUUUUGAAUCAAGAAGACUAAUGCCAAACAUAACUUCUAAACUGGAGAAUACUUUAGCCCAUUCGGCGUCAUCAUUAUGCUCAAAUAGUAAAGAGAAUUUUCCUUGCCUUCACUGUUUUCUUGAGCCAGUAGUGCUCCAACUGACCUCUCUUGUGCCGCAGUGUAGAGUAUCAAUGGUUUCCCAGGUAUGGAUACCGCAAGAACUGGUGGUUUCAUUAAGUAUGAUUUGAUACUCUCAAAGGCAUUACUACAAGCUUGGUCCCAUUCGAAGGAAGUGUCCUUCUUCAUGAGACGACUAAAUGGUUUACAUUUUCCAGCCAGGUUUGAGAUGAACCUUGUUAAAUAUGCUAGCCUUCCUUGAAGGCUUUUUAACUCAUGAAUAUUUUGAGGCUCAGGCAUCUUCAAAAUUGCAUCGACCUUGUCUUGAUCAAUUUCAAUUCCUCGGUGUCGUACAAUAAAGCCAAGAAACUUUCCAAAAGUAACUCCAAAGGUACACUUCAACGGAUUCAUCCUAAGUUGGUAUCUUCGAAGUAACUCGAAUACCAUUCUUAGGUCUUUUAAGUGGUCGUCUCUCUUUCUUGACUUCACCACUAGAUCAUCCACAUAGCAUUCAAUAUUUUUAUGGAGUAGGCCAUCAAAGAUGUUCUGCAUAGCCCUUUGAUAAGUGGUAUUAGCGUUCUUCAAACCAAAAGGCAUUACCUUAUAGCAAUAAAUACCUUUGGGCGUACAAAAUACAGUGAGUUCUUCAUCUUUAAGUGCCAUAUGGAUUUGAUUGUAGAUGGAUGAACCAUCCAUGAAGGACAUUGCCUCAUAACUAGUAGUGGCAUUAAUCAUCAACUCUAGUAUAGGGAUUGGAAAGUCAUCUUUAGGGCAGACGUUGUUGAGAUCCCGAAAGUCAACACAAACUCGAAUUUGUCCGUUCUUUUUCCAUACUGGAACAAUACUUGAAAUCCAUGUGGGAUAUUUGACUUCAUGAAUAAAAACUGCUUCAAUGAGUUUGUUAACUUUAUUUUCAAUCAAAAGAACCAACUCUGGCCUAAAGCGCCUUUGGGCUUGCUUAACAGGACGAGCACCAUUCUUGAUCGCCAAUUGAUGGACUGCUACUUUCGGAUCUAAGCCAGGUAUUUCCUUAUAGCUCCAAGCGAAGACAUCCAUAUAUUCUUUGAGUAUGUCCAUAUAAGCGGCUUCCUCCUCUACUUCUAGAAACGCACUAAGUAAGUUAGUCUUGGGUCUUCAUUAGUUCCAAGAUUAACUUCCUUUAGGGGAUCUAUUGUGGCCUUUACUCCUUCUUCAAGUUGAGAUGGAGCAUCUCCAGCAUCUUCCUCCUCUUGAGGAUCAUCAUCGUUGAUGGAUAUGUGGUGACACCAGAAAGUAUCUUCCAUCUCUUUAUCAACCUUUAUUUGAGACGAGACCUCAUUCUCAUUUUGGAUCGUAACAUGAUAUGAGGAGCCAAUACUUUCUUCAUCUUCCUCAUGUUCCUUGGUAUACACCACCGUAUGAGUUUUAUCUUUUAACACCUCGUUGCAUGAAACCACCAGUUCUGUCUGUCGCCUCAUUCUGAAAGGGAUCAAACUUUGGAAAUCCUUCUGGAUUUUAAAUGAAGAGUGCAUCAUCAUGCUUUGAUGACUUCUUUGACGCUUGUUGCUUUUCUUCUUAUUUAGAGGUCCCAACCUUUCGAACAUGGAAGUUCUUGAAGUUGGUUCUCCAAGUCGAUCAAAGACAGAGGGUCUUUUAGCAGCAGUGGAUUCUUCUUCUAUGGUGAUGUAAUUAAUGACUGCCCUUUUUAUGGAGAUUCGAAUUGGAGGUAGCUGUGUAUAUCCUUGGCCUUCACGUGCUUGCCUGGUUGUACCCUCUGAUGGAAGUUUGCCUAACCUUGAUGGCUCAUUAGGAUCGUAUCCGGCCUUUAUAAAUAGCUUGUAUGCAUUUGGAUCAAAGCCCUCUUUCGUACGCUUCAUAGGGAGUGUCAUAUAUUAUGGUAGAUUUUGAGCCACAGACUCUUCAAGAAGUCUUGAGGAUGGAUUUAUUGCAUCAAUCUUCCUGAUAGGUAAAGUUGACCCCUUUAGCAUAUUAUCUUGGGAACCUGAUGGGUGAUCUUUUUCUUUCCUUACCUUUGGUACAUAACGAAGAAUGGGAGUUGCCUUCUUUUUCGUAGAAGUGACACCUUCUUUAUUUAAAGUGGAGAGAGACUUUUUGGUGGUGAAUUUUUCGACAGUCACCGCGACUUUCUUAGAUGUAAGAUCGUCACACUUGGUCUUGGUGACAUCUUCAACCCUUUUCUCAUCCACAACAUGCUUCUUUAAGUAGAAUUUUGCAUCGGCAAAAUGUGACUCAGCUUCAGUGAAUGGUAUGUCAUCAGAAACUAUCUUUAUUUCCAUUCUGCCUUCAAGGUACUUCAAACAUUGAUAGUAAGAGGACGAGAUAAUUUUGUUCCCAUGCACCCAAGGCCUAUCGAGCAAUAUAUUGUAUGAAGUUUUGGCAUCAAUCAUAUGCAUCAAUGGGUUUGAUUGAAAAUCAUCCAUACGAAUCCCCAACUUGAUACGUCCCAUGGCCCUAUGGCCCCCUUGGUUGAAGCCUUGGAUCAUUAUAUGGCUUUCAUCUAAUUCGCUAGUAGCGAUGCCAAGCUCCUUCAUCGUACGGAUAGGCAGGAUAUUUACUCCAGAUCCCUCAUCUAUUAAAAUUCUAUUGAUCUUCUUUCUAGAAUUUGACCUACCAUGUAUAAGGGAAGGUUAUGUAGGGUCUCACCAAGCAUAAGAUCGUUAUUUGUGAAUGUAAUUUUUGUAUCACACAAAUGUGCCUCUUCGCCAAGAGUUUCAGCAAGCUUUUCGGAAGGUGAAGAAACCUUCAUGGGUAGAUUCUCACCCUUUUCCCCCUCUUUGGUGGUAUUAAAACAAGACACCUCAAGGUUGACUUGGGCAGUCUUAUACGAAACCAACUCGGUAAUAAUUCCUCUAAUGUCACCGGACGUUAAGGUUUUAGAUGGUGAAGCUCCGUCACCCUCGUCUUUUUUUAGAAUCCAACCAACUUCUGUUUCUUUGGUUUAUUUACCAUUCUCUUUCUAGUUGGCUGCUCAUACGUCUCCUUUCGCAGACUCAUCUUCUUGUGUCUGCAUCUGGUCACCAGAGUCCAACCUUUAUCAUCGUCUUCGUCAACUGAAGACCUAUUAAGCUCUAAUAUCUUCUCAUUAUGCUCUUUGACACAAAUCUGAAUUGGGUCGAGUGAGCUAAAAGUGAUAGAUAUUUUAUGAGAGCUGGCUGUCUCAUCGUCGAAGAAGAUUUUUUUUUCUUUUGCUAGUUGCAUGACUUUAUCUUUAAAGAUAAAGCAUUUCUCCAAAGGGUGACUUAUGAGCCUAUGAUAUUUGCAAUAAUUAGGAUCAUUGGUCUUUCCAGCUUCGUUGGGACGCUUCAUCUCUGGGAUUUCGAUGAGCUUAUGCUGAAGGAGUUCAUCGAAAAUCUUAGCAACAUCAGAAUCAAGGAAGGGAUAUUUCUUUUCUUGCAUCUCCUUUAAAGUUUUUUGAUUCAGACGCUCUCCAGAAGUCGUCUUCACACUUUGCUUCUAUCUUACCUUUGUGGUGACCUUCACAGGAGAUACAUCAACAUUCAUGGAUUCCUUGUUUUCAUUUUUGGGAAGAAACUUGCCCCAUAUUUUGGGUUUUUGCUUUUUCUUUCUCCUUCGAGGAUCAUGAAUAGGCACUCCUUCCUUUCCAGUAGAAGACAUGCUCAACUCCAUGUCGUGAGCACGAGUAGCUAACUCUUCAAAGGAUUUUGGUUUAAUUCCUUUCAAGAUGUAGAGAAGCCCUCAGUGCAUUUCUUGGAUGCACAUCUCUAUUAUAGAAGCUUCACUGAGCCUAUCUUUCCAGUUUAGACUGGUAUUUCUUCAUCGAUUGAUGAAGUCGAUGACUGGCUCAUCCUUUCUUUACCGAGUAUUUGUGAGCUCUAUCAUGCUCACUGUACGCCUUGUGCUAUAAAACCGACUUAGGAACUCGUGUUCCAAUUGCUCCCAACGGUCGAUGGAGUUAGGAUCGAGGUCUGUAUACCAAUCAAAGACGUUUCCCUUUAGGGAACGAACAAACUGUUUGACAAGAUAGUCACCUUAAGUUUCAGCAUUAUUACAUGUCUCGACAAAGUGUGCGACAUGUUGUUUGUGGUUACCUUUGCCCUCAAAUUGUUAAAAUUUUGGGGGUUGAUAGCCAACAGGUAUUUUGAGGCUAUCUAUUCUUGCAGUGUAAGGCUUGGCAUAUGCAAGGGAAGACUUGGUGACAACAUCAUACUUGUCUUUGAGGGUCCCUUCAAUAAAUUCCCUCAAUUGCCUAAUCGGGAUUAUUCCCUCAGCAAAAACUUGCACCUCUUUAGUCGAUGGUGUUUGUUUCACAGGAUUUUCUAUCUCAUGAACCUCUAGAGCUUUUCCCAGUGCAUAGCUAGAUUCUCUAUCUAUCAAGCCUUCCACUCUAUCCACUAUCUUAUCAAUCCUAGCCUCUUCAUUCUGAACAUAGUUGGUCAGGCCUUCAAUUGACUUUGUCAGAUUCGCAAGCUGCUCCUCUAUAGAUGAGACAUCAGUUACCAUUGCUUGCAUGAUCACCGAAGAUGUUGGAGAGUAACACGAAUUAUCACAUAAGUUGAUUUUUGAAGUACUUAGCUUAUGUGGUGUAAGUGGAGAUGACGCAUUUGUUGAACGACCAUCGCUCUUGGCUCCAGAGUAUUUGAAACCAGAAUGCUCAAGUAGAGCUAGAGUCUUUUUCAGUGAUUCAGCCACACUGCUUCCUCCUUCUGAAGCACUUAAAUUGGACUUCGUUCCUUUUGAGGUUGAAGAUCCAAAAACUGGAACUGGAGCGGACGACACUGGAUGUGUUUGUUGUCCUAGCAAGCCUGCCUUGCUUCUUGUGACAGCUCCCAGGCUUCCGAAAGUAACAUAUAGAAUGCUUUCUACUUCAGCAGAGAACUUUGAAUCUGUAGCCUUGGAAACAGUUCAUUGUGAAUUGGCCUUCUUGGAAGUCAUUUCGUUGUUUUUAAACUUUAAAGUAUGAAAAGUUGAGAUGAUAGGUAGAGAUCGUCCCACUGGGCGUGCCAGAAUUUGUUGGACAGUAAAAUUUUCGAGGCCAAAAAAUAAUAAAUAAUCGAGACAAAAAUAUAUUGCAACAACCAAUUUUAUUCAUUUCUAUGCGAGUGUUACAAUCUCUAGGAAUCAUCUGAUUCGUCUUUUCAAAUAUAAAUUCAAGGGCUAAUUAAAGUUUGAUCUUGAAUUUGAACUUAAUUUGAUGGACUUGAGGACUUGAUCUUGACUUGUGCUUGAAUUCAAGGGCUUUUGAGCUUGUUCUUGAAUAUUGAUGUCUUGAUCUUGAAUCUUGGUGAACUUGGUUUGGAUGCUUGAGCUUUUUAGAGAAAUUGCGGAGUUUGAUCUGCGAGCUUUCUCUUGCUACUUGUUAGAGUUCUGGGGGUCCGUUUUUCUGAAUUAUGAGGCCCUUAUUUAUAGUUGUAGGAAAGGAAGAGUCCUGAUGAAUAUGAAUUUCCUUUGACCAAUCAGAUUUAAGUGGUGGCAUCUUUUAUGGGCUUUUAUUUCAUGGGUCUGCUGCAUCAGUUUGACAUGUGGCACGGUCUUAUUGGCUCCUUUACUUGACUUGGCAUGCUACAUCAUUUGACACGUGGCGCUUAUUUGGGCCUCUAGAAUAUGACAAUAUUUUGGGCUUAGUAAAGUGGGCUCAUCAUUUGUAACCCAAAUUAAUGGACUAACCCAAUAAAUAUUGGGUCUUAUUUAAAUUCAUACCUAUUUGGACUUAAAUAAUUAAUUCAAUUAUAUUAAUUCGUAAUAUUUAUUCGAAACUAAUAUAUUUUGAAUUUAAUAUAAUCCAAAUUUUGUACGAAUUUAAAUUUAAUAAAAUUACAUCGCCCACAUGGAGCUAACUGAUUUUAUCCCAAUUUUCUUUUUAAAAUUAUUUAAAAUCCUACAAAGAUAUAUCAAUUUUUUCCCGGAUACAUCACUUAAUUUAUAAGAAUACAUUAUAUUAUGGAUACAUCACUUGAUUUUACAGUAUACCUUACCAAAAUUUUAAAUAAAAUUAGAAAUUUAUGUAAUUAUUUAAAAGAACUAAUAUUUUACAUAAUUAUGAUAAGUUAACUUGUGGUGUAAUGUAAUUUUUUCAAUAAAUAUAAAAACUAAAAAUUACACAAACUCACAACUUAAAUUUCACUUAUUACAAAAAGGUCCCAUCUCUCCAAACAUAUUACAAAAAUCUUAUUUUCCUCUAAAAAUACAUAUGCAUAGCUUCUAUGUAUAUGUCGGUCCUUUUAUGUAUAUGAAUCGGCUUUGUUAUGUAUAUGUCGGCCUAGUUAUGUAUAUGUCAGCCUUGUCAUACUUGUUGUGUGUAUGAAUCGACCUUGUUAUGUAUAUGUCGGCCUUGUAUUUAUAUGUCGGUCUUGUCAUACUUGUGUAUGAUUCGGCCUUUUAUGUAUUUGUCGGCCUUGUCAUAUACAAAGGUUUCUAUGUAUAUAUCGUCCUUGUUAUGUAUAUGAAUCGGGAGGGAGAGUAAAGUAAUUAAGAAAGUGGGAUAAAAUGUAAAUAACUCUAAUGAGGUUAGGAUUUAUGUUAUUUUUACAAUUUUUUUAUAAUUGCAUAUUAUAGCAACUUUUGAUAUGUAUUUUUGCAAAGUGUUGCUAUAAAAAUACAAUUACAAUUGUUUUUACUGCAUUAAUUAUCUAAUCUAAAUAUGGUAAUAAUUUCAUAAAUUAACAAUUAAAGAUUACAAUCCCAUUAAAAGCUCACUAAUCACCCUUUUUCUGUUUCCUCCCAACAACCCUAUUCAAAUUCAAAAAAAAAAAUUAUAUUAUCCACUCGCUAUAUGUGUGAUUCUUCUUCUUAAAAAAAAAAUAAUUCAAUUUUCCAGUCGCUAAACGCAUGAUCCUUAAAAAAAAAUCAAUUCAAAUUUUUGUUGAAGCUUCAAAUUCGCUGUAAUUGAACAAUCAAAUUCAAUUGUACUUGUUGAUGUUCAAAAAAAAAUUCGUAAAGUUCAACUAUCAACAUUACCUUGUUCUCGAUAACACUUUGGAAUUCAAUUAUCUUCUACGAAUUAGUGUUUAAGUGUUGUUUCAGGUAUUACCGUAUUUUUUUUUUAGUAUAUUUUGUUUUUGCCGAUCGUUUUUUCAAUUACUCAAUUUUUGAUUCAUCGUAGAUUUAUUUACUGAUGCUCCUAUCUAAUUUUUUGUUGUCGCCGUUAAAUUUUAUAUGAAUAAUUUCUAAACGAAUUUUGAGUUAUAAGCAAUGAAGGAGUAAAUUCAACAUAUAUACAAAAACCUUCAGAAUUCAACUAUUUGUUGCCAAAUUUCAAUUUAGAAGUUGUUUCAGGUAUUAAAAUUUCACUAUUCGACUAUUUAUUUGAUGAUCGUUUGUUGUUAUUUUGAUUGGUUUAACAAUUGAACAAAUUGUGAAACUUUCUAGAAUUUCGAUUAUGAACAUAAUUUAAACAAAUUUUGAUUUCAAUUUCAUUCAAUUAUUUUCUGAAAUCCUAGAUCAAUGAAUGAUCGAAUUGAGCUGUUGAAUGUGAUGAAUUCUAUUGACACAUAUCAAAAUACAAAUUAGGUAUGCUCCCAAAUGUAUUUUUGUGUGUUUAAUGUUAAAACUGCAUAUGUAUUUUUGCUAUGCUUAGUGUUAACACUGCAUAUGUAUUUUUGGUUUGUUUGUCGGAAUUUCAGAAUAUAACUGUAUAUGUGAAAAUAUAUGUUAUACGUGUUUUACUUCUGUUCGAUUCAGUAGUUUCUGUAUUUGGUUGAAAACUUUUGUUGUGUUUGUAUUUUACUUUAAAUAAAUUUUAUUAUGUAUUUUUUGAACAAAUUGUGAAGUUUUGUAGAAUUUCAAUUAUGAUCAUAAUUUAAACAAAUUUCUAUUUGAAUUUUAUUCAAUUAUUUUCUGAAAUCCUAGAUCAAUGAAUGAUCGAAUUUAGUUGUUGAAUGUAAUGAAAUUCUAUUGACCCAUAUCAAAAUACAAAUUAGGUAUGCUCCCAGAUGAAUGAGACGUCUAUAACAAUUGUACUGCCACCAUAGUACAAACGCCCAACAAGAAGACCUCCUGCAAAGAAGGAUCGUGGAAAAUCGGAUCGAGAUAUGUUUGGAAAGAAGAACAUCAGCUCAUGCACUGGAUGUGGGGCUAAGGGUCACAACAGACAUUCUUGUAGGAAAUAUCAUAAAUGAUACAUUUUUUCUUCUGUAUUAUUUUUUAAUACUUUCUUCUGCACUUUUUAUAAUAAUGAACACAUUUUUAUGGUUCUAAACAUUUAUUUAGCAUUUGCGAUCUAAGCACUGUUUAAUAUGAAUGUUGCAUUUGUAUAUAAUGCAAAAUCUGAACACUGCUUAUGUAUUUUGAAUCUACAUAUUAUAUGUAUUUUGAAUACUGUAUAUAUAUUUUUAGUACAAAUUUAGUAACUUUGGUUAACCUCAUAUGAAUGUUAGCUUUAGAAUAAAGAAAAAUUAAAUAAAUAUGAUGUAAAUUGCAUAUGUAUUUUUAAUGCAGUUUCAUAUGAUUUUAAUAAAAUUUUAAAAUAAAUUAAUUUCAUGCAUUUUUCUAAAUUAGUUAGUUUGAAUCACCUCAUAUUUAUUUUGAAACUAUUGAACAAAGGAUAAAUACAUAUAAUAUAUUCUGCAUAUAUAUUUAUUUAAUGCAAAAUCUGAACAUUGUAUAUGUAUUUUUGAUCUCUAAAUCUCACAGUCAAAAAAAUAAAACUGCAUAAAAUACUUAAAUGAAUUUCUUUCAUUCAAUUCACAAACUUAAAGUUGAAUUCAUCUCAUAUGUAUUUUGAAAGUAAAUGAACACAAAUUAGAAUAUAUAUGAAGGUAAGUGCAUAUGUAUUUGUAUUGAAAAUUUUAAGACUGCAUAUGUAUUUCAGAGGUCAAUCGUACUGCAACCAAUAUUAUUGAACACUGGAGUAAGACACAUAGUACAAAAUUGUUGAAAACAUAUUCAACUUAUACAACAGAAAUGAAUUACUUUCAUUCACUUCAAAAUAAGUAACAUUUAAACACUUCAAAACAUAAAUAAGUUUGUACAAAAAAAAAACAACAUUCAUACACCAGUUUGUCGACUAUCCAAUGUAAUAAAUUCAACAAUCAUCAUAACUCUAAAACUUCAGUGACACUAGUUAUUCGGCUUUGCCUGCCAGGCCUCAAGGGUGCUUCGACAUCGCUAUGAGCAUUUGCUUCUUGUUUUCUCAUGCCAUAUAUAGCCCCACAAUAGUGCAGAAUAACAUGUACGAAGUGUAUUGGGGUUGAACUCAAUCAAAGGAACUCUUUUACCAUAAGAAAGACACUCUGCGUAUGUUACCAUAUACAAACCACAGUCCCUACAAAAAAAAAAAAUUGAAUAGUAAAAUUUAAUUUCUACAAACGAUAUUGGUAAAUGUAUAUUAAAGUAAUUACAAGCUUUCACUUGAUUGUUGAACCAAUUCAUCUGCAAAUAACACAUCAAAAAGAUCUGACAAGCUUUUAUCUUUGUAUAUUGGAUGGUUAUGAAGAUCAAUACCUUUCUUUUCGUAGAAAUUACAAGCUUGGGAUACAAUAGGAUAAUCUCAGCUAAUUUUUGUAUCUCAACCAGAACAAUUGCAUAGUGACCAGAGAAUUCAUAUGAAUUAUAUAAGAAUAUGCACCUCUCGGAGAAUGAUAAAAUUGCGAGAACCCAAUGAUGUUUCUCAAAUUUAACAAAAAAAAAAAUCUUGUAAAACUGUAAAAAAAAANNNNNNNNNNNNNNNNNNNNNNNNNNNNNNNNNNNNNNNNNNNNNNNNNNNNNNNNNNNNNNNNNNNNNNNNNNNNNNNNNNNNNNNNNNNNNNNNNNNNNNNNNNNNNNNNNNNNNNNNNNNNNNNNNNNNNNNNNNNNNNNNNNNNNNNNNNNNNNNNNNNNNNNNNNNNNNNNNNNNNNNNNNNNNNNNNNNNNNNNNNNNNNNNNNNNNNNNNNNNNNNNNNNNNNNNNNNNNNNNNNNNNNNNNNNNNNNNNNNNNNNNNNNNNNNNNNNNNNNNNNNNNNNNNNNNNNNNNNNNNNNNNNNNNNNNNNNNNNNNNNNNNNNNNNNNNNNNNNNNNNNNNNNNNNNNNNNNNNNNNNNNNNNNNNNNNNNNNNNNNNNNNNNNNNNNNNNNNNNNNNNNNNNNNNNNNNNNNNNNNNNNNNUUCGCCUUUUGGAGAAGAAACUUUUUUCAACCACUUUUUUCUUCAAAAUAUCAGCUAUCUUCAAAAAAAAAUUCAACCAACAACAACAACAAAUCAACCCAAAAUCAUCUACAAUAUUCAUUCAACUCCGAUUAUCCUCCAUUUAUCGCAACAAAACAAAACCCAGUUCCAAUUCUCAUCCAAAAUUUAAUUUUUUCAACUAUAUCAACUCAUAAAACAUCAAAUUUAACUGAAAAACAAACAAAACAAAAUUCAGCAAAUUCGAUGACCUUGAUUCUCCGUUAACAACUACAAAAAUCAAAACCUUAAAGAUGAAAUGGAGAAAUUGUUUACAGUACAAAAUUAAAAAAAAAAAUAUAUUGAAAAAUUGAUAACAUGCAAUAACUGAAUUAAUUAUUACCUGAAAUUGUGGAACAAUAAUCAUGAAAAAUACGUUAAGAAAGAAAAUUUUUGAAAGAGAAAAUCUAAUAAGAAGCAUGAAAAAUGGUAAAGUAUAAAGCAAUUAAAGGAAAGAGAAAGUUUUAAGCGUAAAUAAUGGAAGCAGCUUUUAAGAUGCAGUAAUUGUGGUCCCCCACUGAAAAUAAUGCUACAAAUGCUACACAAGUUAAUUAGGAAAAAAUGUUGCUAUUUUUUGUAAUUUAGUACUUAGGUAUGCUAUGUAUAUGUAUUUUUCUCUAAAAAAUAUUCACAUUGCCGGUGUUUAUAACUUGAAACCGACAACUCGACAUUUAUGGGCUGAUGCUGUAAAAGAGGCCCAGCCCAUUUAUUUAUUUUUCGCAUCAUCCAUUAUGACCAAUUUAGUAACCGAAUUUAAGGAAGUCCAACUUGUUCAUCUCUUUCCAUUUCUUUCUGCUGCUUCUUCCUCCUCAUUUCGUCGGUUCUUCCUAAAAAAGGUAUCUCAUUUUUUUUAUUAUCCUUUUCAAUGGAACUUCCUAUCUUUGAUGAUUUAUUCUUUUUAUAUACAUAAAUAUACUUCUCAGAGUAUUUAUUUAUUUUUAUAAACGGUAAUGUCUGAACCAACUUGCACGCACAUGACUAAUUUUAUUGCAGGGGGUAGAGUAGAAGAAACGGUGUCGUAAUUGCAUGACGAGUGCUUCAGAGCUAUUCUUCACUAGGAGGUCUCGUUACGGUCGAAGCGAUCUCGAAUUAGGAUCCAAUUUAUCGCCAAGUCGAAUUUCUCACCACCACGGCGGUCACAAUCGCCGCCACCACCACCAAAAUAUCCGCCGUGAUCGUCUCGAUGUGAACGAUUGUGAGCCGUUGCGCCGCUCACCUCACCUUCAUAGACGUUUCCCUCCUCCUCCUGUAAGAAUUUUGGAUUUGUGUAUUUUAUUUCUAUGUGCAGAAGGGAGCCUUUGGAGUAACGUGUUCAAGCGGUGUAAACAGUCUCUUGCAGAAAUAUAAGAUAAAGUUGCGUACAAUUGACACUUGUGGCCCCGACUCUUCUCUAGACCAUGCGUAUAGACGGAGCUUAGUACACUGGGCUGCCCUUUUUUGUUUCUACAUGUUGUAGAGUGAUAACAUUAAAAAUGUUGAGUGCUGCUGUAUCUAUUGUGUUGCGCUGGCAUAUUAUAUUUGAUUAGAGCAUCUAAUUUGCGUGUACAAAGACGAGAUUUUGAGUCACAUUGGUCUACAUGCAUAUAUUUAAUACUAGAAUUGCUAAUUAGCUGAAUCCAAUUGUUAUUUCAGCGAAUUCUUUUCUAUUUUAUUCUCCAAUUAUUAGUUGUAAUUUCUUGCCUCAGCGGUACUAAAUGUAUAUAGUAAUAUGUAGUGGUUCACCCUCUUUUGUAUAAUAAGUAUUAUAUUUUCUGACAGGAGACUGUCGGACCGUUGGGAUCGUGCCACAAUCAAAUAUGCACUUUUAAUUGACAUUCUGCUUUCUUUAUUACUCUUCCUGCCUAGUGAUGAAUAUAUGGACAACGGACUCGUGAAUUUGAGGAUAAAUUUUAUUAUUCUCGUUUAUCACACCUGCAUUGCCUUUAUUUGACAUUUCUAGUUGCAAAUGUUAGAGCGGGAGGCCUGUUUAUAUAUAUAUAUAUAUAUAUUGUUCAUCACUCUUAUUGUUACACUUGCAUACAAAUCUCUAGUCAUGCUAAAAUGAAUCAUGGAAAACAGGGGACGUUCUGUAAAUGUUACGAUUACAAUUAAGGUUAAGGUAUUGUGCAAUGAUAUGUUUAUCUCUUUAAUUUUUGUAAGCUUACCAAAAAUAAUACAUCAACAAUUAGGCUUGAAUCCCAAAUAAGUCUUAUAUGGAUCUGUUGUUUCAAUCUUUUGUUCUUUAGCUAUCACAGACGAGAUUUGCUCCUUUUCCAAUUAAUUCCUGCCAUUGGUGGCAAUAUUUUGAAGCCACUAUUGCCAUUUGGUGUGCCAUUUUGAGAUUUACUCCCCUGUGGAAUGAGUCGAGUAAAUGUGAUGUGACAGCUUACUUUAAUUGCAAGCCUUGGUUUUGUUUAGCAGUAUGAACUUCAGAGCUUUUCUUAGUGUAAAUGAUUGCCAUUGUAUUCUCGAUUGGCCUGAUUAUAUGGCGUUUGACCCGUGAUUCUUGUAAUAUCUUAAUGUAGUGCUGGCUGAUGUACUUCUCUCUCUGUGCUACAUCUUUAAGUCCCUCCCCUCCCCUCUUUAACAAUUCAUUCCUCAGCUUUUAUGUUCGUUUAUGAGAUGGUAAUUGUUGUAAGUAUGUACUUGAUGCUCUUGUAAUUGAUUGAUAGAUUAUUUGGAUUUAGUCAUUCAUUUUUGUUGUUGCAUGAAUAUAUUGCUGUUUUGUUUUGUGAUAUUGUGUAUUUCAAUGUUUGUGUUUUUUACAGUAUAUUGCUGAUUUGUGAUUAAAAGACUUGGUAGGAAGCUCCAAAUUCUUACCACCUAAUUUUUCUGAUAGAUUUCAAUUCUUUGAAGGUAACUUGAAACAUUGAUGCUAAUUACUUUGGUCUUUUUCACAAAUUAGGAUCGUGAUUCUGUUUCGCUUGACUCUGGUAGUAGCCAGGCUGCAUCAGGAGGCGCCAGUCAUGCAACAAACCACGGCAACAGAAUACGAGAUAGGGUGGGAAUCGCAGGUAGUGAGCGUCUCCCUGGUUCUGUACUACUUGCAAGGGAAAGACUUCUACAGAGGUUGAGAGGUGUAUCUAUAUCUGGAAAUAGGUUGGUAUUUUCAAUCCAUGAAACCCUAUAGUAUGAGCUUUUCUUGGCAAACCACUGUAGUUUAUGAUAUUAUAUAUCCAAAAUUCAACCUUUGAUUAAACAAAUACGGAGAUGGGUAAGUGUACAUUUCUAAGAGGAUAAAUUUCUGAUAAAGCAGACAUGAAGUUGCUUGGGUCUUGAGAUGAACUUUGAGUUCUCUGAUUCCUCAAAUCAAUUUGUUUGGGUCAUUAAGAAUAUCGAAAUGAGCAUGUGUUAGAUGAAAAAGACUGGAGAUAUUAGUUUCCUGUAGUGAAUGGACUUUCAUCAUAUGAUUAUCAAAAUAUUGCACCUAGACAUUGUUGAGUGCUUAGUAAGGAGUUUAGCUGAUUUUGCUGACCCUUCCUCCUCUAUGGCUUUUGUCAUUGUAGAAGUUAAUGGACAUGUUUUAGGACGUCAAUUCACCAGCAGUCUUACAAGUAUACGUUUUUUCCGUUCUGGUUGUCUUGUUGGGAUGAUUUCGCACUAGUGUUUGUAAGUUGCUCUGGUAGUUAUUGCCAUAUGAUUUAAAUUCUGAUAACACUGCCCCUUUGUAUUUGACAUGAGCAGUUUGGGCGUGAUAUCAUUCAAAAUUGAUCUAGCUGUCUGUUUUAGGUGUUCUAUGUUGGUUAAACUUGGUCCUUACAUUCUGUGGUCACUUGAACCUUCUAUGCUAACCCAAAGAGACUUUCAAUUAAUCUUCAUUUUAAAAUAGUGAAGUGCACUGUCAAUUUAAGUGGAACUUCAAAGCUGUUGCAUGUGAUCUAGUUGAUUGAAAGCUGAUAUUGGCUUCUGCUAGGGGAAGUUACCGGGUCCCAGUAAGCUCCCGUCACAACUUCACAUUUGAGGAUGAUUUCAGACUUGCCGAUGUCGGUGAUUGGGAAUCAGAUUCUAGCCUGUGGACUGCUGGAACAACGCCCAGCCCUGAUCUGAUGUGGGUAGAUGGAAACAAGAGGCCCCCAGGUCUGAGUCAGGAAGCCAUGAAUUUAUUGCAUAUUGGGAUUUUCAGCAAUUCAGACAAGAAAGAGGAAGAAACACAGGCACGGGUGGUUCUCGACUGUAGCAUUUGUCUUGAUGCUUUCUUGGAGGGAGACAAGCUAGUAUGUUUACCUUGUGGGCAUAGGUUUCACCCUUGUUGCUUGGAACCGUGGGUAAGAACUUGUGGGGACUGCCCAUAUUGUCGAGCAGCUAUACAUGUAACUUCUUGUAGGGCGAAAGGAAGGCCAUGAAGCCAACCAUCAACUAGAGUGGUGGUCUCUUGUGAGUUCUUCUUUUCUGAUAGACUUUGACCUUUUUGUUGUAUGGAUGAUAGCUUUUUAUAGAAUGAGUAGAACGGGAAUGUAGCCAAAUAUCUGUGCUGUAAUCAUGUUGGGACUGUAAUCGAUUAUACUUGAGACUUGAUAAUUUUUUAUAUUUUUGGUCAUUCUGAAUGGAGUUUAUCAAGGUUUAGAUUUUGGCCAAAACAACGUAAACAAACAGAAUUUGCGCAAGAACUGAAAGGGUGAGCUUGCAAACUCAAGUUGUUACAAAUUUCAGAACAAAAGCCUGUAAGUUUCGUGUAAGCUAACAAUGUCAUUAAUGUUGAAUUAGUCAGAUCCCUAUAUCAGUGUUUAGAUACCCUUGAGUAUUGAGUUGACAAAGUAUCCCUACUUGGUUGAAUUAAUUGGGUUCUUUUCUACAUGUAUCACUAAGUAAGUUUAUGAAAAGACUAUAAUAAUUAACAAGUCUCGUCAAAAGUCCAUGCCGUGGUGCUAGUGCUAGACAAAGUCUUGUAAUGCACUUCGUUUUCUCUACAUAGCUGGCAAAUUAUGUUUUCUCCAGAAAUGUGGUAGACAAAACAGUGCAAGUAGAUAACUUUCAUGCAUGCAUCAUCAUGAGCUUCAUUUAUUGUAUAAACCAAGCUAGCUAGCUAGGUGUUUUACAUAUUCUAUGUGCAUUUCAAAAGGCAUUUAUAUGUUUGAGUUGUGCUGUUUCCUUUUCAUAUGUUCAUAUUAAUUCUAGUUACAUAUUCGUAUCAGAUACAGUUGUGAUUCAAAUUAUUAUUGAGAAAUCAGACGGUUUGAAAGGGAGUGGCUUCCUAAGAGACGUCCAGAAUACCUUUAUUCUGGUCAAUAAUAAAUGAAAAAGGUGAGAAGAUUUCAUGUUCAUACAGAUCCCAAUGUAGUAUUCCAGCUAUUUUGAAAAGCAAAGGUGCUAAAUGACCAGGGGCGGAUCUUAAGGGGUUCACGGGGUGACAUGACACCUGCAAACUUCGAUUGGAUAACUGUGUGUAUAUAUAUAUUGAAUAAAACUGGUAUAUUAUUUAAGUGUCACCCGGUGCAACAGUUGAGGAAGUAGUGUCAGUGGCAAACGCGUUGAAAUUUUACGUAGUAGUGUCAGUGGCAAACGCGUUAAAAUUUCACGUAGUAUACCAGAGUUCAAGUCCAGAUGCCAGCAGUAUUUUGUUACUUUUUGUUCGUUAUUCUAUUUUCUAUAAGUUUUUUUCAUCUUAACUUAAUUUUUGUUUAACUCCUUUUUUUGGGUAAUCUUUGUUUAAGAAUUUUUAACUUUAAGUGUAGAAUAUAAUUGAAGAUUCUUUCUUCGUUCAAAUUUAUAGUUAACCUCUUCUCAUAAAUCAUAAUAAUGAUGUUUGACAUUAUGUUAUAAUUUCUUAACAAUAGAAUUGGAAAUAUCCAUUGAAUGUUGACAACUAUUUUGUACUUUCACGCUGACUGAUAAGUUGAAUUUAACUCUUGUUUACAUAAUUUAUAGUAAUAACAACAACAACGACAACAAAUUCAGUGUAUUCUCACAUAGUGGGGUCCGAGGAGGGUAAAAUGUAUGCAGUCCAUACACUACCUCCGGAGAAGUAGAAAGGUUGUUUUCGAUAGUAUUUAUAAGAAUAAUCACAUUUUUAUGAUUUGAUCUAUUUGUCUGUACAAAUUGAAAAGACAAAUAAUCAAAUCGAAACUCAAAGUCUAUAAAAUCAAAAAAAUAUUUAUCUUAUUUGGGACAGUGUAAAUAGCAAAACGUAAAGCAAAAAAUUAACUGAUUUCCACCUGAAUACGUAAAAAUUAGGUUCUUCAAUAAUGUUUCAAUGAAAUUUUUCUUCAAAAAUCUCAAACUAACAAGCGAAAUUCCAGUGGGAUGUCCAUAAAAAUUAUCCUUUUUGAGUAAUAGCUUUAAUGUUAAAAGUGACAUGGCACCCGCAAUCUCGAAAUCCUAGAUCCGCCUCCGUAAAAUGUUUUCUGAAAAAUGUUUUCCUAUUUUUCCUUGUUUGGUUGUAAUAAAAUGUUUGGAAAAUAUUUUUCAUAAUAACUCAUUUUCCUCAAUUUGGGGGAAUAUGACUUCCCUCCUGAGCCAAGGGAAGUCAUUUUCCAGAAAAUGACAAAUGUGACGUAUGACCCCACCCCUAUUCCUCUUACUCACCCCAACAACACUCAUAUUCACAUAACUCAAAAAAUUCACAUUUCUCAAAAAUUUACAUUACUCGGAAAUAUUUUUCACUGUGCUUUAAUUCAAUUUUUCACUGCUUGAAAUAAAAAAUGGUGAAGCCCGAAUUUUUUCCAUUUUCAAUGUUCGUUGAAUGUAUUGUUAUUUUCAUAUGCAUAGAGGAAGACCUACCUAUGUUACUUUUGCUAAUUGUAUAUUUUAUUUUGUCAUCGAUGUAACUUGUUUUACGAGAUUGAAUAAGCUUGUCGUUCCAUUAUAUUUCUAUUGAUUGUAAUAUCUUGAGAUUGUCUUGACAAAAUAUUGAAAAGUGUCUUCUAUAUUUGUUAAUUAAUAGUUGCUUUAAUUUAGUGAUUGUAAUAUUUUAGUAUUUGAUAUUGAUAUUAUUUGUUAUGCUUUACAAAUUGUUGAGUUGCGAGAGGCAUUGAUAUACUAGUUAACGGUUAGUAGUAUUUUUAAAAAAUAUAUUUUUCACUCACCAAUCAAACACUAGAAAAUAUUUUUCUAAAAAAUAGUCUCUACUCACCAACCAAACACCAUAAAAUACUUUUCGAAAAAUAUUUUUCACUCACCAACCAAACAUGAGAAAAUAAGUAGAAAAUCAACUUAUUUUCCAAGAAAACAUUUUCCAUGGAAAAUAUUUUCCAUCAUACCAAACACACCCGGUAAGUUGAAAAAUAAUAAUGAAUUUCACUUUUGAUAUUAGAAACUUCAUGGUAUCUAAUACUAUGGUAUCUGUUGCUGGUGAAAGGUGACAGAUACUCGUGAAUUUGGUCAAGGUACGCGAACACUGACCCGAACACCAGGUCGUAAAAAAGGAAAAACUUCAUGAUAAUGGUAGCUCUUUUUUAAAAAAUAUAGGAUCGAAAAAUAGUUAGUCUGUUAGAACAUGCACAGCGGAAACAAUAAAUCUACAAGAUCAAUAUAACUUACAUAUAAUAGUAGUAUUUUUAAAAAAUAUAUUUUUCACUCACCAAUCAAACACUAGAAAAUAUUUUUCUAAAAAAUAGUCUCUACUCACCAACCAAACACCAUAAAAUACUUUUCGAAAAAUAUUUUUCACUCACCAACCAAACAUGAGAAAAUAAGUAGAAAAUCAACUUAUUUUCCAAGAAAACAUUUUCCAUGGAAAAUAUUUUCCAUCAUACCAAACACACCCGGUAAGUUGAAAAAUAAUAAUGAAUUUCACUUUUGAUAUUAGAAACUUCAUGGUAUCUAAUACUAUGGUAUCUGUUGCUGGUGAAAGGUGACAGAUACUCGUGAAUUUGGUCAAGGUACGCGAACACUGACCCGAACACCAGGUCGUAAAAAAGGAAAAACUUCAUGAUAAUGGUAGCUCUUUUUUAAAAAAUAUAGGAUCGAAAAAUAGUUAGUCUGUUAGAACAUGCACAGCGGAAACAAUAAAUCUACAAGAUCAAUAUAACUUACAUAUAAUCUAGAUAACAUAAAUCAUCAAACGAAAUUGAAAAGCUACUUACCUAUUGAAUCUUUCACACAAUUCGUUCACUGCUGUGACCUCCAGGGUUAUAGUCUUCUACUAUAUCCUGAUUAACUUUUGCUAUCAAACUUGUGUGGACAAGUACUUUUUGGAUUCAAAGAGAAUAUGUGAAGAGAUGAUAAUCUUCUGAACAAAAAUUCCUAUUUAUUCUUGUUUUCUCUUAAAGAGGGGAAAGCCAAGAGGCAAAGUUUUUGUCUUUUCAGUUGUCAAAAACAUUUUCUGCCUCUUUAUUAUCCAAAAUAUUUUGUGUCCUUUAAUCGUCCAAAACGUUUUCUUAUUUAAAAUCAGAAGAUAUCUCUUCCUUAUAGAAGAUCAAUAAAUAAUAUUACUUCUUCUAGUAAGUUAUUUCUCUUUUCCAAAAUUGAUUAGUUCAUCAGGUAUAGCAGGGAUCACAGAUUUAUUAAGUGAGGCUUCCAAUUAUAAUAUUGAUUCGCACAUGAAUAAAUUACCAUAUUACAAUAAAUUACAAAUUAUUCCACCAAAAAUCUAUAAUUGCACUCCUCGAUUUAAUUUUGAAAUCUACCAUUACAUCUUAUUUAACUCCCCACGUUAGAAUUACCGACACCAAUUAAUUAAAUUAAAUUUCUGAAAAAUUUAACUCAUUAAUUAAUUAAAUCCUUUAUUUACAAUGUUUAACUUAUUUCACAUGACGGAUACAAAAUUCACCUGCAGUGUUUUCACGUUAAAACUUCUAAGCAACCAUAAAGGGGUGUCUUUCAUCUCAAGUCUGAGACAUGGUUCUAUCUACUAAUUAAUAUUUCGCUAAGUGAUUUGUCAUCAUCCAACCUAUUAGGAAUAUGUUGACUCACAAAAGAGUCUCGCCUUUUAAUAGAUUAAAACGGCAAAACAAACCACAUAGAUCAUAAUAAUUAUAUCAAGAUUAAGAGUAUAAGUACAUGUAAUGGAUUAGAGAAAUCGUUAAUUAAUAGGAAAAAUUGCAUAUAUAACGACAUGUUUAUCAGUAUUUAUCAAAAAUCCCAACUAUUUUCAAAAUUUCAUAAAAUCCCCACUUUUAUGCUCUGAAGAUACAUAUAACAUGUAUUAGAUACAUCCUAUAGAUACAAGAAAUAAUUAAACGGAUUAGCAUGAUUUAUGGGAUGUAACGACCUAAAUAGCAUUAAUAUAGCAAUUACUCAAACUAAUUAUUGUUUAAACGGAAUAAUAUCCCACAAUAUGAGAAAAUUUGUUUGUUAUCCCACAAUAAUAGCUAAUAUGCGUUAAAAAAGGCAAAUAACAUAAAUCUUCAUAAUUGAGGAGUAAAUCACUCUUCAUUAGUUCAAAAAUCCUUAGAAAUCAUAAAUAAUUUUAAUGGGUUCAUUCAAAAGAAAGGAAAUUCAUUAUUCUUGAAAAAGAAUUUGUUAUCCCUUCUUCUUUGUUAUUCGUUGUUGUUCUUCUUUUUUUUCGAAGAUUCAUAAUAAUGAAUAUCGCGUCUUAUUAGUACAUUUCAAUAUUUGGUUGUCUGAUGUCAAGCUCGAAGAAUAUAAGAUUGAUGGUUGUGGUCGGAGAUGUACCAAUGUCGAUCUCAGACGCUAUCUCAAGAAAAGCCGAUGAAGAUUUUUCCUCACCAGUUGUUUCACUGUCGAAUGUCAAUAAUGUAUGCAAUUUAUCCGUCAUGAAUACAGAUUAAAAAGUCAGAUUAUAAUCAAGAGAUGUACUCAUGAUUUGUUUGUCAACUCGUUUAUAACCUGAAUUUUAAGUUCCUUUUCUUAGAAUUUUAAGUUUUAAGUUUGUGGGUCAAAUUACUAGUUUUAAGUUGUCAAAUUACUCAUUUUAAGUUUAUUGGAUUAUAGUCUGUCUAUGCAAUCAUUGUUUCAAUUUUAAAGCCAAACAUUCUGAUAAACAAAAUUAUGUAUCUCUUGUUGAUUGAAUUUAGCCAAAAGUACAAAGUUGUUUUCAUGUUUAAGUCAAAAAUACAACACAGAACGAUAUAUAGAAAAACUGUAUGAACAUAAUAUUAUAGAUACAAAUAAUACAAAUAUGUAUCUUGGUUGAAAUACAUGUAUCUAUUGAUAUGCAUAAAUCAAUAAAUGUUAAACAAUAAGAGAUACAUAUAAUUCAUAAACAGUGAAGCAGUGAUCCAAGAUAUGAGAAAUGUAUCUAUAAGCUUGUAAACAUGUAUCUAUUGUUGUGUUAAUUUGAAUAAUAAUUACAGAACAUUAGAAACAUAUAAAAAUAAAAAAUGUAUCUAAUGAAAAAUAAAAAAUGUUCACAUUAAGCAAAUUUUAAUAAAUUUCUUAUGUAUUUGUGAAUUUAAUAUUAAUUAUAUUCAAAGUAACUAAAUGAUAUAAAAAGAUUUAUCUGAACGUUCAUUGAUAAAUUUCUUACAUAUUGCACAAGACUAUCGUUACGUAAUUAACAAUUGAUACAAUCAUUAAAAAAUUGUAUCUAUUGAAAAAUAUAUUUUGUGAACUGUAUGAAGCGUAUGAACAAUUACGUUCAGCUCAAAGUUAUUCAAUUUAGAGACAAAAUGUCUUGCAAAGAGAAAAAAUUAAGAAAGAAAAUUAUGAUUGAAUAUGAGAUUUAAUUGUACGAUGUAUCGUUAUGUUGCACAAUGUAAUGUUGUGUUGGUUACUUUCAUUACUAAACUUAGUUAUAUAUGUUUCAAUAAACUUGAUACAUAUAGUUAUAAAUAUGUAUCUAAUACAAUGUGACAAAAAAUGUUAAAUAUGAUAACUUUGUAAAGUGUAACAAAAAUGUACAAUAAAAUAAUAAUAUAUCAUAAUUUGGAAUAGCCAUAUGACAAUCAUUGGUGAUAAGGUAGAAUCCACGAUGUUGAAAAACAUCUAAAAAAAACACUAACAACAUGUACUAACAUCAUCAAACUAUAUAACAGUCAACUAGCCAACAAGUAAACAAUUACUCAAUAUGCAAAGCACAGACUUUUUCUUUUGGUGUGAAGCUGCUCCUUUGCCUUGGUGGAUCGUCAUUUUCACUAAAGUAUCCUUUCUCCGCCUUUAUAGAGCCAUACUUGCACAAAAAAGUGGCAUAUCUCAUGCGAUGGUAUUGAGCAUCAAUACCCGAUGAGAGAAUGCCUAAUUCCUUGCUCAGGUACUCGGCAUAGACAGCUACAAAUACACCACAAUCCCUGCAUAGCGAUUACUAAUUGAAUUAAAAAUGCAUAUAUACUUGUUUAAGAUAAUGAAAACAAUGAAAAAGGUAAUGUAAUACUUACAAACUUUCACUAUCUUGUUGUGCUAUCCCGAUAAUAUAUUUCACUCGGAAUGGAUCCUAAAAAAAUAUCAAAUUUAAAAAAUAGUAUUAGAUGCAAUAAUUCUACAAAAACACAGAACAAUAUAUAGAAAAACUGUAUGAACAUAAUACUAUAGAUACAAGAUAAUACAAAUAUGUAUCAUGGUUGAAAUACAUGUAUCUACUGAUAUGCUUAAAUCAAUAAAUGUUAAAUAAUACGAGAUACAUACAAUUCAUAAACAGUGAAGUAGUGAUACAAGAUAAGAGAAAAUAUAUCUAUAAGCUUGUAAACAUGUAUUUAUUGUUGAGUUAAUUUGAAUAAUACUUACAAGACAUUAGAUACAUAUAAAAAAUCAAAAAUAAAGAAACAAAUAUACAAGAAAUUGAAAAAAACGUAUCACGCAUAUAUAAAUAUGUAUCACGGCCAAUUAUUUUUCAGAUCUGAACAUGCAAAUACCUUUUGAAGUUCAUCUCUUGAAAUAACUUUAACCACUCUUCUUCUCUUAGCGGGAACAUCAACUCCAACACUGUUAGAUCCUCUUUUCUUCGAAACAAGAGCUUCUUUUUUCUUAUCUGUUUUGACCUUCUUUUUUAGUAAUUUCUUCAUAGUAUGAGGAUCGUUUCUAUGAUUUGAUCUAUUUUCAUUAAAAUCAUAAGAUUCGUAGUCAAAACUAUCAGGAGCGAAAUUUACAACUUCUUUAUAUUGUUUGCUAUUGUCUAAUUGAGAGAUUCCAAGACUGAAUCUAUUCAUUAUGUUAAUUGAAAAAAAUUUAGACGAAAAACACCAAUAAUCAAAGACUUUAUUUCAAAAAAUAGCCGAAAAUUAGUUUGUAAAAAUCAGUGCAAAAAAAUUAUUUUUGGAGAAAUAUUGUUCAGAUAAGACUACAAUAAGUUGAAUAUAAUUUUUAGGGGGGGAAAUUACCUUAAAUCAAAAGUUUGAAAUAGAGGAAGAAAAUAGUUGAAAUCGUCGCUGAAAAAUUGGCGAAGAAUGAAAAAAAAAAAUGGUGUAAAAUUGAUAAAGUAAGUGGCUGAUAUUAAGGGGUUUAAAUAUGUAUCUCAACUUUACCUAAAAGUGGUAAGUGUUGAAAUUUUUGUAAUAUUUUUAAAGUGGGGGGAUUUUUUUAAGUUUUGUAAGUAAAGUUGUUUUAUUAGAUAAUUUUUUCUUAUUAAUAUUUAGAACAUAACUGAAUAUCUUUAAUUGGUCCGUUCAAUACAUACGAAAUGUACUAGCACAAGAAAUUGGAAUAUUAUCACUCCCAUAAUUAAGAUCAAAUUAUAUUUAAUCUUGUGCUACAAUCAUCAAGAAGUUUGUCCUACCUCAUCUUUGAUUGUGAACGUUGAUUUAUUACUUAUAAGAACCAACAAUUUUAAUCUUUCGUGCAUGAGUUAAGAUACUUCAUAUACAAAAUUGUUUACUAUAUAAGUAAAGGACACACACGUUAACACAAUAAUCUAUUCAAAUAAAGAUUUUAUUAAUAUAAUAAAUAGCCUUUACAUUGGAUGAAAAUAUAAUACUAUAAACACAAACUACAUGGUUAAUAGUAUAUCCUAACAUAGUCGACGCUAUUUCAACUCUACAUAUUUAUACUUUUCUUUUGUUUUUCUAUAUGUUUUUGAUAUAAACUUGCAAUUUCAACUAAAUUAAAUUCGUAUAAUUUACAUAAGCUUCAUUUAAGAAAAACUUUAAAUUAAUUCUUUUUUUCAUCUUCAAGGUCGAACUCAAGACCUAGGCUGAAAAUAGAUUGAUCAUAUUCAUUUCACCAUAAUCAUCGAUGAUGCCACGUGUUCAUUCACUGAUCUCCUAAACAGUAUUAUAUGUACAGUCGGUCCAAUUAAAUGUAAAGUCAUGCACCAAACACGCUACAUAUUUAUACUAAUAUAUUCUUCUCAGACCAACAAUUAGUCGUUAAUUUAUUUGUCUAUAUAUGUGAAUGUGCACCUAAACGACCAAUGAAUUCUAUAUUUGAAGAUUCCACAGAACAGAAUUAUGUUUGGUCUUGAAAUGUUAUUUGGGUCUAAAUUAAACUAAUCUAGAUGGUACUACUGUUUUAUUAUAUGCAUUUUAUUGUAUCCCUUUCCUAAUCCAAGGGGCAACAAGCUGUAACAUGAGUUUACUGUAACUAUAUAUUGUUUAUUAUUUAAUUAACUCGUCGUCUUAUUUCCGAAACAUUUUAUUUAUUAAUACUUUAUUCAUUUUAUUCAAGAUUAGUCAUACUAACUUGAGUCACAAUAAAAAUUCGAUAGAUUGUUAGUAAAUUCAAAUAUCCACGAUAUUGAUGCAAAUGUAGCAAUUUUUUUUUGAAACUCUAGGAAAAUUUGCAGCCGCUAUAACUUUUUUUCACAGCCUCUGCCCUUUUUGAUGAGCACUUUGUGCGCAAUCGCUCGUAAAUUAUACAGGAGAUGUAAACCGCAAAAAUACAGCAAAUUAUAGAUGACAAAUGUACAAAUAUCCAUUUCUUCUAUUUCAAUUUAUUUUAGAUAUUCUAAUCGAGCACGAAUUCAAAAUCUAAGACAAAACGAAAACUUUUAAAACAUAUAAUAUUGACAGAAUACAUCGGCAGACCCCUUAAGUACGCACCAUCUUUCACUAGGCACCUCAAGUGGACGUUACUCACUUUUGACACCUAAAGUAGUCAUAAAGUGUGUCAUUUUGGCACAAUCAGCAAAGAAAGUGUAUUACACUCGCUUUUAAGCGAGUUUGAGGGGUAUUUUUAUAAUUUUUUAUCUUUAAUUUUUUAAAAAAAUUAUUGAAAAUCUCACAUUGUCCUCUCCACAACUUCUUUUUAGCUUAACCUCCAUUAGUGGAGGUGAAAUCAACGCUAAAAAAAAAAUUUCACUCCAUUAACAAAAUACUCAAUCCAUUAACAUGUCUACACAAUAAUACACACCAUGAACACCAAAUAAUACCCCUUCCAUUAAUCAACGGAACACACCCAAUUAUAAGAAAUUCAAGAGGAAAAGUAACGAAAAUUUAUAAUCAAAAUUUUCAGAAGAUAAUGAAGAUAUAAUCAUGAUUGGAACUGAAAAUUUUCAAAAGUACUGAAAAUUAGAACUAAAAUAGUGUGUAUUAUUUUCUUCUGCUAAUUUAUUUUCUUUCGUGUGUGUAGCUGUGUGUAUGCCUACUUAGAUGAAAUGAAAGUUGUGUGCGUUUUCGAUGGUGAAGUGGAUGUCUCGAUGCGGCGGCCAAACAAAAAUGGUAGUUUGGGGGUGGGGGAGGUAGGAGGGGUGGGGAGAGGCUAUGGAAAAAAUGACUUAAGGGGUUUGGGGGGGUGGGGAUGGGGUUUGAAUUUUAUAUUUUUUUUUAUAAUUAUUUAAGUUAAAAAAAAUUACCAAAUGUCAAUAAUUUAUUGGUGUUUUUUUUUAAUUAAAAAUAGUUAUUUAACAAUUAAUUUGGAGAAAAAUGACAAAUGUCAUAAUAUUAUCAGUCACUUUAUACGUCAUCGGUGUGUGUAAUACACGCACACGAUAUAUUUUUGCUGAUUCAGUAAAAGGUGUCAAAAUGACACACUUUAUGGCUAUUUGAGGUGCUAGAAGUGAGCAAGGUCCACCUUGGAGUGCCAAAGUGAAAAAUGAUGCGUACUUAAGACUCUGACGAUGUAUUCUGCCUGUAAUAUUUGAUAUAUCAUAAACAACAUGCAUACGGCUAUAAAACUUUUGAUUAUAGUGAUCUUAUUCGCUUGAAAGGAGAAUAAAAGUUGUUAGGUAAAUUAUCUACUUUCCUUCCUACAAUGGUUGGAUUAUUGGAUACUUUGGAUAUUGGACGUAACUUUGAUCAAGACAUCAUUAGUAUUAAACACAAAUUUUAUUAUGCAAAUUAUUUUAUAAUACAAUUAAGUGGUUUGUUACCAAAAACCAACUGCCUUAGCUUGACUUGUGACUUUUUCUACUCAUAAAUGAAAACAAGCUCUUAUAAAUUACUUCCUCCUUUCUCAUACUAUUUGAAUUAUUGCAAAGUUAGAAAGAAAUGAAGAUUAUUAAUUAAAAUUUAUGGUCAAAACCAAACCUUAAACAUUUGUUUCAGUUAUAAAAGAAGAACUUUUGAGUUAAGUCGUUUCGAAUUAUAGUAUUUUGAUAUUGUUUUAGAGCAAACUAAAAAAAAAUUGUCACAAAUUUAAAAAAAAAAGAUAGUAUUUAAUUAAUUAUUAGAUAUUUUGAGUCAUUUUUCUAUUGCAGAUUAUUAGACAUUAGUAACGUAAAGCUGGGGGAAAGAGAAGACUGACCAGAAAUUUCAGCUCUAAGUAAACGACCACCUUUUUGAGUAAAGAAGAAAAAGAUAAAAUUAAACUCUUUUAACUUUCACAUUUGGCAAAGUAUUUCUAUUUGAGUUUAUAAGUUAUGCAUGUGGCUAGGGUAAGAAAUUUCUAUAUCAUCAAGAAUUUUUAAUAUAUUGUAAUCAGUAAUUUCCAGACUUCACUUGGUAGGAAUGCACUGGAUAUGUUCUCAUUAUUGUUGUAAUCAGUAAUUUACUUUUAAUACAAAUGACAUUCUAUAACACUUUUUAAAAUAAAUAGUCCAAAUUUGAUAUCUUUUCAAAAUGUGGCCAGUCGGGUAUACUAAUUUCACUUUAUAUCCAUUUCCUAAUUUGAGUUAUUUUGGCCCAUGUAAUCCAGAUACAGUCCAUGUACGAUACUGAUACAGUUUUCAACUUGAGUCAUUCGAUCCUUUUAAAAAUAUUUCAGUUUUUUUUUGCUAUAAAAUUUUUAACUUGAAAAAUAUUUUGUUUUUUUUUAUUGUUUAGAAAUAAUAAUUAAGUAUAAUCUAUAUCUAUAUCUAUAAUAUAAUAAUAAUAAUAUAUAAAAGUGUGAAGGGCCUUAGAAAUGUUGUUUGAACUUUUUGUCCUUCAUUAAAANNNNNNNNNNNNNNNNNNNNNNNNNNNNNNNNNNNNNNNNNNNNNNNNNNNNNNNNNNNNNNNNNNNNNNNNNNNNNNNNNNNNNNNNNNNNNNNNNNNNNNNNNNNNNNNNNNNNNNNNNNNNNNNNNNNNNNNNNNNNNNNNNNNNNNNNNNNNNNNNNNNNNNNNNNNNNNNNNNNNNNNNNNNNNNNNNNNNNNNNNNNNNNNNNNNNNNNNNNNNNNNNNNNNNNNNNNNNNNNNNNNNNNNNNNNNNNNNNNNNNNNNNNNNNNNNNNNNNNNNNNNNNNNNNNNNNNNNNGAGUUAGUAAAAACUCAAUAAAUGCACAAAAAGAAGAAAUAUCAAAUUUAGAAUUAUAUAUAUAUAUAUAUAUAUAUAUAUAUAUAUAUAUAAACAUAACACAAAUAUGAUUAAAAUUGAUGUGUCUCUCUUGGCCUGUGACAACAAGAGAAAGAUGUACCAUAUGACAAACACAAAAGUAAUGAUUAAUCAACCAAUUGAAACUUUUGAUGGUAAAACAUAUUUGUGUAUAUGUUUAUGCUUACAUUAUUAUAUGAAAGUGUAAAAUAUUUUUGAAAAGUGAUUUGAACUUUUAGACUUUAUUAAAAGUCUUUGCAAUAGGCAAAAUCAUUUAAUUUUAAAUAAUUAAACGUUACACGUGCAAGACACGUGCGGUUAAACUAGUUAUGUAAAAACGAUAUAAUUGUUAUAUAGAAUAUGAUUUUACUUGUCUUUUUUCAUUAAUUAAGAAGAGACAAUUUUUUUUUUUCAUAUUUUACCCUUUGCAUUAAUUAUUUUUUCUUCAAAUUAAAAUGUAAACAUCAUUUAAUAGGGGUACUAUGGUAAACUAGGCAUGUUAUUAAUUAUUUUUCUUAAUCAAUGUGUUAUCUCAAUAAGGGACAGAAAAUUUGAGACGGAGGGAGUAUAUAAUUGUUGUAUAAAAUGCGUGGAAAAAAAAAGUACAAUUAUUGUAUAAAUUGUGUAUCGAAACUGUAUAAUUUUCAUAUAGAAUAUUUAUAUGUAUCAGAUAUGUAUAAAAAAUGUAUAGAAGGUUUAUAGAAACAGUGUAGAAUAAGCCAACAAAUUGAAAUGGCUAGAAAGUGAAAUUUAAAUUUUAUGACCAUUUUCAUGAAAAUAGUUUAAUUUGAAGUGCGGUUUAUGUUAUUUUCCUAUAAUGCAAGCUCUUCUUGAAUGUCCAUACUUAUUUUAAAGGGAUAAUAAAAUGUAUUUAGUUUGUUAUUUUAAUGCUGAGUGUGAUAUCAUUGAAAAAAAAUAAGUAUACUAAUAUACAGUUCUUUUUCUACAAAAUAAAUAAACUGUGUACAUUAAUAAUGUAUAAAUUUAUUUCAUAUUAUUAUUGACUUAUAAUAGUUUGCAUAAAAGCUCUUCAACACAAGCUUUUGUAACUUAAAAAGCAAAAAUAAUAAUCAAUAAAGAUUAUGGUGAAGUUGUAAAUGUUCUUCUCAAAUUUGAGCCAGUUAUUUAGUUAUUUCGGAUUAAUUGGGGUUCAAGAAUAGAACCUUGAAAAAAAAAUAAUAACCAUUAAAGAUUAUGUUAAGUGGUAAACAUUCUUCUAAAAUUGAAAUGAGUUAUAUUGAGUUAAUUGGGGCUCAAGAAUCAAAUCUUCUAAAAAAUAAUGACCAUUAAAGAUUAUGUUGAAGUGGUAACCAUGCUUCUAAAAUCUAAGUUAUUUUGAGUUAAUUGGGGCCCAAGAAUCGAUCCUUCAAAAAAAAAAAAAAGGAAAAAAUGACAAAUAUACUCUUCAAUUUUGUGAUUUAGAACAAUAAAUGAUGGAGAAAUUAUGUCCUUCCUCUGUCAUUUUUUCUUUAUUAUGUUUCACUUUUCAAAUGUCAAGCUUUGCGAACUUUGACAAAUAUUCUAAAAUGUAUUUUUUAUCGAAUUAAUAUGAAAAAGAUUACAACUUUUAACAAUUAUAUUUUAUAAUUUUUGAAUAUCUAAAUUUAAAAUUUUAAAUAUUAAAUUAAUCUAAUUCAAUUUACCGGUAAUAUACUUUGAGUGACCUAAUAGAACAAAAUUUCUUAUACUAACAAUGCAUCAGUUUAAACUAAUUUUGUAUAUCUCAUAUCUCAUUUAACUACGGGCAAAAGAAAAAAAAAGUAUGAGUUUGAUCUCAUGUAAUCUCUUCUUGAUUAUCAACGAAUUUAUUUUGAAGGGAAAAUUGAAAUGUAUUUAACUAGUUACAAGUUUAUGCAACUUAAAAGCUAAAAUUAUAAUCACUAAAGAUUAUGACGAAGCCGUAAGUAUUUUUCUCGAAUUUGAGCUAGUAAACUAUUUCGAGUUAAUUGAGGUUCAAUACAAAAAUUAACUCCGAAGAAAAGAAAAAAAAAAAAGAUAAAAUAAAGAAAAAAAAGGACAAAUAUACUACUCAAUUUUGUAUUGGGUCAAAAUCAUUUUGCCUUCCCAAUUUUGCCUUAAAAACCAAACUCCCUCUCAACUUUGAACAAUAAUCAUACUCCCCCUUUAUCUUAAUUGAUUUUUUAAAAUUCUUAUUUUACCCUUUAUCAUCAAUUUUUUAUUCUUUUUUUUAACUUCUUUAAAAUCAUCAUAUUUUCAUUUAAAAAAAAUUCAUAGAACAAAUUUUUCAUAAAAACAUAAACAUUAUUCAUAUAACAAAAUUUUCAUAAAAACAUAAACAUUAUCUUCUAGGAAAAAAAAGUAAGAAAUAUAUAAGCUAAUGAUGAUCUUUAUAAAGUAAAUUGGCGUAAUAAGAAAAUUAGUUUUAUUAAUAAUAAUCAAAACUAUAAUAUUUAUUUUACAAGUGAAAAUAAUAAGUAAUACUAAUUUUAUAAACAUAUUUCAAUGCAGAAAAUACAAACAAUAAAUGAAAGAGAUAAGCCUCUAGUACCACCCCGAACUAUGGUCAAAGUUGUUAUGACAUACUCCAACUUCCCAGGGUUCCUAUUAUUCCCUGAACUCAAAGUUAGCGUAUUUUUGUCAUUUUUUGUGCUAAUGUGGCACCUUUAUUGCAUAAAAUGGAACCCACAUCAAAGGUGUCACGUCAUCUAAAAUGAUUGACAAAAGGUAUCACGUUAGUUAAAAAGAUUGACAAAAAUACGCUAAAAUUUAGUUUAAGAGUUAAUGAAACCCCGUGAAGUUGACGAGACGUAGCAAAUUUGAUCAUAGUUCGGGGAUACUAGAUGUUUUUCUCGAAUAAAAAUAAGGUCAAAUUUUAAAGAUUAUAUUUAUUUAUAUAAAUUAUAAAAUAUGUAAUACUCUAUUAAUGACAAUCACAACUUAUUUACUGAUAUAGACAAUAGAUAAUAUCAUUUCUUAUCACUUGAUCCUCAUACUAAAAAUAAAUAUUUUAAUUUAUCUAUUCAAUUUGUGAAAUCAAGAGAAUUGUAUUAUGUUUUUUUCUACCCUUUAGUGUUAAAUAACUAUAUAAAGUAACAGUAUAGACAAAUUUAAAGUUUCAAAUUAUCAUUAAUAAGGUUAAUUUAACAAAUAUACCUCUAAGUAAAAUUUUCUUAAGGAUUGUGUUAUAUCAAUAAAACGUUAAGUAAUACGAAAUAAAUUUAGUAAGAGAAUGAUAAAACACGAAAAUAUUCGCACAUGCAUGUACAUACAUAUGUAUAUAUACACACUUAGGGGGUGGGUUGUUUGGAAACAAGUUAUUCCGGGAUUGGUUAUUACAAAAUUAGUUGUACUAACAUGCAUGUGUGAUCACUUAUCUCAUCAUUGUGGUAUAAAUGGUGCGACAAAUAAUUUUGAGACUACCCAAUACAUCUAAUUAAAUGCAGAAUAAAUAAUCAUGAACUUUAUCUCUGAAUUAUUAUAAUUAUAACUCACACCAAACGACUCUUUAAUACAUAUAAUACUAAAAUAACGAUCUUAAAAAAUAACAUUGAAUUUUAUGAUAAAUUUAUAAAAAGUAUUAAUUUACAUAUAAAGUUAAUAAAUUUAAAUAAAAUGCUACAAAUAUCCAUGUUAAAAAAAUAUUCAUUACAUAUAAUAUAAAAAGAUAUUACAUAAAUAUAAAAUUAAAAUUAUAAGGAUAAAAUAAAUAUUGUAUGAAAUAAAAGGGGAAUAUAAUUAUUCUUCAAUGUUGGGAGAUAAUGAUUUUCACCCAUUUUGUACUCCACAUGGUUAUUUAUCAUUCUUUUAAGGAGGAAUAUAUUCGUUUCAAAUAACACAGUCAGUAGGCAUAUCCCCUUUACCCAUAAAAUUAAUGAAAUUUAUCAACCUCUUACAAUUUGAAUUAAACAAGAAAAAAUACCUCUUCAAAUAUCUAAUGUAUGAAAACAUUUCUUUUUAUUAAAAAAAUAUAAAAUUAAAAUCAAAUUGUAAAAGACUAAAAAAAACCCAAAUAAAUGAUGUGCCGCACAAGGUUUAAAAAUUAUAGAGGCAAAAUUCAGAAAUAACAUACUUAUCCCCUUAAUUAUUAGUUUCAUAAUAAUUAUUUCAUAAUUACAUAAUAUAACAAGUUGUAUUUUGUAUUUUUGUAAACUGUUGCUACAAAAUUACAAAUACCCUUAUGAUUGAUAUAUAUUUUGUAUUUUUAUAAAUUGUUGCUAUAAAAAUAUAAAUAUAUCUGCUACAAAAUAUAAUUUGAUAAAAGUGUUGUUGUUUUUAUACUUAGUAUACUAGUUGUCCAAAAUUAUAUAUAAGGUGAAUGGGAAAACAAAGAAAACAUCCUAAUCCUAAUCGUUGUAGUACAAAACAAAAAUGGCAAAGACGAAAGCCUACUUUUAUCAUUACUAGUAGAAGAAAACUAGAUGUCUAGUUGAGUACUAUAUAUAUGUACACAUAAAGAGAAACGCGUGACACAAGUAUCUUUACCUCUUCUUCUACUUUUUCUCUCAACUGUAUACAAAUUGUUCUCUCUUUCUUUCUUUUUUGUAAAAUUGUGGUUGGAAAUUCUGAUCAAAGAAGAUUAGGAUGAUGAUGCGAUCGUGUUGUAGGCCAUUAGAGAGGUGUUUUGGGAGAAUAAACGGAGAUGGACUAUUAUGGCAUAUGGAUUUAAAGCCACAUGCUUCUGGUGACUUUUCAAUUGCUGUUGUUCAAGCUAAUUCUUCUCUUGAAGAUCAAAGUCAAGUGUUUACUUCUCCUUCUGCUACUUAUGUUGGUGUUUAUGAUGGACAUGGUGGUGCUGAAGCUUCCCGUUUUGUCAACGCACACCUCUUCUCUUAUUUGCACAGUGCGUGUUUUUUCUUCUUUUGUUGACUUGAUUUUUCAGUUUUUUUUUUUAUUUGAUGUAUGGUUUUAUGGGUCAUGAUUUGUUUCUGCAAUUACUUGCGUAAUGGGUGAUUUUCUGCUGUUUUCGUUUUUGGUCUGAUUUUUCAGUUUUGCGCGUGGUAUACUUUUCUGGGUAUUAGGGUAGAAGGAUAGUAGGGUGGGAAAGUUGUCUUAUUUUUCGAGAGUUUAGGCUUGUUGGUGUUCUAGCCAUAGUCCUUGCUUGUGAUAUUAAUUAUCUUGUUUAUUGUGUUUUAUCACACUAUUUUGUUGUUGUUCUUGUUUCAUCCUUGUAGAAUGGAAUUUCACUGGGUAUGUUGUUGUUGUACUGUUGUGGGUCACGAUUUGUUUCAGCAAUUGCUGCUCAAAGUUCUUUUUUAAAAAAAAAAAAUAAUCCAGGAUUAAGCUACGUUUUCUGUUACUAAUUUUUAUGAGGGAUUUUGGUUUUGAAUUUGUAGAGUUUUCGAAAGAGCAAGGGGGUUUAUCAUCAGAUGUUAUAAAGAGGGCAUUUAGUGCUACAGAAGAAGAUUUUAUUCAAUUGGUGAAAAGAUCAUUGCCUGUAAUGCCACAAAUUGCUUCUGUUGGAUCAUGCUGUUUGGUUGGUGCAAUAUCUGAAGGUGAAUUGUACGUGGCUAAUUUAGGAGAUUCUAGGGCAGUUCUAGGACGCAGAAGUUUUGAUGGGGAAAAAAGUUCAGUCAUUGCAGAAAGGUUAUCGACUGAUCACAAUGUUUCGUGUGAGCAAGUGAGGAAAGAAGUUGAAUCACUUCAUCCUGAUGAUCAGGCUGUGGUGGUAUACAUUCGAGGUGUUUGGAGAAUUAAAGGCAUAAUUCAGGUGAUCUUGCUUGUUUCUCAGUUGACGAAUUGUCAAGUUUUUUAUAUCUGUGUUCUAAAUGUGAGAAUAUGUAUUAUUUGGAGUAAUGUUAAAUUUGAACUUUCCAGGUGGGAAUGAUCUGAGUAGUCCAGGUUAUACAAUUCACGUUUUUUACUUUGCUUGGUGCUGACUUUAUGUUCUUCCAACUAAUCUGGAACUGUAUCUUUAAUGUUAAACUUGAACUCUCAGGUGGGAAUGAUGUUCUAUCUGAAUAGUCCAGGUUAUACAAUUCGCGCUUUUACUUUGCUCGGUGUUGACUUUAUGUUGUUCCAACUAACAUAGUAAUAUAUAUUUUGCAGGCCUCCUUUCACAACAUUAGUUUCAUCUUUAUUUUGCAUAAUUCUUUUCUCUAACCUUAGAUCGUUGUCCUGUUGGUUUGAUGGUGGUUAUGUUUUGCUCUCUUUCAGUCAGGUUCAUUAGUGCUGAGCCCUGAAUUUAUGAGCUGUGUUGUGUAUAUUGUAUGACUUGGGUAAGUUUAGGCUUCAGAGCAUGAACUGUGGUAAAUAUGCUCUAUUUUAUUUUGUGUGCAUACUGAUAGGGAAUUUCUGUUUAUCUUUGUCUUGUGUGUUCUUAAGGUUUUAUAUCUUAAUACUCUUCCAGGAAUCCCACGCUAUGCCUCUUGUUCCACUGUUUCAUGCAGUUCAAGUUAGAGGAAGCCUGUGUUCCCUACAUGAGAUGGUCAUGAAAUUAGACCUAGAUCUGUUUGUUUUCUGCUGAUAAAAGCAUGGACAUUAUCCUAAGAGAGUACAAGGAAUGUUUGCACUCUAUGUGUAGUCUUUUGUCCGUUCCUCUCCAGUCUUGUGUGAUCGACUGGAGAUCUUAGGACGUUUCUAACUUAUACAUCUUCAUUUGCAGGUCUCAAGAUCUAUUGGAGAUGCCUAUUUGAAGAAACCUGAAUUUAACAGGGAUCCUAUCUUCCAAAGAUAUGGGAAUAUUGUACCUCUGAAGCGGCCUGUACUGACAGCAGAGCCUUCAAUCGUUACAAGAAGUAUUAGGCCUCAUGAUUUAUUCCUUAUAUUUGCUUCGGAUGGCCUUUGGGAACAAUUAAGUGAUCAAGUAGCUGUGGAAAUAGUAUUUAAAAACCCAAGAGCUGUAAGUUUCAAUUAUUUCUUUCUUGUCUCCUGAUGAACUUUUGAAAAUCUGUGCAUUUAUGGAUAUUGGUGAGUUCAAUUGAACUCCGCAUUUUUUUUAUCACUGAACAUAGUUAUAUAUGUUAAAAACUAUUCAACUUUCACUGAAAAGUAUAUAAUUAGUUUAGUGCUAAGAAACAUAAAGGUUGAACGCGUCAAGUUUAUAUCCUAGAUCCGCCUCUGGGUCGAAGUGUAGAUGGCAUUAAAAAGUAGUCAAGAGACAUUUCAUUCAGCAUUCAAGUUACAUACCUAUGCUCAGCCGUCUCUACCGUCCUGGAUGCAAGCUUGAGUGAGUAUGUGUAACCUGGCUGGCAUGGAUUGGAAUGGGUUUGCUACUUCUACUUUUGUAUAGCUCGUCCUGUUUCGUGAACUAUUUCCUUGAUUUGUAGUUUUAGAUAUGAGACAAUCCUGUUAUGACUGAUCCUGUUUAUUUGGUUGAUGUACUUGCAGGGAAUAGCUAAGAGACUGGUGCGAGCGGCCCUUCAGGAGGCUGCUAAGAAGAGGGAGAUGAGGUAUAGGGACAUAAAGAAGAUUGAAAAGGGGAUUAGGCGCCAUUUCCAUGAUGAUAUAACAGUUAUUGUGAUCUACCUUGAUCACCAGAAAGAAUCCUUCCACUCCAAAGGCACUCUUGGCUCUAUCACCGCACCUGUAGAUGUUUUCUCAUAUAAUUCAGAUGAUGCUGAGGAGAAACAAUGUUUUCUCAUAUAAUUCAGAUGAUGCUGAGGAGAAACAAGUUAUUGGAGCUUUUUGAACAGCCAAAAACCGCAACAAGAGGGUGGUAUAUUCAGUACAUAAUGUUACAUUAUUGGGAAAUAGCGACAUACAUGGCAUUACAUGGAGAGGAUACAGGUUUGAUGUAGAUAAACCGGGUUUAUGGGUGACUGCUUGGAUGAUUUGGGAGCAGAAAUUCAGUUUAGGAUCUGACCAAACCCAUUGUUUUGUUCUUUUCAGAAGGAUUGUGCUUUGAGAUAAGUGGUGCAAUAGAGGAUUGCUGUUAAUUUUGAGCUGACAAUUUCUAGGUGGGGAAGUUUUCAAGAAACCCUUUCUGAAAAUUCCCAGGUUUUGUUGUAUUUUGCUUUCUUGCUGGGCAAAAAGUUGAAUAAUGUGAGAAUCAGAUUAUAUCUGUAUCUUGCAGUUAAGUGUUAUGUGGUCUUUCUAUUCAUAAACAUACACAAAUCGUCGAUUUGAAAUCCAUUGGGUAUUCUUCAAAAUAAGUUAAACAAACUCUUAAACACUUAUCCUUGUCGAUAUAAUGCUAAAUGUAACAACAAUAAUCAAGCUUUAAUUCAACUAAUGGGUCGUAACGAUCCUUUGUUUCAAUGUGAUGUACUUUCUAACAAGGCUCUCCAAGAUUGUAAAUGUAAUCCUUUAUACAUCAGUUAGCACAUUGUUCAUAUUUUCGCGGUGUACAUGUAUAACAACAGGAAAAAGGAAGAGAAUACAACAAAAUGGUAUUACUACUAAACUAUAGUCCAUAAAAAAAAGAAAACUCAUUUCUUCAUCAAUCGCGCUGAUAAUCUAGUCUUUUCCUCCUUAGAAACGUGAGGAUUAAGCUUACGGAGGUUGUUAAUAAAAGCCAGAGCUUCAUCUCUCCGAUUGAGUUUACAAUAUGAGUCUAUAAUGGAGUUAUAUGUGCUAUCAUUCGGUUUACAACCUUGCUUGAUCAUGUAACGUACCACUUCAAUGGCAUCAAUAAACAUUGCGUCAGCUGCAUACCUUGCAACAAAGGUAUUAUAUGUGAUCACAUCAGGAACAAUUCCAGAUUCCUUCAUUUCUGUAAAGAUUCGUGAGGCAUCUCUCAUCCGCCCAUUUCUGCAAUAAGCAUAUAUUACUGUGUUAUACGAAAUAACAUCAGGCCUGACUCCUUUUGCUAUAAUUUCCAUCAGUAGUUGCUCCGAUUUCUCAUAAUUGCCAGACCGGCUGUACAUGUACAUCAAACUAUUAUACGUAGUCAAGCUAGGAGUGAAACCAGAAUCACUCAUGAAGUUCAUGAUCUCAGCUGCCUUUGUAACCAUUUGCUUCCGACCAUAGAUGGAAAGCAUGGCAUUUAAGGUGGUUAUGUCUGGUGAGAAACCUCUACUUCUUAACUCAGAAAAAGCUCGUUCAGUCUCCACUAAAAGAUCACUUUUGCUGUAAACUAAUACAAGGGUUUUCAGAAGCACAACAUGAGGUUGGAUUACGGAAGAGUAAAUCUCCUCUGCAAGAGAAUGAAUCCUGUCAAUCUCUUUCCCAUUAGCAUAUGCAUGGAGUAAGGAACUGUAUGUUAGCUCAUUGGGCUUACAACGACCAUCUUUCAUCUCUGCUAGUACUUUUUCAGACUGUUCCCACAGCCCUCCCCGAGCCAAUGCUGCUAGAACAGCGUUAUAUGUGGAGAGAUCCGGAGUGACCCCUGCAUCUAGCAUUCGCCUGUAAAUGACCAUAGCUUGAUCAAAAGCUCCACAACGACUGUAAGCACCAAUUAAGGUGUUGAAGGUGUCUCUCUCAGCUACAAACCCUGCUCUCUUCAUUUCUUUGAACACUCCAGUGACUUCUGAAUCCAUUCCAUUCUGGCCAAAUACGGCUAGGAGCGUGUUCCAAGUGACAAUAUCCGGAGAACAACCAAACGUCCUGAUAUCAUCGAAAACCUUCAUCAUUUCAGUGAAUUUUCCUCUGUUACCAUACAUUUUAAUAAGAGCAUUGAAAGUACAGAUGUUUGGCUUACAGCCUGCACUCGUCAUUUCCUCAAAGAUUCUCAUCGCUGAUUCAUCCUUACCAGCCUUCUCAUAUCCAGAGAAUAAGGUGGUAUACGUAAAAACAUCAGGCCUAAUCACUUUUUCGGUCAUCUGGGAUUUCAGCUCCAUCGCUUCCUCCAUCAAACCAUCCCUAGCAUAAGCAGAUACCAACGAAUUAUAAGUCACAAUGCUUGGUGAAAACCCAUGCACCUCCAUCUCUCGUAAAACCUCCAUAGCUUCUUUUGGCCUCCUAGACCUCCCAUACACAUCUAAUAACGCAUUAUAUGUAACCUUAUCAGGCAAAAAACCUCCUAGCUUCAUCUCCUCAAAAAUCUGCCUAGCUUCCUCAUGCAAAGAUCCACGACGACAGCAAGUAAUAAGAGUAUUAUAAGUAUAAGCAUCGGGAACAACUCCAGAAUUCUUCAUACUUUCAAACACACCCGAAAUUCGACUCCAAGGCAUACCCAUUUUCCCAUAAACAUUCAAAAUCACAUUGUAAGUAAUCAAAGUAGGUUGACACCCUUCCUCCUCCAUUUUCUUGUAAGCCAUCACCGCAUCCCUAUACCUCCCAUUACGCGCAAAUGCAGUAAUCAACGAAGUAUAUGCAUAAACAUCAAUACAAAAUCCAUCUUUAUGCAAAUUGUGCAGCAAAUUUGAAGCAACCGAAAUCUUCCCCUCUUUCCUUAACAUACUUACAAUCACAGCAAUAACAGAACCAUUCAACAAAACCCCAGAAUUCGGCCGAUUUCUCACCCAUUCAAACACAUUCAACGCUAAGUCACCUUUUUUAUAAUACCCUAAACCCUUAAUAAUACCCAAAAUAUCAAAACCCAAAGACUCUAUAUCCAAUUCAGAACCUUCUACAUAAUGCUCUGUAUACAAACUAACCAAAUUUUGGUGAAUAUUUUGAACUUCAAAUUCAGGGUUAAUAAGUGUUUGCAGAAUUUUUUCACCUUGAGGGGAAAGCCGAUGAGGAUUCCAUGGUUUGCCUUUGUUGAAAUCACUGUGUUUGCCAAUACGACGUCGUGUUGUUCUCGGUAUAGGAGAAGGGAAAUUUGUAGAUUGAGGAAAAUGGGUUGAUUGUGUUGAAGUAGAAGGGAAAUUUUGAUGGUGAAAAAGGUCAUUUAAGAAUGGUGCUAAAGGUUGAUUGGAGGGAACAGUGAAGGGGGGUUUUGGGUCUUGGAAUAUGGAUUUUGAAGGUGGAGGGUUUGGUAGUAGAAGAGGGAGACCUAAUUUGUCCGCCAUUAACAGAGUUCAGAGAGCUUCUGCUAGUAAUAUUGCGCAACAAAGAUACUAUCCCAUAGUAGUAAUAACUACAAUUUCUCCUAUCUUGUUUUUUUUCUUUUGGUACUACUAGUACCUCAUUACUCACUAGACUUCCUAUGGUGACCAGUUGUUUUGUAUUCCUAAGAUAUUUUCUUUUUCAUUUAUUUCAUCUUUUUUUUUUUUGUCUAUUUUGUGAUUUUCAACUCAGGUUACUCAAUCUUGUUCUAAAUUGGUGACUUAUUUUGACUUGCAAUUUUUUUUCUAAAAAAUAAAAUUAUCAUCUUAAACUAAAAAUUUAUCAAAUAUAUAUAAAAAAAUCAAAUUUUGCAAUCUUAAAAGAGAGAAAAAAAAAAGUAACUCAGAUAAAUUGAAACGGAGUAAAUAUAAAUAACCCUACAAAAAUACUUUUUUCUUCUUUAUCACAAUUGGAAUGGCAGAUGGUUGAAAGGCAAAUUUGUGUUUCCCCUUAACAACAAAAUACAAAAUAUAUUAAACGUUCCUUCUUGUGCAACCGAAAAUUAACAGUAUAGCCCGUAUAUCUUCCGCAAGCUUGCGAGGUGAUAUUUAUGAAAGUAACAAACAAAAUAGUAUCAUAAUUAAUAUAAUCGCCGAGGACAAUAUGAAUCAUGUUAGUCCUGCAAGUGAAGCGAAUGGGAUGAUUUUCCGGAGGCGUAGCCAACCCUCAGGAGGUUGUCCGAACCAUUUCGACGAAAAAACAUUUAAGUUUUUUUUUUUUAAUUAUUGACCCCUUACUUGAAAUAAUUCAAAGAGAAGGAAAAGAGAACAACUACUUUAAAUAAACGUUAAAAGAAAAUUAUUCAUUGAUCACACUCUCACAACAUUUUCUUGCUUACAACUGCAAGACGAAGACACACAACCUUAGACUAUUACACACACACAUAAUUCAGCUUAAAACAAACAUUAUUGACAAGGGACUUUCCAAAAAAACAGCUGAUCUGCAUGCACUUGUUUAACCAGAGAUAUCAAUCGCCUUCACCUCAGGUUUCUUCUGCUCUUCUUUAGGAACAGUUACAGUGAGCACUCCAUCCUCCAUAGCUGCCUUAAUUUCCCCCAUCUUCGUAUUCUCCGGCAGCCUAAAUCUCCUUAAAAACUUGCCACUGCUCCUCUCCAUACGGUGCCACUGAUCAUUCUUCUCCUCUUGUUCUCUGCUCCUCUCACCGCUUAUCUGUAGUAUCCUUCCUUCUUCAACUUCGACUUUCACUUCCUCUUUCUUGAUCCCCGGCACGUCUACUUUGAAGAUGUGAUCUUGUGGGGUCUCUUUCCAAUCGAUUCUUGCAUUUGCGAAAGCAGAGGUUUCACGAGCUGAGGAGGGGGUGUUAGCGAUUGUGCUUGAAAUUGGGAAGCCUUCGAAUGGAUCCCAUAAGUCGAGGGAAAAUGGGUCGAAGAUGUUGCUCCUGCGACCAUCGAAGAAGCUUGGAAUCAGAGACAUCUUGGGGAAUUUGUUGUUUGAAGAAAGCAAAAGAUUGUAUUAUGAAGCUUGAGUUUUUCUUUGAUAGUAGUGUUUGAUUUGCUGAUAUAAAUUUGAGAAAAUGUUGUGCUAUUUAUAGGCGAUGAACCAAGAAACCUGUGUAAUUCCAAUAUAAUCAAGGAUGUUCACCAGAGAAUUCAACAAUAUUCUACAACUUCUUAUCCAAUUUGAGGCUAAUCCAGGAUGUUCUUUGGUUAAUUUUUAAUAGGAAAAAUAAGAGGCUUCUACAAUAUUCCAGAGAAUUUUUUUCUGAAGCGUUUAAGUCAUAAUUUCAGUAGUGCAUACAAAGGUAAAAUGACUCGGGAGGCUUUGUAAUUGACUCUGUUUGUUAGCUGAAUCCGUCCAACUCCCUCCACAAUUGUCAAUUGAACUCCUAAAUCUCCCGUGGUAAGCCCGGCCCAAAGUCAAGAUAUAAACAUAAUAAUGUAAAUUUAAAAAUAUAAUUUAUAUCAUAUAUUUUUUUACUUUAUAAUUAGUAUAAUCAGAUGGCAUAUUAAACAUAUCUUAUUGAUAAGUUUUCAUAAUUAGUAAAAUACUGAAUCACAUAAUUGGAUAAAUUUUUUUUAAAUCUAAUUUGUGAGGACGAAAAUAUUACCAGAGUAUUAUAAUAUAUCAAAAUGCUACAAGUAAUUCGAUAUUUUAUAAAAUAAUAUGAUUUAAAAUAUGUAAUAAUUAGGAUUCAAAGAAGAUCACAAUAGAAAAUAUUGAUAUUUUUAUAAAUUUGUGGGUACGUAAUUAUUUAGUUAUAUAUAGAAAUAAAUUAUAUUUAUUGAGUUUUAGUUUCUCUCGUGUGUGAUUUCAGUAGCAAGACUUUUACAACAUAUUCUUUUUCAUCUUAUAGAAUUAUCUGAAAUAAAAUAUUUCAAUGACUUCAAGAUUAUAUUAUAACAAUUAUAUCCUUAAUUUAGAGUCAUUAUAUAAAUUAACUUAAUAAUGAUCUAUAAGAAUAUUAAACAAUAAUUAAACUAACAUUAAUAGAUUACUCCAUUUGGUCGAUUUAGUUGUUAUGUAUAUUUUUAUAUGCCCCUUAAAAUAAUACCUAUUCACUCCAUUUUAAUUAUUUCUUUAUCUUUUUUCAUAUCCACCAAGAAUUAUAUUAUUUAUUAAGUUAUUUUAUGUAUUAUAUAUGUCUGGAGGGUCGAAUAUAAUAUUAGAAAAAUCUAUAAGGUAAUAGUUGAAAUCAUUAUAAAAUUUAAUUUUAUAUUAAGUUAUCUUGAAUAAUUUUUUUGAGUUAAAGAUAUUGUUGAAUUAAGAUAAAGGAAAUUUUAAUUAAAAGACAAUCUAGCAAGUGGCAAGAAGAAACCAAUUACAAAAUUUUAAAUCUAAUGAUCUUAACAAGAAAAAUAAGGGCAAAAAUAAAAAUAUAUUAAAAAAAUCACCAUCACUUGCUAUGUGUAAUAACCUUAUUUGACCAAAAAAAUAAAAUAUCAAAAAUGCCCUUGUGAAGACUAUCGAAAAUUGAUAUCCUCUCUUAUAUAUAGUAUAGUAGUAAUAUAUAUAUAUAUAUAUAUAUAUAUAUAUAUGAAGAAGCUUCAAGGUUUAAGUUGAAAAUCACCAAAAUAAAAAAAUUGUAUGGACUACAAUAGAUAAGAAAAAUAUCUUAGGAACACAAAAUCAAGGACUCGUACCAAUUACAAACAAGAUAGGAGUAGUAUUUGUUAUAUCUUGAGCAUUACCAGCCGAAGCUAUGGACUCAAAAUCUAUCACCCAAGACCCACAUCGUCACUUCGUUUGUUUCCUCCGAUCCAACAUUUAUAUGUGAUUAAGUUGCGUAGAGCGGCAGAGGUAAACCUUGCAUGGACCCUUACACUUUGUUUGGAUGGUGGUUUGCUAUGAUUUCAUAAUAUACGCUACAGUAUGAGAUGGUAUGGUAUUGUACUUUGGAUGGUUGGAAUAUACUAAAAUAUCCCUAUGAAAUUAUUUUAUUCAAUCACUUAUUCCAGGAACUAAGUAAUAUGAAUACCAGCUACAAAUUGUAUAUCUCAAAAUUAUUAUCCUUAUCUCACCAAUCAAACAAUCCAAAUUUUUUUUUAACUUAACAAUGCAUAUAUAUAUUUUUUCAAAAUUAUUAUCCUUAUCCCACCAAUCAAACAACCAACCCGAAGGUUUUCAUAAUUUGACAACGCAUAUAUAUAUAUAUCUUUUGCGAGGUGACGAUAUGAAAGCAGUAUUAGUCCUGUAUGUAAAGUGAACGGGCUGAUGAUUUCAGAAACUUCAUUUAAAUAGAGAAAUAAUACCGGAUAUUUUCAUACAUAUGCAAGGAUAACAAUUCCCAAAAUUCUAUAAAGUUCAUUAAGUGUUGCAAGUCGAAAUUGUUCUAAAUAUAUCCCGUAACAAACUAACAAUCCAUUGGCUACUAAUUUUACAUCGAAAAACCGUCAUAUGUAAAUCUCAAUACCAAGAUCAAAAUUUUAGCAAAAGAGUGAUCUCCAUAGGUUAAGGCUCCUUCAAACAAAGUUCAGAUUUACUAAAUUAACAAAGCACUACUCUUCUUAGUGAAAAAUCAUCACCCAAUCUAGAGACUAAUUUUUUUAAAAAAGUUUUCCUUCUACGCUUGUCUUUAGAUCAUUUAAAAAAGUGAAAACUAAUCAAAUCAGUUAUCUCAAGGAAUCAACACGCUUCUUUCCAUCAAAAAUUGUCUUUUAACUUCUCAUCACAAAUUAUCACCUUCUCGUUUUGACGACCCUACAAAGGUAACAUAUGGCUAAGUAUCAACCCAACUAUAUAUAGAUAGAUGGUAACCCCCAUAAAGAAAGAACAAGUAGAAAUGCACUUCAAACAGUGGAGUACAGUAGAAGAAAGCAUGGCCGCCUUUUUACGUAUCACCCAAUACGAAUUAUAAGUGCAAUGCAGAAUAUACGGUAUUAGUAAUACUUGCAUUAGUAAUGCUUAUAUUAAUUAGUUAUAUUGAUAUUGUUUCUUAUACAUUAUUUAAUUUGACAUGUUAAAAAUAAUAUAUCUUAUAUAAUUUAUAUAAAAGAAAUAUUUAUUUAUAAAACUAUCCUUCUUUGAUUUAUUACAUUUUUUUCAACAAAAUUCGUUUGCCAUCUCAAACAUAAUUAGUGUUGUUGAACUAGUAUAUAGAGGUUUAGGAUUAAUUGCAAGACCGUCGUCUUUACGCAUGAAAUGUUAUGCAGGCGGAUUAACAUAAUCGAAACAAAAAUAAAAUACAAGAUAUAGAAUAAAGGAAUAGUCUCAAUUUUUUUAUUUAAUUUUUUUAAAGACCCUCGAAGCAAAGCAAAGAUGCAGUUAUUUAAACCAACAAUUCAUUAUUGGAAAUUAAAAUGGUGGAAAAAGAUAUUUUAAUAUGUUUUGAAAAGAUUUACUGUUGCAAAUUAAAAUGGUGAAAAAAAAAUUGUGAAAUAUUUUGAGAGAAAAAUUGGAUAUAUUAAGGUCAUUUAAUAGGUUAAUGCAUGUCUUUAAAGUUUUUGUAUUACUAAUACAUAGGAAAUGGUGUGUAUUACUAAUACACAUCUCAAUAUACAAUAGAAUAUAUAUCUAAUGUUUGUAUUAGUUAUAUAUAGGCAAAAAGAUGUACCAAACAAGGUACUAGUAACACACAUUAACUAAUGCAUGCAUUAUAUUUUCCAAUAUGCUCUACCGAACGAUCCUGGUACAAAGAGAAGUUAUCCAUGAUUAACAAUACUGGAAUUAGCAAUGUAAAAAUUGCAGUGCUGAAAUUAUUUUUCAUCAAGUAUUUGAUUCAUUAUAUUAAAAAUUAGAUAUAUCAUGUAUUGUAUUUGAAUUUAAAGUUGUACAAAAUCUUCUUCAGAUUUAUAUCCUUAAAUUUCUGUAGAAUUUUUUUACUUUAUUUAACUAAUGGAAAAUGGUCAAAAGCCCUCCCCCAAACCUUUACCCCAAAUCCCAACUACGCACUCAACUUUUAAAUGUGACCUAUUACCCCCGGAACUAUUUUAAAGUAGAAUUAUUAUCCCCUGAAUUAUUUUAAAGUGAAAUUAUUACCCCCCUCCCUCCCCCUUCCCCAAAAACCCCCCUCCCCUCCCGAAAAUUGACAACCAGUCAUUUGAAAUGUGGUGUGAUACACGCGCUGCCACGUCAUUUUUUUAUUUACUCUAAAAAAGUUAAUUAUUUAACUUUAUUAUUUUUUUUCUUCCCCAUUUUUCAUUUUGCUCCAUUUUCUUCUUCAAUCAAUUUCAUCUUCUUGGGUCAAAUAUAGAAUUCUUGGGAAAAAAAAUGACGGAUUAAUGAAGUUCUUGAAUGACGGGUUAAUGAAGUUCUUGAAUGGGGUUUUAAUGAAGUUCUUGAACCUAAUUUCAUCUCUUUUUGCUCAAGAUCACCAUUAGUGGCGAAUUCUUCCCCAUUGUGGAAAUUCAAAGCUUUGAACUCGCCAUUAAUGAUGGAUCUUGAGUAAAAAUAGAGAAAAUCGAAAAAAUGGGUUGAACAUUAUACGUGGGUUAUGUUGGAAAUUAUGUAUGGCAUUGUGGAAAUUCGAAGCUUUGAGCUUGCCAUUAAUGGUGAUCUUGAGCAAAAAGAGAGGAAAUCGAAGUUGAAUUUUUUCAAGUUUUUUGAAUCGGAGUUCCCCAACUUCUUCAUUCAAGAAUUCAUUAAUCGGAGAAAUCUUAUUGUUUCCUUAGUUCAAGUGUUUCUUGGUUUCGAUUUCAGAGCAAAGAGAAUUUCUUGAUUUCGGAGAAAUCCAUUAAUGAGGAAGAUGAGAAACCCCAUUAAUGAGUUCUUAAAUUUUUGUUUUAAAAAAGAAAAGAAGAAGACAUGACGUGUCAAUUAAAAUUCAUUAAGAAAAAGUAAUAAUUAAAAUAUUUAUUAUAUUAUUAAAAAUAAUGACGUGACAAUAAAAAAUAAAGAAUUUAAAGUGAAAUGGGGUCAACUGACGCGCCCAUGGGCGAGUGUAGUCACGUCCAAUGACAGGUCAGCAAUUGGUGGUAAUAAAUUCGAUAAAAAUAAUUUUAGGGGGAUAAUAGGUCACUUUUAAAGGUUGAGUGCGUAGUUAAGAUUUCGACUAAAGGUUGGACGGUAAUAGACCAUUUUCUCUUUAACUAAUCAAAUUACUCACUUUUUAUGCGAUCUUAUAAAAAAGUUAAAAUAUAAAUAAUAAUUCUUACUCCGCUUAAUUAAUUAUUUACUUAUUUUUUAAAAAAUUGGGCCUAGUUGAUUUAAAAAAAAUUUAAACAGUAAAAAUAUAUUGUAUAAGAACAACAUGGAUUAUUGAUAAUGUAGUUUCAUAAUUUUAAAUUAUAUAUUUAUUGACAAUAAUCUACUCGUUUUAAAUCAGUCAGUCUAUAAAUUGAAUAAUUACAAAUAGAAUAAAUGUUAGCUUACGUUUGAAGCUAUCAAUCAACAUGAGAGAGAAAAUGACAUUUAGGUGCAAAUUAAAUAUGGUAUAACCAUUAAAUUUGAGGUUAGAUUUAAUAUGAAAAUAAAAGAAAGCUUUUAUUAAAAAAGUAGUUAAAUUAUUUAAUUCUCUUAUUUAUAUAUUAUUAAACAACGUAUAAAUAAUUUUAUGAUUUUUAAAGUAUAGAUAAUCUACUCUAUAGUGUAUAAGUGUGUAUAAGUUAUUCAUGUAUUAGCUGAAAUUAAAUUUAACUAGAACAAUCAAAUAUUAUAUUAGCUGAAAUUAAAUUUGAAUAGAACAAUCAAAUAUUAUAUUGAGAAAAUAGUCUAUUACCUCCAACCUUUAGUCGAAAUCCCAAUUACAUACUCAACCUUUUAAAGAUACCUAUUAUCCCCUUAAUCUAUUUUUUUUUCUAUAUUUAUUACUCCCUGACCUGUCAACAUAAACCAAGUAAUAAGACAUUCAUGCAUUUCAUGCGCCUGGCCCACACCUAAACAUAACAAAAUAUCUUUUUUCACAAUUUCAUUUUCAAUUUCCUCUCUCCUCUCUCUUCUCUCUAAACCUUUCAUCUUCCUCUCUCCUCUAUCUUCUCUCUAAACUGCGAUUUCAUCUAUUUUUUUGGGGGAAUUUUUGUUAUAAUUGAGAUAUUUUGGGUGUGAAUUUUCAAAGAAUCAUCUUGUUGCUGUUACAAGGUGUUUUUUUUUUCCGUAAACUGAAAAAAAUUGAAUUAGAAUUUUUAGCUAAUCUCCAAAUUUACAAAUUAAUUGAGUGAAAUUAACUGAUUCUUACUGUUAUGGCGUUGUCUCAGUGUUCGAUUAACAACAUAAUUCGUUCGUAAGUACAUGUUUUGUUGAUUGUUUAAGUGAGUUUAUUAGAAAUUAGCGCUUUUCUUCGAUUUGUUGUUAAUGUGAAAACUUAAAAAUUCAAUUGUGUUUAAUAGGAAGUGCGUGUUAAUAUGUUGUUAAUUUGAGUGAUUUUUUCCAAAAUUGAGUUAAAAUUAAAUAGAGUUUUAUGCUAAUUCCCAAAAUUUAAAAUUAAUUGAGUGACAUUAAGCUGUGGUUUUUGCUAUUAUAUUGUCUACGUGUUUGAUUAACAACAUAUUACGUUUCUAAUUACAUCAAAUUAGAAUUUUUGUUGAUUGUUUAAGUUGGUUUAUUAGAAAUUAGAGCUUUUGUCCGAUUUGUUGUUAAAAUGAUAAAAUUUCUCAAAAUCAAUUGCGUUUAAUAGCAUGUGUAUGUUAAUGUCCGAAACUAUGACUCAGAUAACUCAGCAGUGUGUAGAGCUAUGUCGAUCUGAAGAUAAUAAAAUUUCAGAGCUAAAAAAAGACGUUGGUAAACUCCAUAAAACCCAUAACGUUUAUUAUUAUUUUGGUUUUUAAUUUUGUAGCAUGUUCAUGAUUUUUUUUUCUUUUUCCAUAAUGUUUCUACUAUGCUACUAUGUCUUGUUUGAUUCUUUAUUGUGAUCAGGUAAGACAUGAAUGAUUUUACGUUGAUAACUCUAAGAUAGUACCAUGGUGAGGUCUUACAUUUUAGUAGGGGAAAACCAGUUUAUAAGGGGGGGUUAGUAACAGAAUUUUUGAAUGUUGACGUAGAUAAGAUGUCAUAUUUUGAGUUGAAAGACUAUAUUAAAAAUUGGGACAUAGCAUAACUUGCACUUUUAGUAUUAAAGCAUUUAACUAUGGCAUUUUGGUAGAUGUUGAUAAUGAUAUGGAUAUUUUUGAGAUGAUGUGUUCCUUGCAAGAUGGGGAUGAAGUAGAGGUAUUUGUCAACCAUUUGUUGAUGAGCCAGAUGUAGUGGCCCCCCCUCCCCCAAACCUUUAUUUUUAGAAAAUGUCUGUCCUAGAAAUUUAGAGGAAUCUGGUGCAUCUUUUAAUACUAAGCCUAACUUUAGGGUAAGUGGGGACCAUUUAAAUGUGGAGGACCCUACUUCUUUUUUUCCAACCACACCUCCUUUCAAUACCACACCUCUUUUCACUACUGCAUUAAGUGUUGCUGUAACAACUAAUGCUGCAGUAGAUGAUAUAGAUGUUGGUCUUGCUGGAUUUGAUUUUUUAGAAGAAGAAGUAGAGGCUUCUGAUUAUUCUACUGAGAAUAAUGUUGAGUCAGAAGGAGAAUUAGUUGGAGAUGAUGAUGAAGAGGAGUAUGGUAAUGAUGUACCUGAGGAGGUUAGGGAGUUGAGAGUUGAAAAGAGAAAGUUUCAAAGGAGAAAAAGAAAUGAGAGAGUACCAACUGACAAUGCAGAGGUACCAGUAGGUGAAGUAGUACCAGAUCUAGGUUUUGAUGAAACUGAAACCGGUAGAGUAAGUUAUGAAGGAAGGCUUGGAGGUGAUGAGCCUUACUUUGCAAGUUCUGAUGAGGAUAGUUUUGUAUUAGAUGAAGAUGAUUGUUGUGAUGAUGAUGAACAUGAAAUGGUUCAUUCUGGUAGAGCAAGAACUAUGAAGUUGUCAAAAAAGAGGACAACAAAUCAAAAAAUCAUUCAUGACCCAACUGCAAAGGAAGUUGUUUGCCAGUUACGUAUGGUGUUUAAAGAUAUGAGUGAAUUUAGAAAAGCAGUGACUAAAUAUGUAAUAAGAAAAAGGGUUCUUGUAGAGAAGUGGGUUAAUGAGCCAAAAAAGGUUAGAGUUAGGUGCAAUGAUGGCUGUCCAUGGCUUUUAUUUGCAGGUCUUGACAAGACAACAAAUGAUUUCAUGAUAAAAAACUUAUAUUCCAAAGCAUACUUGCAAUAAGACAACCAGAAAUUACUUGUGCAAUGCAAAGUUCUUAGCUGAAAUCUUUAGAGAAAGAAUAGUUGAGCAACCCAACAUAAGAGUAUUCAAGUUGCAAAAGUUGAUUAGAAAAAAGUUCAAACUUUAUGUUGGUAAGAUCACUGUGAGAAAAGCAAGGUCUAAAGUCUUAAAGGAGAUAAUGGGUGAUCAUGUUGUAGAAUUUGGAAGAAUCCUUGACUACAAAGAUGAACUGUUGAGGAUAAAUCCGGGGACCAGUUGCGUUGUCAAACUUGGUGAGGCUGAUGAAGCAGGUAAACCAAAAUUUCAGACUUUUUACAUAUGCUUUGAUGUUUUGAAGAAGGCAUGGGUACAUUGUAGGAAGUGCAUAGAUUUAUAUGGUUGUUUUCGUAAGGGUAUUUGUAAAAGCCAAUUGUUAGUUGUUGUUGCCAAGGAUGGAAAUAACUAGAUGCUGCCACUUGCUUGGGCAAUAGUUGAAAAACAGAAUACAAACACCUGGACAUGGUUUAUUAGGUGCAUUAGGGAUGACCUAAGACUUGAAGAAGGUGAAAGUCUCACCCUGAUUACAGAUAUGCAGAAGGUAUGUACAGUAUUUUAUGUUUAACCUCAUUUCUUUUUAAUUUAACUUAGUACAUGUAAUUAUGCCCUAACUUCACCCUUUUUUUGUUAUGUAUGUUUACUGAAAGGACUGUUUGUAGCAAUUGAGGAGGUGUUACCUCAAUCUGAACAUAAAAGAUGUGCAAGACACAUCUUAGCUAAUUGGGCUAAGGAUUGGAGAGGUCUUCAAAGAAGACAACAAUUUUGAAAGAUAGCAAAAAGUACAUUUGAGUCUCAAAUGAGGAAGAACAUACAGAAGAUGAAGUUGCUUGGUCCUGGAAAAAUGAUGUAAGACUUAAUGUACUGCAAUAUUAAUUACUGGUGCAAGCUUUACUUCAACACAGAAGUAAAGUUUGAUUCAGUGGAUAACAACAUGAGUAAGUGUUUUAAUGCAUCGAUCUUGGCAGUUAGCAGAAGACCAUCAUUUUCCUGCUUGAAGAAAUAAGAGUGAAGAUGAUGACAAGAAUAGGCACUCUAAGGGAGUUUCCAAAUACCUGGUGUAGUAGUUACUCACCAAGGUGUUUGAAGAUUUUAGAGGAGAACAUCAACAGGGCUCUGGAUUGUACCAUUAAGUUUAAUGGAGUGACUGGUUUUGAAGUGAAAGAAGGGCUUUGUCAACACACAGUGGAUAUUAUCAAGAGGACAUAUAGGUAUAGGUUGUGGCAGUUAAAGGGCAUACCAUGUGCACAUGGUGUGGCUGCACUAUUGUUCAAGAAACAUCCCUUGUAUGACUAUAUUGACAGCUGCUACAGUAAGGAAACAUACUUGAGGACUUAUGCAAAUGUUCUUAAACUAUUAACAAACAUGAAAAUGUGGCCUGUUUCAUCAAACAUUACUGUUGCACCACCUGAAAUUAGUACCUUGCCUAGCAGGCCAUCUAAGUCUAGGAAGAAGGAAGCUGGAGAAACAAAAAAAUCUGCAAAAUUGCCUAGAACUGGACUUGCAAUGACAUGUAGGUUGUGUCAUGUAGGUUGUGUCAUGUUAGAGGCCACAACAAAAGAAGGUUCCCUCUAAGAGGACAAUCAGCAGAACCAAGUGUUGCACUAUCAGUAACACCUACUGGUUCAGGCAUUGGAAGAGGCAGACCAAAGGUAAGUUUAACACUUAAUUUAGUAUAUUACUUAUCUUACUUCUAAAAUUUCUUAACAUUAUUUUAAUAUGUAGAAAACUACACCAAAAACACCAAAUGCACCUCCUCAAGUCAGUGUUGGUUCAGGCAGGGGAAGAGGCAGACCAAAGGUAAUUUUACACUUGUACUAAUUAGCUCAAUAACUUUUAUAUAACUCUCUUCUUUUUAUAUGUAUAGAAAACUCCAUCAGAAAUCAUUAAUGCAUGUCAACAACAAAAAAAAGAAGAAGAAGGAGACCAAAAAAGGCAACACUAGCAGCACCUAGUGCAUCUCCUCUACCUAAAACACCUUCUGCGCCUACUAUUUUUCCAGCAUCCUGUUCUGCACCUUCUGAUUAUUGUGCAUCAUCUUUAAUGGCUGGUAUUACUAAAAGGGGAAGGGGUAAUGAUAAGGAAAAAACACCUCCAUUGAAAAGGUCAAAAGUAAUGGGAAUGGGUGUGUUCCAAGAUGAAAAUGGAUUCAAAGUCCUAAAUGUAAGUAUCUAGCUUUGUUGUAUCUUGUGUACAUAUGAGUCUUUAAUGUAUAAGUUUUUGAAUAAUUUUUAUCCUUCACUGUAGCCUGGCAUGCCUAGCAGUAAGAUCUGCUCUAUUGGUCAUGCAAGGGUAACAAGAUCAGCUGAUAUAACUGGUAACAUUGGUUAUACACCAAGUACUACUAAUAAGCUGAAAUUGAAUGGCAAAGUAGCAAUAUGAACGAAAAAACUACAAGAUAUUAAAGAGAAGAAAAGAAAGAAGAAUGUGCGAAGCAGUUCAAAUAAUUCAAGUCAAGAAAAUACUUCUUCAAAGUCCAAGAUGCCCUGAAAAUUGUAGUAAUGUUGAUUAUUUUAAGCACUGUUUUAAGUUAGACCAAUUGAAAUGAAAAUAAUUUUAUUUUGGUGCUGAAAAAUAAUUUAAGCACUGUAUAUAUAUUUUGUUGAUGAAUGUUGCCUAAUGGUUGGUAUGAAUGAUGAUGUUGUGCCUAAUGGUUGGUAUGAAUGAUGAUGUUGUGUGAAGUCGAAUAUUUUGUUGAUGAAUGUUGUCAUUAGGUAUUAUUGUUGUGUUAAAUGAUGGUAAAGUUGAUAUAAUGUCAACACAACAUUGUCAUUACACGAUUUAAGUGUAAAAACAUAGCAGCAGCACGGUGCUUUGUCUAACAAGACACAACUUUGAAAGUGUAAACAAUAACAUAGCAACAACAAAAGACACAAUAAGUGUAAACAAUAACAUAACAGUAAUACACAACACAAUUUUGUAAAUGUAAACAACAACGUAGCAGGAGCACAACACAAUUUUAAAAGUGAAAACAAUAACAUAGCAGCAACACAAAUGCAAACAAUAACAUAGCAGCAGCAACACAAGUGCAAACAAUAAUAUAGCAGCAACACAACAAACAUCUGAAGUACGACUAAGCAAAAGACACCAUAACAGAACAUAAUCUGAUAUAUUUAGAGAGAGAUAUACAAAAUUUACACCAUAGUAGACAAGAUCUAGCAACUAGUUUUAGUUCAUUUGUUGCUGAUGAACAUAGCAACAACACAAAUCAAAAUAAAUUAAAAUAUCUUCCUAUUGAACCUACACCAUCUCCAUUUUCUAUUAAGCUUUUUCUCCCGCGUCAAGUUAUCAAUUUGGACUUGUUUAAGCCAUACGUCUUCUUCCAACUCAUUGAUUUUUUUCACCAAUCUUGGAAAUAUAAAAUUUGAUCUUGAAUCCACUUUUUCUUUGUCCCUUUGUAGGAAAAAAUUAUAUUUUUGAGACUAAAAUUUUUUUUAGAAAUCAGUACAUUAUCAUAAUUUGAAUAUAAAUUGACGGCAAAAUACAAUGCAAAAUACAUAUACCAUAGUAGAGGCAAGACCAAAAUCUUCUUCCCGGAUUUAACUUCGACCAUGAAGUUUGCAAGUUAAGAAAAAUACCAUGUUUGCAUCUCACAACAACAUUGACCAUUGGAUCUGAUUCAUCUACACAAAGUUUAUUCAAUUUCGAAUUUGUCAUUUCAUGAAUUUCGACAAAAUUAAUGAUAAAAUUACAAACCCUAAAUUAAUAGUUGAACCAAACUACAAAACAAAACUUCACGAAUUGAAGUACAAAUUGGGAUUAAAAAUUAAAACGUACGUUAAAGAAAUAGAAAAAAAAUGGAGAAACAUGAAGGAAAAUGAUGGACAAGAACAAGGGUCUUAUAAAGAAGAAGAUGACCGUUGGAAGAGAGAGUAUUUUUUCAUCUUUAUUUCAUCAAAUAAUCAAUUAAUGAUGUGUAUAUUAUGUGGAAGGUUAAAAUUUUAAUUUUAGAUGUGCUGGGGCUAAACCAACGCGUCUAGAGGGAGUGUUCUCACCUUCCUUGUCAGGUCAACAUUUGGGGUAAUAAAUAUAGAAAACAGGUCAGCAUUUGAGGUAAUAAAUAUAGGAAAAAAUAAAUUAGAGGGUAAUAGGUCAUCUUUUGAAAAUUAAGUGUGUAGUUAAAUUUUGACUAAAGGUUGAUAUUAGCUGAACAAAAUUUUAACCAUAAACAAUAGUCCUAAAUAGAACAGGAUUCAUUCACACGACAACUUGCUUCUUGUAUUGAAGAAUUAGAAGAGGGGUUCUUAAGGAUCAUUCCUUACAAAUAAUUCUAAGAGAAAGAAAAGAGACGCAACUACUUUAAAUAAAUGAUAAAAGGAAAUUAUUUAUUAAUCAAACUCAUAACAUUUUCUUGAUUACAAUUGUAAGACGAAGACCCACAACCUUAGACAAAUUACAGACACACAUCAUUCAGAUUGAAACAAACAUUAUUGACUGACAAAGGGAGUUCGACAAACAACAGUUGAUUUGCAAUUCUUCUUCAACCAAAGAUGUCAAUCGCCUUCACCUCAUGUUUCUUCUCCUCUUCCUUCGGAACAGUCACAGUGAGCACUCUGUUCUCCAUAGCUGCCUUAAUUUCCCCUAUUUUCGUAUUCUCCGGCAGCCUAAAUCUCCUCAAAAACUUGCCGUUGCUCCUCUCCAUACCGUGCCACUGAUCAUUCUUCUCCUCUUGCUCUCUGCUUCUCUCACCACUUAUCUGUAAUAUCCUUCCUUCUGCAACUUCGACUUUCACUUUUUCUUUCUUGAUCCCCGGAACAUCUGCUUUGAAGAUAUAAGCUUCUGGAGUUUUCUUCGAAUCAAUUCUUGCAUUUACGAAAGUAGAAGUUUCACGAGAAGAGGAGGGGGUGUUGGUGAUUGUGCUUGAAAUUGGGAAGCCUUCGAACGGAUCCCAUAGGUCGAGGGAGAAUGGGUCAAAGAUGUUGCUCCUGCGACCACCGAAGAAGCUUGGAAUCAGAGACAUUUUCUGGGGACUUUGUUGUUUGAAGAAGACAAAAGAUGUACUGUUACAGAGCUUGAAUUUUUCUUUGAUUGUAGCGUUUGAUAAUUUGUUGUUGAUGAAUGAGAGGAGAUGCCGUGAUAUUUAUAGGCGAUGAACCAUGAAACUUAAGUAAUUGGAGUGUAAUCUAGGAUGUUCUCAGAGUAUUCGACGAUAUUCUUCAAUAAGCUAUCCAAUUCGAGGCUAAUCUUCGAUGUUCUUCGGUUUAACUUUCAUUAAUAGAAGAAAUAAGAAGCUUCUACAGUAUUCGAGGGAAUUUUUCUAAAAGGGUCAUGCACAUUAUUGUUCGUCAAGUCAUAAUUUCAAGGGUAAGGUAUAAUGGGUAAAUAAUUUUGAAAUAAAAUGAAGAGUAAAUACAUAAUAAUUACCCACUGAUGUUGGUCGAGAUUUUUAAAAAGACACUUAAACUUUGAAUUCGACCCAUUAUCCUAUGAUUCUUACUUAAUUUAUUGCAAACACACUAUUUUUCGCUGAAUUUUAGUCACAACAAGGAGAGUGAAAUACAUGCGUCAAUCAGAUGCCACCACAUGUCAAAUAUGUUUAAUUUAUAUUUUUAUUAUUAUUUUAAUAAAAUUUUAUUUUUUAUUUAAUUUAAUACCCCACCCCAAAAUCAAUUCAAAAAAUAAUUUUAUAAUUAAAUUGAGAGUUUUAUGAUUGAAUUUAGUUUUAAAGAUAGUUAAAUGAUAUGAUUUAACUGAAAAAUUGAGCUUUAAUGAUAUGAUUUUAAUAAAAAAAAAGCUUCAAUGGAGGAACUUUAAUGAUGAUAUUGUGUUGAAGAGCUUUAAUGGUGUUGAAGAAGAUAUUAUGUUGAAGAAGAAAUGGUGGAUAGUUAAAUGAUAUGAUUUAAUUGUAAAAUGGAGCUUUAAUGAAUGAUUUAAAAAAAUUAUGAAAAGUUUCAAUGGAAGCUUUAAUGGUGAGUUGAGUUAAAGAAGAAAGAGUGGGUGGUUGGAGGGCGGAGAGGGGGUAGGGAUAAUUUUUAAAAAUAAAUAAAUAUUAUUUUUUUUUAAAAAAUAUAAAUUAUAUAUUAAAUUAUUUUACACAUGACAGCUUUUAAUUGGUCAAAAAUGUCAAAUUCAAGCCAUUUCACGCGCCUGUGGUGCAUGUAUACACGUAGAGGGUCAAAAUGGUGUGUUUGCAACGAAAUAAAGAAGAAUCAUGGGGUAAUUAAUCGAAGUUAAAGUUUAGGUAUCUUUUUGUAAAUCUCGGACAAGAGAAGGAGGUAAUUAUGUAUUUACUCUAAAAUGAAAGAUUAAUACAUCCUUGACUACAUAUCUACAUGUUUCAUUAUUUACAUAUUGAAAAUGAUGGUGUUUGUAACUUUUCACAACAUCAUUUAGCAAAAAGUACCUGCACAGUACCAAAUGAUUAAUAUUUGUCUCAUAAAGAGGAAAGAAAAAGCAAGGGCAUAUUGAUAGAUGAGAUUUCCGACAAAUAAGAAACCAAAUCAUUACUAUCACAUGAACCUUAAGUUGUUGCAAUUAAGAGUUCGGAACUAAAGUAUGCCAUGCAACUAAAAAAAGAAUCAUUCUAUGUCAUAUAAAAAAAGUAUUAAAAUAGGUUUUGUGCACUUAUUAAGUGCACAAUGCCUUUCUAUUUUAACGGUAAAUCCAUUCACAGUAUCAGAGAAAGUCAAACUUAGUCAUUUUUUAUGAAUUGUGCACUUAUUAAGUGCACAAUUCAUUUUUUUAUGAAUUAUGCACUAAAUAAGUGCACAAUUCUUAUUAAAAUAGAUUGUGCACUUAUUAAGUGCACAAUGUUUUUUAAAUAAACUGUACACUUAUUAAGUGCACAAUGUUUAUUCACUUUUUACGCAUGACAUUUUCAUUUAAUUUGUUUAUUUAUUUAUUUAUUUAUUUAUUUUUUGAUUGUGCACUUUUUUAGUGCACAAUUCAUUUAUUUAUAUUGUUCACUUUUUUGUACAAUCAAUGGAUUGUUGUGAUUUUGGACUUGUUGAAGAAGAUUAACAAACAACAAAAGGAGCUGAAGGCCAAAAGGAUCUUAAAGCUAAUUUUAAGCAUUAGUGUGAUAUGUAAUCUGAUGAUGUUCAUUUACCUUUUGUGCCAUUGAAAGAGAAUUGUCUAUGUAUGAUGUUUUAUUUUGACGAAUAUAAUAGUAUUUCUCUGUUAAAGUACAAAUACUCUUAACACGAAAAUUUUUAUGGUAGAUGAGGUGCGCCAUGUCAUAUUUAUGUGAGGCUUUUCAUUAUUUGACAAGUGCACAUUGUGGGUCCCGUGUAAUUAUUAUCCUUUUCACUUUUUAUUGAAAUGUCAUGCUUUUUUAUUUUUUAAUUUAUUUACACAAAAUCAAAUAACAUGAAUAAAAUAGGGUGAAAAAAUUAUCAUACAAUUUUUUCUUUUUUAUUAAUAUAAAUUAUCUAACUUUAAAGUUUAUCACACAUAAAUUAUUAUUUUUUUUAUUUUUCAUAUAAAAAAUCAUCCAUUUUAAAAUUAUCACAGUAAUCUUUUUUUCUAAUUUUUAAAUGGCAAUGAAAUGAUAUAAUAAAAUUAUUUAUCAUUAUUUUAUUCAAUAAAAUUAUUUAGAUUAAUAGAUUUAUCUCACGAAGUAACAAUAGAAUUAAAACCCACACUUAGAAAAUAGGAUAGUUUGUAAUUAGCAUCCUUAAUAUAUGUGCAUUUUUUUUAAUUACACUUUAUUUUAUUUUUAAUGUCUUGGCCCUUAAAAUCUCAUUAAAUUCCUACAAAAUUAUAAUUAAUCUCAUUUUAAUUGUUACAAAGACAAAAAAAAAAGGAAAAAAUAGAAUUAAGAAGAAAAAAUAAUAAUAGCCUUUCAAUAUUGAUUCAUACCUCCAGUGAAUUUAUCUUGAAUGACUUUCAAGCCGUCUUUGCUUCUUUAAAUAAUCAAAUUUAAUAUUUCAAAAGUAUAUUUAUUGAAAUUAUUUAUUAGUUUAGUUUGGUUUAUAUUAAAAUCAUGUGUUUUAUUUUUGUUUUUUCAUCCGGUGUCCGAUACCCGCAUUGGAGUACGACUAAUGCUGAUUCGCGCCGCGUAGUGUCCCAUUCGGGGGGAAGCGCACCUUACCAAGAAUUUUUUCAUACCUAGGGCUCAAACCCGAGACCUCUGGUUAAAGGAGGAGCAGCCCCAUCCGCUGUAUCACAUCAUUUGGUGGUAUUAAAAUAUGUGGUUGUAUUAUGGUGAAACUGUUUAGUUUGAAAGCUUAUAACAAUUAUUAUUAUUAUUAUUAUUAUUAUUUAUGCUUUUUAUUUUAUUUUAUGUUUUUAAAGGGUAAUUUAUUUUAUUAUUAUUAUUAUUAUUGUAUUUUAAAUAAAUUGCCCUUUUAAAAUAUAAAAUAAAAUAAAAACUAUAUAUGCUUAUAACAAAUUAUCGUAUUCAUACUAUAAUUUUUUUACAUACAAAUACAUAUUUAUAAUAAUAAACAUUUUAAAUGUCAGCCGUAAAAAGUGAAUAGAGAUUGUGCACUUAAUAAGUGCACAAUCUAUUUAAAAAAUGUUGUGCACAAUCUAUUUUAAAAAAAAUUGUGCACUUUAGUGCACAAUUCAUAAAAAAAAAUGAAUUAUGCACUUAAUAAGUGCACAAUCCAUUAAAAAAUGGAUUGUGCACUUAAAAAUUGCACAAUCUAAGCGUGACCUUCUCUGACGCCGCGAAUGGAUUUGCUGUUAAAAUAAAAAGGCAUUGUGCACUUAAUAAGUGCACAAAGCCUAUUUUAGUAUUUUUUUUUAUAUGACAUAAAAUAAUACUUUUUUUAGUUGUAGGACAUAUUUGGUUUCGGACUCUGCACUUAACUAUAUUUCAUUCUUUUAUAUCAAAUACCUUCGUAGUAUUUAUUGGAAGAGUUCGUUGUGAUGGGAAAAAUACUUUCAUAGUAAGAAAAUCUAGAAAGUACAAACAUGUACUCAAACUAACUUAAAUAAAGUAGAAACAAUUAGAUUAGCUAAAUUAGAAUAUCAUGUAAUGUUGAAAACAUACUGAAAGACAUUCGAGAAGCUAACAUCGACAAGGAAUUAAGCCACUUUUACGUCCAAAACUCUCAUGUUCUCGAUCUUUCUAUUGCAGAAAAUCAACCUGAAAAAUUUAAAAGUAAAUUAUUAUUAUUAUUAUUAUUAUUAUUUAUUAUUAUUAUUAUUAUUAUUAUUAUUAUUAUUAUUAUUAUUUCAUUUCUAAUUCUUUAUUCCAUUUUUGAGAAGAGAAAAACUAAAUUAUAAAGUUGAAGGUUGUUGCCCUUCAAAUUAAAUAAUCUAUAGCCAAUAUAAUCUGGAAAACCUCUAUUUAGAAAGGGAAAAAAAUGAACAUUGAUAUACAUUUAAUAAAGCAAUGGAAAGUUGGACAUUAACCUCCUAGAAAUACUCACUGCAUCUUUUAAAAACCUUAAAUCAGAAACUAUCAAAUCUUUGUUUUUAUUAACAACAGGGACUUCCCCCAAUUCUUGUAGAAAACUUGAGACACAUAAAAUGUGAUUCUAAUGCUUAUUCAUCUCUUGAUUUUUCCAUCAUUAUUUAAAUAUCUACAACAAUAAUAUACUGGUAUAAUUUUAUUGGUGGGGUUUAGGGAGAGUAAAGUGUACACAGAUCUUACCCCUAUAAUUCGUAAAGAUAAGAGAAGUUGUUUCUGAUAGACCCUCAGCUGAAGUGAAGUAUCUCAAAGCAAUUUGAAAAGGGAAAUAUGGAAAUAGAAAUAGUAACAUCAACACUAUAUAUGAAUGCAUGGAGCGGAAUUUACCUUACUGUUUGCCUUUGCAUACGCAAUCAGCUGCUAAGUGUCUGACUCAAGAAUGCCAUCAACUAUAGUAGCCACGCCUCUAAUGAUUGCUUGUUUAAGAGCAGAUAUGGAGGAUGCAACAACAUUGCAUUGAGUUAAGAAAUUAACGAUCAGACAGAUUGUCUUUCAAGAGAUGACGGAGGGCUUGUCACACUACCAACCUUCUGAAAGAUACAAAGCUUAUAAAUACAUCAGUAGUGGGAUGUGCAACACAGCCAGCUUCAACUCUGUAUAACAGGACGGACAACAUUAGUUCAUAUAUCGUUUUGGACACACAACCAAUUGACAUACAUGGACAAAUUGAUUUAUAAUUAAGCCCUAUGUGCUAUAAUGUUGAGUCAAGAUGCUCCGCCUUUUCUAUAGAAGCAGUCAACUGAGUUCUAAACGAAUUAGCUUCUGGCCAUAUUACGCCUGUUGGGUUCAAUAUGUAUGGAAGAAGUGUGAAUAGAAAAUGGAGAGAAAAAGGAUGGAGGGAAGGAAACACUAAUUUAGAAAGUGUACUCUCAAAUUGAAAAGUUCACUAAAUCUCCCACAUUGGUGGGAGAAGAGAACUUUGGAGUAUUUUUAAUAAAGAAUACUUACUCUACAUAGAUAGUGAGGCAAGAACAAGGUGGUGCUUCGUGUUGUUGUCGUCGCUCGGCUCGACUUUGAAUUUGGAUUGAUGGAAUCUAUUAUUUUGGACAAAAUUUAUUUGAUCAAAAUCUGAUCCGAAUAUUCUAAAGGAAAAAUGACAGAAAUGCAGAAAAUUUUUUUGUGUUUUAUCCUCCAUUUAUAUGCAUGUAUACAGUGAACUGAUGCAUUAUUUCGAACUGAACUGAUGCAAUGUUAUGAACUGAUGCUUCAAAAAGAUGCAACCAUUCAGUAAAAAUGAUACACUGAUUCAUGGAAAGGUAUGCUUGUUCGGAAAAGAUACACUGUUUGGACGAAUAGACAUGAUUUUUCAGGAAAGGUUACACCUUUUUAAAUAAACCAUUGCCACUUUUCAGAAGAGGCCAGUUAUGACUAUAUAAACCUGCUUUCAUCCAUAGGUUUAGACAUGAAAAUUUUUUUGAAACAAAAACUCUUCUUGUUUUCAAAUAUUUUGUGUGAUCAAUCAAACUGUUGAGUGAGUUCGUAGAAUCCGUCAAUUUGAGGUACCGUUAUUGUUCGGAUUGAAGUCCAUUUUAUCCUGGGAGGAAGAUUCCAUAACCUCGGGUACAGUGAGGAGAAUUAUUCCAUAAGGACAUUCCAUGAAGUCGGGGGACUUGAUCUAAAUUUCUGUUUCAUCUUUUUCUGAAUAUUAACACACUUCUAAGAUAGAUUAUUCAUAAUCUAGUGUUGAAGGUGUGAAGAAACUUCAUAAGUUCUUGUCUUGAACUUGAACUUUCUUUGAAGUUUCUGUUGCUUAUAUAUAGAUUCUUGUACCCGAAUACAUACAAAAUAACAAUCUUAAGGAAUAAUUCAGAAUCUGUAUUACUUGUUUUUGAAGAUUAAAUCUUUAAACUUUCUACUCCGUUUGAAUUUAACUAGUGAUUAGAAGACAUAAAAUCUUUAUCACAAGUUUAAAAUUCACUCGGUUGACAAUUGGAAGUCAUUAAAACUUCAUUGUUAACUAGAAACAAGAAGAAGAGUUUAAGUUUCUUAACUUUAUAAGUAGUAUUCUGAAAAUACUAAAUAUUAUUGUCUUGUGGUGACAGGAAAAAUAACUAAUGAAAGCCAAAUGCAAGAUGCGGCUACGACUGUGGGGGCAACUAGCAUUGCUUCAACAAGUCGAGCAAAUGCUCCGCAACCAAUGGCACCUGCGGAGAAGCCUGGAAAAUUUACGGGCGUUGACUUUAAGCGAUGGCAGCAAAAAAUGUUCUUUUACCUCACCACUCUAUGCCUUUAAAGGUUCACUAGUGAAGAUGCUCCUGAGGUGCUCGAGGGAACCUCGGACAAAGAGCAUUUCAUGAUUGUAGAAGCUUGAAAAUACUCAGACUUUCUUUGUAGGAAUUAUAUAUUAAGUGGUCUCCAAGACGACCUCUACAAUGUUUACAGUGGAACUAAGACACCGAAGAAAUUGUGGGGGGCACUAGAUCGAAAAUACAAGACAUAGGAUGCGGAAAUUAAGAAAUUCUUUGUUGCAAGGUUCUUGGACUUUAAAAUGAUAUAGAGCAAAUCGGUUGUCUCUCAAGUGCAGGAAUUGCAAGUAAUCAUCCAUGAUCUUCUAGCGGAAGGUUUGAUUGUGAAUGAUGCUUUCCAAGUAGGAUCGAUAAUUGAGAAGCUACCACCAAUGUGGAAGACUUCAAAAACUGCUUGAAGCAUAAAAGCAAGGAGAUGACUGUUGAAGAUCUUAUUAACCGACUGCGUAUUGAAGAGGAUAAUAAAGCUACCGAGAGAAGGUCAAAAGGGAAUUCUGCAAUUAAUGGAGCACAUAUUAUGGAAGAUGACCAAAAUAAUUCUGAGAAAAGGAAGAAAGUUGAACAAGGAAGCAAUCAACCGAAGAAGAAAUUCAAGGAAAAAUGCUUCAAUUGUGGCAAGAUUGGCCAUAAGUCCACGGAUUGUCGAACCCCAAAGAAAGGCAAGAAAAAGGAUCAAGCAAAUAUGAUUGAAUCCAACAAAGAAUGCGAUGAUCUGUGUGCUAUGUUUUCAGAAUACAACUUGGUGGGAAAUCCUCGCGAAUGAUGGAUGGAUUCUGGUGCCACCCGCCAUGUAUGUGCAACAAAGAGUUGUUUUCGUCAUUUGUUCUGGCUCAAGUAGAAGAAAUAAUCUACAUGGCUAACUUCGCUACUGCUAAGGUAGAAGGAACAGGAAAAAUGUGCUUGAAAAUGACUUCAGGAAAAGUUUUGACACUUAACAAUGUCUUGUAUGUUUCAGAGUUACGUAGAAAUUUAAUUUCUGUUUCACUUCUAGACAAGAACGGAUUCAAAUGUGUAACCGUUUCUAGUAAAAUUAUAAUUAGCAAAGGAGAAAUGUAUGUAGGAAAAUGCUAUCUCACCGAGGGCCUUUAUAAGAUGAAUGUAAUGAAUGUUGAAAUAAAUAAAAGUUCAAAUUCUUCUUAUUUUCUUGAGUCUUAUGAUUUAUGGCAUGAACAUUUAGGCAAUGUUAAUUAUAAAACGCUACAAAAACUGAUUAACUUAGAAGUUCUGCCGAACUUUGAGUGCAAUAAAUCAAAGUGUCAACAUGUGUGGAAUCAAAGUAUGCAAAACAUCCUUAUAAGUCUGUUGAAAGGAAUUUCAAUCCCUUAGACUUAGUACACACUGACAUUUGAGAUAUGAAGUCAACACCAUCACGUGGUGGAAAAAAGUAUUUCAUAACUUUUUUUGACAAUUGCACUAGAUAUUGUUAUGUCUAUUUGCUAAAUAGUAAGGAUGAAGAAAUGGGUACGUUUAGGAAAUACAAAAUUGAAGUUGAAAAUCAGUUAGAUAAAAAGAUAAAAAUAAUAAGAAGUGAUAGGGGCAGAGAAUAUAAAUCUCCUUUCGCCGAAAUAUGUGUAGAGAAUGGAAUUGUCUAUCAAACUACGGCCCCGUAUUCACCUCAAUCUAAUGGAAUUGCGGAAAGAAAGAAACAAAUUUUGAAGGAAAUGAUGAAUGCCUUGCUUAUAAGUUUUGGUUUACCGUAAAACUUGUGGGAGGAGACUAUCCUUACAGUCAAUCGUAUACUCAAUACAGUUCCCCAUAGUAAGACACAGUCAAUUUCUUAUGAAAAAUGGAAAGGAAGGAAACCCAACUUGAAAUAUUUCAAAGUGUGGGGUUGUCUAGCAAAGGUCCAAGUUUCUAUGCCUAAGAGGGUUAAGAUAGAACCUAAACUGUGGACUGUGUGCUCAUAGGAUAUGCUAAAAGCAGUAAAGCAUGUCGAUUUUUGGUUCAUAAAUCCAAACAUCCGGAUAUAAAUAAAAAUACGGUAAUUGAAUCAGAUAAUGUUGAAUUCUUUGAAAAUAUUUACCUGUAUAAAACUAGACAUGAACAUUCUAGUGGAGGGUCUAAAUAACCUCGAGAUGAACCAAGUGAGAAUAUGCAUAAUGAAGAGAAUCCAAGAUGUAGUACACGUCGAAGAACUUCUACUACGUUUGGAUCAGAUUUUGUAACUUUUCUCUUAGAAAAUGAGCCUCAAACAUUUAAAUAAGCGGUGUCGACAUCAGACUCAUCCUUUUGGAAAGAGGCAGUCAAUAGUAAGAUUAAUUCAAUCUUAAGCAAUCAUACUUGAAAAUUGGUUGAUUUUCCUCCCGAAAAUAAAUAUUUAGGUUCUAAAUAGAUCUUCAAAAGGAAGAUGAAAGCGGAUGGUACUAUUGACAAAUACAAGGCAAAACUUGUAGUAAAAGGCUUCAAACAAAAAGAAGGUCUUGAUUACUUUGAUAUAUACUUGCCAGUAACAAGGAUAAAAUCAAUUCGAAUGUUAAUUGCCUUAGCUGCGGUAUUUGAUCUUGAAAUUCAUCAAAUGGAUGUGAAAAUCGCUUGCCUAAAUGGAGAAUUGGAGGAAGAAAUUUACAUGGAACAACCUGAGGAUUUUAUGGUUCCAGGAAAGGAAAACAAGGUGUGUAAACUUAUUAAGUCAUUGUAUGGACUAAAGCAAGCACCAAAAUAAUGGCAUGCGAAGUUUGACCAAACCAUGUUGGCAAACAGAUUUAAAAUAAAUGAAUGUGAUAAAUGUGUUUAUAUUAAAGACACUCCAAAUCACCAAGUCAUUGUAUGUUUAUAUGUGGAUGAUAUGUUGAUCAUCAGCAGAGACAUUUCUGACAUAAAUGCAGUUAAAUGAAUGCUCGAGAGCAAGUUUGAUAUGAAAGAACUUGGAGUUGCAGAUGUGAUCUUAGGUAUAAGAAUCCAUCGAACUCCAUAAGGGUUGGCAUUGUCACAGUCUUAUUAUAUCAAAAAUAUACUUGACAAGUUCAAGUAUAUGGAAUUCGGUAUUGCCAAGACUCCAUUGGAUGUGAGCUUUGUACUUCGAAAGAAUGAAGGUGAAAGUGACUCACAAUUGGAGUACGCAAGAGUAUUGGGAUGUUUAUUGUAUACAAUGAAUUGUACACGAUCAAACAUAGCAUGCGCUAUUAGUAAAUUGAGUCGGUACACAAGUAAUCCCAACAAAACUCAUUGGAUGGAAAUGAAAAGAGUGUUGGGGUAUCUUAAAUACACUCAAGAUUAUGCCUUGCAUUAUAAUAAAUAUCCUGCGGUACUUGAAGAAUAUAGUGAUGGAAAUUGGAUCACUGGAUCGGAUGAAGUAAAAUCCAUAAGUGGAUAUUUAUUUACUAUCGGAGGAGGAGUAGUCUCUUGGAAAUCAUCCAAACAGACUUGUAUUGCUCGUUCUACAAUGGAAUCUGAAUUUAUCACAUUGGAUAAAGCCGGUGAAGAAGCAAAAUGGCUUCGAAAUUUCUUGGAAGACAUUCCGUAUUAGCCCAAAUCAGUGGCACCAGUAUGUAUACACUGUGAUAGCCAAGCGACAAUAGGUAGUGUAGGGAGUAUGAUGUAUAACGAUAAAUCUCGUCAAAUACGAGGGAGACAUAAUACCGUUAGAGAACUUCUCUCUAGUGGAAUUAUCAUUAUUGACUACGUAAAGUCAAAGGAUAAUGUUUUGGAUUGACUUACGAAAGGUCUAUCUAGAGAAGGAGUGGAAAGGACAUCCAAGGGAAUGGGUUUAAAGCCUAGGACAAGUCAGCAUGGCGGUAACUCUACCUAGCAGACUGGAGAUCCCAAGAGCUAGGUUAAAGGAGAUCAAACAAAGUUGUGUCUGACAGGUUCAACAUUGUCAAUUACCCAACCCAUUCUCAUGAUGUAGACAAUGUUUAGUAAACAAGGAUAAGACUUAAGGUUAAAAGUCUUUUAAUGAUUAUCUAAAUUUGGCAGAUUUGACCAAAUAGUUUAAUCUAUAGGAUUGAACAUUUAGAAAUCACCUAAGUAAGGACGAAGUGGAAGCUGCUUCAAAGAGAAUGUUAGUAAAGGCCCAUUCUCUAAGCUCUCAUGAAACUGGGACGUGUUCAUGGCUGAAAAAAAUAAAACUGUGAGAACCAUAAACGGUAAAAGGCUGGUUAUGUGACACGUGUUGUCUAGGUGUACAUUAAAGCUCGAUGGUUCAAAGAUAUCAAAUUUGCUAAUUGACCGAGUGCAUCCGAUGCAUGUUCACUACGGAAAGGUCAAAGAAAAACCAACUUAUGCAGAUGCAAUCAGUCUUUACUUGAUGAUCACAUACUUGUCCGUAAAAAUUUUAUGAAAAAUAGCCAUUCCUCAUUCAUGUGGGGAAUUGUUGGGUUCAAUAUGUAUGAAAGAAGUGUGAAUGGAAAAUGGAGAGAAAAAUGAUGGAGGGAAGGAGACACUAAUUUAGAAAGUGUACUCCCAAAUUGGAAAGUUCACUAAAUCUGCCAUAUUGGUGGGAGAAGAAAACUUUGGAGUGUUUUUAAUAAUGAAUACUUACUCCACAUGGAUAGUGAGGCAAGAAAAAGGUGGUGCCUCGCGCCGUCGUCGACGUCGCUCGCUCGGCUCGGCUUCAGCUUCGGCCUCAACUUUGGCGUCGGAUUUGGAUUUGGAUUUGGAUGAAAAUGGAGAGAAAAAUGGUGGAGGGAAGGAGACACUAAUUUACAAAGUGUACUCCCAAAUUGAAAAGUUCACUAAAUCUCUCACAUUGGUGGGAGAAGAGAACUUUGGAGUGUUUUUAAUAAUGAAUACUUACUCCACAUGGAUAGUGAGGCAAGAACAAGGUGGUGCCUCGAGCUGUCGUCGUCGCUCGCUCGACUCGACUUCGGCUUCGACUUUGGAUUUGUCAAAUGAUCGAUCAAUGAGAUCUAUCUAAUCUUUUUGGACAAAAUUUAUUUUAUCAAAAUCUGAUCCGAAUAUACCAAAGAAAAAAUGACAGAAACGCAGAAAAUUUUUCUGUGUGAUCAAUCAAACUGUUGAGUGAUUUCGUAGAGUCCAUCAAUUUGAGGUACCGCUAUUGUUCGGAUUGAAGGCCAUUUUAUCCUGGGAGAAAGAUUCCAUAACCUCGGGUACAGUGAGGGGAAUUAUUCCUUAAGAACACUUCGUGAAGUCGGAGGACUUGGUAUAAAUUUUUGUUUCAUCUUUUUCUGAAUAUUAAAACACUUCUAAGAUAGAUUGUUCAUAAUCUAGUGUUGAAGGUGUUAAGAAACUUCAUAAGUUCUUGUCUUGAACUUGAACUUUCUUUGAAGUUUCUGUUGCUUAUAUAUAGAUUCUUGUACCCAAAUACAUACAAAAUAACAAUGCCUACCACUCCCUUCUCUUUACCUGAUACAAGGCAGUCGAAGUACGCACCACCCUGUAGAUAUGAAUGGCGCGAAGGAAAGGUGCAAAUUAUCAUCUGAUGCAUUUGCUAGACAUCAAAAAAGGAAUUAACUUAUACUAUCGUGUAAAAGUUGUUUAUACUAUUAGACGUAAUUUAACCUGUUAUAACAAAUUACCUACUUUAUUUUACAGGUCACUACUUCCAUUUACUAUGUGAAGUUACAUAUUGCUAUCUUUUAGGUGUGUAAUACUAUUAAUGCAUAUGAGUUAAUUAAAGAAAAGGUCAUAUAAGCUAACGAAAUACUUUUUACACUGAUGCAAUUCAAUCGAUUGUAGUAGGUUUCAUCACCGUAAUAUUUAGGUUAUCAUAUUAGACUUGAUACGAAGAGUUACCAAUUAUUGCGAAUUAUGGUGUUCAGACACUUCAAAAAGGUAGUCACACCCGCGUCGGAUCCUCCAAAAUACAUUAUUUUUGGAGGAUUUAAAAAGCACAUUUUGAUGUUUUUAAAGAUUCCAAGCAACAUAAGUUGUAAUUCAAUAGUAUCUAAUGGUCUAAAAAAAGCAUACGUAGUCAGUGCACAAAACUUAAGCUCGGAGAAUAAAAUGACUUACUUCAUUUGCUUGGUUUGGACAAGCUUGCCAGCAGUAGAAAUAUCAGCAUCAAGUUCUUCAUUUUGGUAGAAAAGUUUAGGAUCAUUUACCAUAUCCAAUUUUCUCUUCUUGUAAGCAGCAACACAAACUUGCAAUAACCUAGUAAAAGGGCUACCAGCAGGAUCCAAAUUUCUAUACAAAGGGUAUCCAAAUAUGAACACAACAAUUGAAAUAAGCAUAGCAAUUAUUGGUACAACAAAUCCAAUGCUCCAUCCAAUAUUAUCUUGAAUGUAAACAAUUAUCGUGACAGCAACAAGCAUUGAAAAUCCCAUUGGCCUGAUUUUGCUUCUUUUUCAUUGAAAAUCCCAUUGGCUUGAUUUUGCUUCUUUUUUCAUGAGCUAUUUACUCAUUCUUCUUUUACUCUGAGUUUGAAAUUGUUAUUUUAUGGUGUUUUCGGGUACAAGAAUCUGUAUUUAGGCACAACUUCAACACUAGUUCAAAUUUAAAACAAGAACCCUAUAAAGUACAAAAACACCCUCAACACAAGAUCGAAGUGAUCUUUCUAAGAAGUGUGUUUUAGUUUUUCAGAAAUUAAGAUGAAAUAGAAAUAUAAAGCCAAGUCCCCCGACUUCAUGGAGUGUCCUUAAGAAAUAAUUUUCCUCACUGUAUCCGAGGUUUUGGAAUCUUCCUCCAAGGAUAAAAUGACUUUCAAUCCAACUAUAGUGGUACCUCAAAUAAUUGAAUUUGUCGAACUCACCCAACGAUUUGAUUGAUCACAAAGAAUGUUUUGAAUACAAGAAGAGUUUUUAUUCCAUAAAAUUUUUCAUUCAUUUCUAAACCUGUAGAUGAAAGCAGGUUUAUACAACCAACAAAUACCUUUUCUGAAAGAUAACAAUGGUUUACUUAAAAGGUGUAUCCUUUGGAAGAGUCAUGUUUGUUCAUUUGAAACAUUGUAUCUUUUUCUGAACAGACACAAUUAUCUGAACAGUCACACCUUUUUCAAAAUAAGAUAUCUUUUGCUCAAAGGUUGUGUCCCUCUAUUUUCCAUUCACACCAAUUAAACCAAACAAUCCCCCAUAUGAAUGGGGAAUGACUAUUCUUUGUAAAACUUUACAAAAAAGUAUGUGAUCAUCGAACAAAGAUUGAUUGCGUCUGGAUAAGUGGGUUUUCCUUUGAACUUUUCGUAGUGAACAUGCAUCGGAUGCACUCGGUCAAUAGGUAGAUUUGAUAUCUUUGAGCCGUCGAGCUUUAAUGUACACCUAGACAACACAUGUCACACAGCCUUUUACCAUUUAUGGUUCUCAUGGUUUUGUUUUUUUCAGCCAUGAACACGUCUUGCUUUCAUGAGAUCUUAGAGAAUAGACCUUUACUAACAUUCUCCUUGAAGCGGCUACCACUUUGCCCUCACAUAGGUGAUUUCUAAACGUUCAAUCCUAUAGAUUAAACUAUUUGAACAAAUAUUCCAAAUUUAGAUAAUCAUUAAAAGAAUUUUCACUUUAAGUCUUAUCCUUAUCUACUAAACAUUAUCUACAUCAUGAGAAUGGAUUGGAUAAUUGACAAUGUUGAACCUGUCUGACACAACUUUGUUUGAUCUCAUUGAACUUAGCUCUUGGAAUCUCCAGUUUACUAGGUAGAGUUACCGCCAUGCUGACUUGUCCUAGGACUUAAACCCAUUCCUUUGGAUGUGCUUUCCACUCCUUCUCUAGAUGGGUCUUUUGUAAGUGGAUCCGACACAUUAUCCUUUGACUUUACAUAGUCAACAGUGAUAAUUCCACUAGAGAGAAGUUCCCUAACGGUAUUAUGUCUCCGUCGUAUGUGACAAGAUUUACCGUUGUACAUUAUGAUUCCUGCCCUACCUAUUGCCGCUUGGCUAUCAUAGUGUAUACAUACUAGUGUCACUGGUUUGGGAAAAUAACAAAUAUCUUCCAAGAAAUUCUGGAGCCAUUCUGCUUCUUCAACGGUUUUAUCCAAUGCGAUAAAUUCAGAUUCUAUGUAGAGCGAGUAAUACAAGUCUGUUUGGAUGAGUUCCAAGAGACCGCUCCUCCACCGAUAGUAAAUACAUAUCCACUUGUGGAUUUUACUUCGUUCGAUCCGGUGAUUCAAUUUGCAUCACUAUAUCCUUUGAGUACCGCGGGAUAUUUAUUAUAAUGCAAGGCAUAGUCUUGAGUGUAUUUAAGAUACCCCAAAACUCUUUUCAUUGCCACCCAACGAGUUUUGUUGGGAUUACUCAUUUACCGACUCAAUUUACUAAUAACGCAUGCUAUAUCUGGUUAUGUACAGUUCAUAGUAUACAUUGAACAUCCCAAUAUUCUUGUAUACUCCAAUUGUGAGUCACUUUUACCUUUAUUCUUUCGAAGUGCAAAGCUCACAUCCAAUGGAGUCUUGGCAGUACCGAAUUCCAUAUACUUGAAUUUGUCAAGUACCUUUUAGAUAUAAUGAGACUGUGACAAUGCCAACCCUUGUGGAGUUCUAUGGAUUCUUAUACCUAAGAUCACAUCCGUAACUCCAAGGUCUUUCAUAUCGAACUUGCUCUAGAGCAUUCGUUUCGUUGCAUUUAUGUCAGAAAUGUCUCUACUGAUAAUCAACAUAUCAUCUACAUAUAAACACACAAUGACUUGAUGAUUUGGAGUUUCUUUAAUAUAAACACAUUUAUCACAUUCACUUAUUUUGAACCCGUUUGCCAACAUGGUUUAGUCAAACUUCGCAUGUCAUUGUUUAGGUGCUUGCUUUAGUCCAUACAAUGAAUUAAUAAGUUUACAAACCUUAUUCUCCUUUCCUGGAACCACAAAACCCUCAGGUUGUUUCAUGUAAAUUUGUUCCUCCAAUUCUCCAUUUAGAAAUACGUUUUCACAUCCAUUUGAUGGAUUUCAAGACCAUAUACUGUUGCCAAGGCAAUUAACAUUCGAAUCGAUGUUAUCCUUGUUACUGUCGAGUAUGUAUCAAAGUAAUCAAGACCUUCUUUUUUCUUGAAGCCUUUUACUACAAGUCUUGCCUUGAAUUUGUCAAUAGUACCAUCCGCUUUUAUUUUCCUUUUAAAGAUCCAUUAGAACCUAAAGGUUUAUUUUCUGGAGGAAGAUCAACCAAUUCCCACAUAUGUUUGCUUAAGAUUGAAUCAAUCUCACUAGUGACUAUCUUUUUCUAAAAGGAUGAGUUUGACGACGACAUCACUUCUUUAAAUGUUUGAGACUUAUUUUUUAAGAAAAAUAUUACAAAAUCUGAUCCAAAUGUAGUAGAAGUUCUUUGAUGUGUACUACGUCUUGGAUUCUCUUCAUUAUGUAUAUUCUCACUUGGUUCAUAUCGAGGUCGUUUAGACCCUCCACAAGACUGUUCAUGUCUAGUUUUAUACGGGUAAAUGUUUUCAAAGAAUUCAACAUUAUCUUAUUCAAUUACUGUAUUUUCAUUUAUAUCCUGAUGUUUGAAUUUAUGAACCAAAAACCGACAUGCUUUACUGCUUUUAGCAUAUCCUAUGAAUACGCAGUCCAUAGUCUUAGGUCCUAUCUUAACCCUCUUAGGCAUAGGAGCUUUAACCUUUUCUAGACACCUCUACACGUUGAAAUAUUUCAAGUUGAGUUUUCUUCCUUUCCAUUUUCAUAAGGAAUUGAUUGUGUCUUGCUAUGAAGAACUCUAUUGAGUAUAUGGCUGUAAGGAUAGCCUUCCCCCACAAGUUUUGUGGUAAACCAAAACAUAUAAGCAAGACAUUCAUCAUUUCUUUUAAAGUUUGAUUUUUUCCGCAAUUUUGUUAGAUUGAGGUGAAUACAGGGCCUUAGUUUGAUGGAAAAUUCCAUUCUCUACACAUAUUUUGGCGAAGGGAGAUACAUAUUCUCCGCCCCUAUCACUUCUUAUCAUUUUUAUCUUUUUCUCUAACUGAUUUUCUACUUCAGUUUUGUAUUGCCUAAAUGCAUAUAUUGCUUCAUACUUACUAUUUAGCAAAUAGACAUAACAAUAUCUAGUGCAAUUGUCAAUAAAAGUUAUGAAAUACUUUUUCUCACCACAUGAUGGUGUGACUUCAUAUCACAAAUGUCAGUGUGUACUAAGUCUAAAGGAUUGAAAUUCCUUUCAACGGACUUAUAAGGAUGCUUUGCAUACUUUGAUUCCACACACGUUUGACACUUUGAUUUAUUGCACUCAAAGUUUCGCAAAACUUCUGAGUUAAUCAACUUUUGUAACAUUUUUUAAUUAACAUGACCUAGACGUUCAUACCAUAAAUUAUAAGACUCAAGCAAGUAAGAAGAAUUUGAACUUUUAUUUAUUUCAACAUUCAUUACAUUCAUCUUAUAAAGGCCCUCGGUGAGAUAGUCUUUUCCUACAUACACUUCUCCUUUUCUAAUUACAGUUUUUUCUGAAACGAUUACACAUUUGAAUCCGUUCUUUUCUAGAAGUGAAACAAAAAUUAAGUUCCUAUGUAAUUUCAAAAUGUACAAAACAUUGUUAAUUGUCAACACCUUUUCUGAAGUCAUUUUCAAGCCCACUUUUCCUGUUCCUUCUACCUUAGCCGUAGUGGAGUUAGCCAGGUAGAUUAUUUCUUCCACUUGAGCCAGAGCAAAUGACGAAAAUAACUCUUUGUUGGCACAAACAUGGCGGGUGGUACCAAAAUCCAUCCACCACUUGGGAGGAUUCCCCACCAAGUUGCAUUCUGAAAGCAUAGCACACAGAUUAUCACAUUCUUUGUUGGACUCAAUCAUAUUUGCUUGGUCCUUUUUCUUGCCUUUCUUAGGGGCACGAUAAUUUGUGGACUUAUGGCCAAUCUUGCCACAGUUGAAACACUUUCUCUUGAAUUUCUUCUUGGGUUGAUGGCUUCCUUGUUCAACUUUCUUCCUUUUCUUAGAAUUGUUUUGGUCAUCUUCUACAAUAUGUGCCCCAUUAAUUGUAGAAUUCUCUUUUGACCUUCUCUCGGCAGCCUUGUUAUCCUCUUCAAUACGUAGUCGGACAAUAUGAUCUUCGAUAUCCAUAUUCUUGCGUUUGUGCUUUAAGUAGUUUUUGAAGUCUUUCCAUAUAGGUGGUAGCUUCUUAAUGAUCGUUGCUACUUGAAAUGCAUCAUUCACAAUCAAACCUACAAAACAGUUUAUGUGAGUACUAAGAACAUUUUCAAUUUGUUUAACUAAGGUAUUUUUCAAAGAUAUACCUUCUGCUAGGAGAUCGUGAAUGAUUACUUGCAAUUCCUGCACUUGAGAGACAACCAAUUUGCUAUCUAUCAUUUUAAAGUCUAACAACCUUACAACAAAGAAUUUCUUAAUUCCCGCAUCCUCUGUCUUAUAUUUUCAUUCUAGUGACCCCCACAAUUCGUUUAAUGUCUUAGUUCUACUAUAAAUAUUAUAGAGGUCGUCUUGGAGACCACUCAAUAUAUAAUUCCUGCAAUGGAAGUCUGAGUGUUUCCAAGAUUCUACAAUCAUGAAAUGCUCUUUGUCUGAGGUUUCCUCGGGCACCUCAGGAGCAUCCUUAGUAGUGAACCUUUAAAGGCAUAGAUUGGUGAGGUAAAAGAACAUCUUUUGCUGCCAUCGCUUAAAGUCAAUGCCCAAAAAUUUUCUGGACUUCUCCGCAGGUGCCAUUGGCUGCAGAGCAUUUGCUUGACUUGUUGAAGCAAUGCUAGUUACCCCCACAGUCGUAGCCGCAUCUUGCAUUUGACUUUCGUUAGUCAUUUUAUUGUCACCACAAGACAAUAAAAUUUAGUAUUUUCAUAAUACUAUUUAUAAAGAUAAGCAACUUUAAACUUUUCUUCUUGUUUCUAGUUAAUGAUGAAGUUUUUAUGACUUCCAAUCGUCAACCGAAUGAUCUUUAACUUGUGAUGAAGAUUUUCUGUCUUCGAAUUACUAGUUAAGUUCAAAUGGAGUACAAAGCUUAAAGCUUUAAUCUCUAAAAACAAGCAAUACAGAUUCUGCAAAAAAUUAUUUCUUAAGAUUGUUAUUUUAUGGUGUUUUCAAGUACGGGAAUUUGUAUUUAGGCACAACAACUUCAACACUAGUUCAAGUUUAAAACAAGAACACUAUGAAGUACAAAAACACAAGAUCAAAGUGAUCUUUCGAAGAAGUGUGUUUUAUUUUUUCAGAAAUUAAGAUGAAACAGAAAUAUAAAGCCAAGUCCCCCGACUUCACGGAGUGUCCUUAAGAAAUAAUUUCCCUCAUUGUACGCGAGGUUUUGGAAUCUUCAUCCCAGGAUAAAAUGACUUUCAAUCCAACUAUAGUGGUACCUCAAAUAAUUGGAUUUGUCGAACUCACUCAACGAUUUGAUUGAUCACAAUGAAUGUUUUGAAGACAAGAAGAGUUUUUAUUCAAGAAAAUUUUUCAUUCAUUUCUAAACCUGUAGAUGAAAGCAGGUUUAUAUAGCCAUCAGAUGCCUCUUCUGAAAGGUGGCAAUGAUUCACUUAAAAGGUGUAUCCUUUGGAAGAGUCAUAUCUAUUCAUUCAAAACAUUAUGUCUUUUUCUGAACAGACACAACUAUCUGAAUAAUCACACCUUUUCCAUACAUAAUAUAUUUUUUGCUCAAAGGUUGUGUCCCUCCAUUUUCCAUUCACACCAAUUAAACCCAACAGAAACAAAUGAAAUCUCACCAUCUUAGUGUGACUGCAUGUUGUUGAAGAGUUUUUCAUUGAAUGAAAAAACGGAUAGGUGACCUCAUCUUAUGGCCUUGGAUAACCUUAACCUUCUGAGCUAACUUUUGGAGUUAAGAUAACUUUAAGAUCUACUAUUUCUUUUUCGAAUAAUGCCAACCAACUCGACCAAGACAUUUAUAUGAAAAAGAUAAAAAAAAAAAAGAUGUGUUAAGUUAGUGUUUUCCCAGCCGACUCGCACACCACCAUCUUUUUUUAGAUUGAAGAAGUAUCAAGAGAAGGUCCACCUCAUCUAAUAUUUAUCGAUAAGUGGGCUUCCCAUAUCAACUUAUUCACUCUCCAAAUAUCCAACCAUGAGUAAGAUCUAUUUCUUAAUACUGGCAACAAGUAUCGAUUGACUUUUACUUUAAUCAUAAGAUUAGAUUCAGUGCCAGACUCUAUGCAUUGUGUUACCACUUAGCAGAGUGCUGUGUUUUUAAUGAACGAUCGAUCGCUACCCCCUGAGUCGCAAUUGACCAUUUCAAUAGACAUAUAGGCAAGGAAACUUCAGUAUGUAUACUUUUCUGUUGAACAUGAGACAACUUGCUUGGGUGUCGAAGAAAGAGAGCCAAAGGGCUAGAUAGAGAGAGGAGAGGGUACUCAAUACUCACCAUUGGCUCUUCACUCCUGUUUUCAAUUAGCAAAAUUAAGAGAGACAUAUCAACAAUUUCAAUACUGUAAAAUAGUUCAAAAUCCUGAAUUUUGCACUGCAUGUAAAAAAGAAAUUCAAAAAUUUAAUCAGUACAAUGAGGUCGGAAAAAAAAUCUCAACAAUGGUUGAUCUAAAAGUUAAUGAACAAAGGAAAAGAGACAUGGCAAAACAAUAAUAGCAAUUUGCCUGAAUUGUACUGGAAUAGAAAAAUUGAAAAGAGGGGAAGAGUCUUAAAACAAAAGAACUUUAUUAUGCAUUCUAACGCUAUAUUCAAAUAUUCUUCCUUCUAAUUAAAAUAGUUGAAGGAUGAAAUUAACAAACAAUGAGAAAACUCGGAAAGAAAGCAGACCAAGAAUUUGAAAUAUGAAAAAGAAUCAAAAACAUGCAAAAUUAAACUGACCGGACGCUAGAAGCCUAAAACCAAGCAAUCCUAGUAGCAGGUUUGAGCAAACAAUUGAUUAAAUGAUAGGGAGAUCCAGCAAAAUUGUUUGAGCAAAAAACAAAGAAAAAGGAGAGCAACCAAAUGAACAGAUGGAGAUCAGAUCGGUGAAAGGAUGGAUGGUAUGGAUAAACGUGGUAAAUUUAGUGCAGGUUGAAUGACACAUAAGGAAAGUAGAGGUGAAGACGAAAAUGCCCUUAGUGCUUAAACAAGCAUGUUGAAACAUAGCCUUUCCUAAUAUAGUAGUAAUAAUAAUAAUCAAUGGCGGAUGUAGAGUAGAAGGUGUGGGUUCCCGGGAACCCACACCCGCUACCGUAAGACUUAAAAUUACAUAAAAAAAUCGUCAAAAGUUAUAAAUAUUAAUAGGUGGGAACCCAUAACUAAACCAAGGGAUAACUUAGUGACAGGAAAGGAGCCCUUGUGAACCCACAAGUUUAUAAUUCUGGAUCCGCCUCUGAUAAUAAUUGAGGAGCUCCUAGGUUGAAAAUCACCAAAACAAAAAAUAGUAUUUACUACUUACCAUAAACGAAGAAAAGGAUAAAUAUAUCCUCAUAACUAUAGUAGGUAUAGGUCAUUUGUUAUAUUUUGAGUACAUAUAUAUUCUUAUCAUUAAUAAAAUAGUACGUAUAUGUUCCUCAGAUUAAUGUCAAAGGCAUAUAUGUAUCCAAAGUAUGACGGUGAUCAUAUGCAUAUCAUGUACCAUAGUUCAAUGGUAUAUUUAUCUCCUUUUCGUUUUAAUUUUUGUAACCCCAAUAAUUAACGGAAACCUACUAUCCAACUCAAUAGAAUCACUAUCCGAUCUUGUCUCAAUUAAAAUUAAAGGAACACCUAACAUAUGCAUUUUUCUCACUCUUGUAACAAUAUAUACACAUAAGCCAGUAACACGCACUACUAUCAAUUUUAAAAAAGAAAUCAUUAACUUGUAACACCUAAAAACAACAUCCAAUAAAUUCAUGUCUCAAUUUUUCAGCGAAAUUUCAUCGAAAAAAUACAAUCCACCACCGGUCAGCACCAUAUAGCCACCGUCUAUGUCGAAUAAAAAAACAUGCAUUGGCGAACCACAUCGCACCGCUAGCUCCAACCACCUUCGACCUAAUCUCCACUCCCUCCAACCCGCAAACACCAACGAAUAGCAUUGAUCAAUCACUGUAAUUUGAUUGUGCUUCAAGUUUAAAAGAAAAAUAGAGAGAGUAUUGAAUUUGAAACAAAAAUAGAAAUUGGAUCGAGUUGGUCUGCAAAGGUUCAAUGGGUUUAUUGAGUUGAAUAGGGAGUUUGAAUUAAUUAUUUUAAAUAAAAAAUUAAACGAAAAAGAAACAAAUAUAUCCCAGAAUUAUGAUAAAUAAUACGUAUAAAUAAUACGUAUAUACUCUACAUUAUACUUUGUGUACAUAUAUGUCCCUACCGUUAGUGUCAGAGAUAUACAUAUAAUUUCAUUAACGAAUAUAUACGUAUCAUUUAUCAUAAUCCCAAUAUAUAUUUACUCUUUUUCCGUACAAUAAAUAAGGAACACAAACUAACCGUCCACCCUGGAAAGUCUACCAAGGUACUACUACCAAUUACUAACAAGACAAGGAGUGGUAUUUGUUAUAGUUUGAGGCUUAGCUUUACUAGCCGAAGCUCCUGGACUCAAAAUCUAUCUUCCAAGACCCACAUCCUCAUUUCGUUGUCUCCGUCAAUCAGCCAUUAGCGUAUGUAAUUAAUUUGCGUAGUGGCAUGUUCGUAUCAGUGGUGAAACCGAGAUAUUUACUAAGGAGUUCAUAAGUGAACAAAUGAAUUAACCAAAGAUGGUCAACAUCUAAUAUAUAUACAUAAAAUUUAAUUUUAAUCAUGUAUAUAUAGCAUAAUUUUUUGUCGAUCUGAACCCCCUCGGCAAAGGGUAGAUCCGCCACUGGUUCGUAUAUUUUACGCGGACCCUUAAUGAGUCUAAGAUUAGAUAUUUGGUUUCAUCAACACAUUCUUCGUACAGACUGCAAAUAAAGAAAAACGGAGAAUGAAAUUGGCAAGCUUGUGACGUGACUAUAUGAAAGCAGUAAUGGUCCUGCAAGUGAAGUGAUGAAGCGGAUGAUUUCAUAAACUUCAAAAGAAAAAAAGACAGAGAAAUAAUACUGGAUAAUGUCAUUACAUAAGCACGGGAAACAAUCCCUAAGAUCGAAUACAUUUGAUUAUAUCAGAGUUCAGUAAGUGCUGAAGCCAAGUUGAAAUUAUAUGCCCCGUAUUGCAUAAAGCAUAUAAAGCUGAAAUGCGUUUAAGAUAUACAAUCCACUUGUUGCUAAUCUUACAUCCAAAACCUUUAUGUAGAUUUGAAUACCAAAAUCAAAACUUCCAAAACCUUUAUGUAGAUUUGACCAUAAAAGAAUAAUCUUCAUAGGUUAAGAUUCCUUUUUAGAAGUUUUGAUAAAAUAAAGAAAAAAACCGCACUCUCCCUUAGGAGCGGAGCCAGCCUCAGAAAAAUAUAUUAUUUAUACGUGAUUAAAAUUCAUUUUUAUAUGAUUAUAGUAAAUGUUAAACUCCCUUUAACUAAGUUUUCUUUGAAUAUAAAACCCUUAGUUAAAAUCCUAAUUUUUUUAAUUUUUUUUUUGAAUAUGAAUCUCCUUCAUUAAAAUCCUGAUUCCGCCUCUGCUCUCCCUAGUUAAAAAACAUCACCCAAUCUAGAGCCUAAUUACAAAAAAAAAUAGUGUUCUUCUAUGCUUCCCUUUAGAUCUACGCUUCCCUUCAGAUUAUUUAAGAAAGUGAGGACUAAUCAAAUCAAUUAUCUCAAGGAACUCAACACGCUUCUUUCCAUCAAAAAUCUCAUCACAAAUUAUGACCUCCUUGUUUUGAGGAUCCUAUAAAGGCCCGUAAAAGAAAGAGUCGGCAGCGCAAAGAGUGGAGAUACGCUAUCAGAAAGCAUUCCCUUCUUUUCACCAACCUCUCGGAUAAACCAUAGAGAGCAUCAUGUUAGAUAUCAACACUAGAAAGCUAAAGCCAGAUUACACACCCAACACAAUGCAACAAAAGAUUUGACAUACUAAUUACAGUACUACAUAGACCGGUAGAAGACAGCAGUCCAAAUGCGCUAAGCAUUCCAAAACUUCCAAUAGAUACUUAAGAUGGCAUCUAGGUAGACAAAGGUAGCAAAUCAGAAGCAUGCAAAAAGCCAGCAAUUGUGGCAAAGAACAUAGAUUAGAACCAGUAUAUUCUUUCUCAACAUAUAUACCACUAGAUAAAAUUUCCGGUGUUAAAGUAAGCAUAUCGAAUGAAAAUAACAAAUUUACAUCUUUGUUCAUAGAAGAGACGAAAUGAAGCUCAACCCACGAAAACAUUAAAGAUCAAUCGAACAACUACAAACAUGUAAAAGAAAAAACUGCAUCAAUAGCCAUUUCAGAUAAGAGUGAGCAACUACUUCAGUCAAAUGUUAAAAUUUAUGCCACAUGGAAAGGAUGUUGCAACAAGGUUUCACCGGGAUUCGCUUUAAAGGAGAGUGAAAAUUAGGGGCCAGAAAAACUCAAGACAUACUAAUUCAAGGGAAGGAAAAGAGAACCAGAAAUCUUAAAUAAAUGUAAAGGAAAUUAUUCAUUAAUCAAGCUCAUACAACAAUUUCUUGUUUACAACUACAAAGCCAAGACCCACAACUUAGAUAAUUACACACACACAAUUCAGAUUACACCAAACACAAUAGACAAAGGACUUUCAACAAAAACAGCUGAUCUGCAUGCACUUGUUUAACCAGAUAUGUCAAUUGCCUUGACCUCAGGUUUCUUCUCCUCUUCUUUCGGAACUGUUACAGUGAGCACUCCAUCCUCCAUAGCUGCCUUAAUUUCCCCUGUUUUCGUAUUCUCCGGCAGCCUAAAUCUCCUCAAAAACUUGCCACUGCUCCUCUCCAUACGGUGCCACUGAUCAUUCUUCUCCUCUUGCUCUCUGCUCCUCUCACCGCUUAUCUGUAGUAUCCUUCCUUCUUCAACUUCGACUUUCACUUCCUCUCUCUUGAUCCCCGGAACGUCUACUUUGAAGAUGUGCGCUUGUGGGGUCUCUUUCCAAUCGAUUCUUGCAUUUGCGAAAGCAGAGGUUUCACGAGCAGAGGAGGGGGUGUUGGCGAUUGUGCUUGAAAUUGGGAAGCCUUCGAACGGAUCCCAUAAGUCGAGGGAGAAUGGGUCGAAGAUGUUGCUCCUGCGACCACCGAAGAAGCUUGGAAUCAGAGACAUUUUUUGGGGACUUUGUCGUUUGAAGAAGACAAAAGAUGAACUAUUACAGAGCUUGAAUUUUUCUUUGAUUGUAGCGUUUAAUAAUUUGCUGAUGACCAAUGAGAGAAGAUGUCGUGAUAUUUAUAGGCGAUGAUGAACCAAGAAACUUAAUGUAAUUGGAGUGUAAUCUAGGAUGUUCUCAGAGUAUUCGACGAUAUUCCCCACAAAGCUAUCAAAUUCGAGGCUAAUCUAGGAUGUUCGUCGGUUGAUUUUUGAUAAGAGAAAUAAGAAGCUUCUACACUAUUCCAGAUAUUUUUUCUGAAGGGUCACUGCACAUUUUUGCUCGUGAAGUCAUAAGGUCGAUUGUAUUCGUCUUAAAUUAAAAAUGGAACGAAAGAAAUAUAUAAUGACUUGACGCUCUUACUAUAUUCGGACUUGUUUCGUCAAUUUGGAUCCUUCUAUUCAUUACAUUGCCAAUUCAAUUCUUAAAUUCAACAAAAUCACAUAUGUAAGCAAAUUAAAAUAAAGAGAUUAAUUUUAGAAAAAAUUACAGAAAUUAGUAUCCUUAAGAUUAUAAUUACAAUAAAUAGCAACACUUUUUUAAAAUUAUAACUAGCAAAAGUAGCAAUAUUUUACUUAUUUCAUAGUAAUAGAACAAUAUGUAUUUUUCAAUUGUGCAUAUAUAUUUAUGAGUAAUAUAUAUAUAUUUGUAUAUGUAUUUAUAUAGCAACAUUUUACUUAAAUACAAAUACAAUUUACUAUUUUUCGUAAUUAUAAAACUGUUGCUAUAAAAGUUAUAAUUAAGGUUUAGAGUUACUAUUUCUGAAACACUUCCAUUAUAGGAGCUCUUAGAUUGAGUUGAAAAUCACCAAAACAAUCUGGCAGCUCAUAAUCGAUAUGUCUAUUUCAUUUAAUUCAAUCAUACUUUUAUUAUAUUAUUUUUAAUUAAUUAUUAUAAAUUAUUUAUAUAUUCAAAAUUAAUAAUAUUUAAUGAAAAAAUAAAAUAGACAUAUAUAACAUAUUUGUUUCUUCAAUUGUAAUUUUAUUAUAUCACUCCUAACUAAGUAUUAUAAGUCAUCUAUAUAUUAAAAAAUAAUAAUAUUUUAUAAAAUAUAAAAUAAACAUAAAAUAAUAAAUUAAUGUUUGAUGUUUUAAAUUAAAUUGACGUCUUAUAUUGAAUCCACUUAAAUUUUUUUCACAAGUAUUUAAUUUUUUUUAUAUCAUUUGUAACUAAUUAUUAUAAUAAUUUAAAACAUAUCUAAUUCGCUGCUUUAAUCGUGAUUUUACUAUAUCAUCCCCUAAUUAAUUAUUAUAAAUUAUUUAAGUAUUAAAAAAUUAAUAUAAUUUCAUAGAAAAAGUAAAAUAUACACAAAAUAAAAGUUAACUCUUAAUAUCUUAAAUUAACGUGUCGACUUAAAUAAGAUUCAUUUAAUUUUUUUUAUAAAUAUUUUUUAUAAUAGUUUUUUAUAUUACUUUUAAUUAGUUAUUAUAAUUCAAUUAAAUAUUAAAAAAUAAAUACUAAUAUUUAAUAACUGACACAAAAUAGAUAUAAAAUACUCCCUCCAUUUUAUUUUACGUGUCAUAAUUUGACUAAGGAUGGAGUCUAAAAAAUAAAAAAAGACUAUGAUUUUUUUAUCAAAUUGUCUUCUAUUAAAAAAAAUGUACUACUAGUAUCUUUAAUUAAGUGGAACCUCAUAAGUUGUACCAAUAAAGAUAAAAGUGAAAUUGUAUCUUUAAAUAAUUAUUAAAUAAGAAAAUAUGCAUUCUUUUUUAUAUAGACCCAAAAAAAAAAUAACGAAACAUAAAAUAGGAUGGAAGGAGUAACAAAUUAAAAAUGAUUGAAUGAAGUAUUUUGCAACGGUAAUAUCUGUGUCAAAAACGACUUACUAAUAUCUAAAUGAUUAAAUUUAAACAAAAUAUUAAAUACAUAGUUGCGAAUUAAGAACUGAAUUAUCAAAAUUUAUUUUUUAUUAGACAUAAAUGAAGCAUAAAAUACGUAAAUAAGGGAAUUAAUUUUUUGUUACUAUUUUAUCAUUUCAAUUCACUUGACAACAUUUAAUCAAGCAUGGAGUAGAAAAAUAAAAUGCUUUUGAAAUUCGUAAAUAAAUAAACGUUAAAUUUUUUACGAUCAUAAAAUAUUUUAUCAAAAAAUAAAACAAAAAUUGUAAAAAUAAAUUGUUUCUUCUCAUCACUCACUACAUGCCACUAUUUACUUACAAUAAAUAGAAAUUAUGUUAGGAACACAAAAUAACCGUCCACCAUGAGAAGUCCAACAAGGUACUACAACCAAAUACCGAACAAAUAGUAGUAGUAUUUGUUAUAGCUCUCGAGGCUUGAGCAUUUCUAGCUGAAGCUCCUGGACUCAAAAUCUACCUUCCUAGACCCACAUCCUCAUUUCGCGGUCUCCGAUUUUGUAAUCCAAAUUUAGUUGAUUCGAUUCUGAAAAGAUCGCGGUGCAACUCACGGUUGAAAUUUUUUGAGGGAUCUGUGAUGGUAGUGUAUUAUAGAAGUGCGACUUAAAGGAUUGAUUUUAAUAUAAUAGUUCUCGUGUGUUAUUAAGAACUUUUACUCCUCCCACUCUUCGAUAUAAUGAAUUCCUCCUCCUCUCUAUGAUUUUUCUCAUCAAAGAUUUUCACUUAAAUCUAUGUGUAUUCAUCUUAUUUUUCUUUUGCUUAUCAUAUUGCUUAUUUAUGUUUGAUUUCAUAUUACUUAAUUUGCAUAGUGGCAUGUUCGUAUAUUUUACACGGACCCUUCAUGAGUCUUGAGAUUUGGAUAUCUUCAAACAAACAGACACUGCAAUAGAGAAAAACGGCAAGCUAGUAACGUGACUAUAUGAAAGCAGUAUUAGACCUGCAAGAAAAGUGAAGGAGCUGAUGAUUCCACAAACUUCAUAAAAACAAAGAAAUAAUACUGAAUAGAUUCACUACAUUUGGCCAUGUCAGAGCUGCAGCCAAGUAGAAGUUGUACUAAAUAUGCCCCACAACAACUCACUUGGCUACUAAUUCUGCAAUCCAAAAACCGUCACACAUAUAAAUCCGAUUACCAAAAUCAAAACUUUAACAGGAAAGUAAUCCUAUAGGUUAAGGCUCCUCCAAAGAAGUUCAGAUAAACUUGUUGUCUUUCACAAGAAUAUGUAAUUUAACACAAUAACUUUAAUAUUAAUUCAAGUUUAAAACAAUAACAUUAUAGAGUUAAUCUUUUUAAGAAAUAUAUAUUUUUUCAGAAAUUUAGAUGAAAUAAAAAUAUAAAGCCAAAUCCCCUAACUUCACAGAAGUUCCUUAAAAAAUAAUUCCCUUCAUUUUAUCCAAAAUUUUUUUAGAAUCUUCCUUAAAAUGACUUUCAAUUCACUGUACCCAAAGUUUUAGAAUCUUCCAAUUAUAAUAAUACCUCAGAUAAUUAAAUUCGUCAAACUCAGCGAUUUGAUUGAUCACAACAAAUAUUUUGAAGACAAAAAGUUUGUAUUUCAGAAAAAAAAAAAUUCCUACCAAAAUCUGUUGAUAAAUGCAGAUUUAUAUAAUCAUCAAAUGCCCCUUCCAAAAAAUGAUAAUGAUUCAUCAAACAAUGUGUAUCCUUUAAAAAAUCAUGUCUGUUCAUUCAAAACAUUUUUUUUUAAACAGACACAACUAUCUGAACAAUUAUUCUUUUACAAAAGAAUUGUGUCCCUUUAUUUUUUAUUCACACCAAUUAAACCCAACAAAACCAACAAAACUAAAUUAACAAAGCACCCUUCACCCAAGUAAAUAUUAUCAGCCAAUUUAGAGCCUAAUUUAGAAAAAAAAAAAAAAAAAAAAAAAAGGAAGGUGCUCCUGCGACGCUUCCCUUUAGAUUCGUCCCUUUAGAUCAUUUUAAGGAAGUAAGGACUAAUCAAACUUAUCAACCCAACAAUAUAUAGAUAGGUGUUAACUCCAUAAUAAAAGAACAAGUAGGAUAAUGCAAUUAGAAAGAGUUGGCAACGCAAACAGUGGAGAUGCACCAGCAGAAAGCAUUCCCUUCUUUUCACUGACCUCCCCAGAUAAAUUAUAGAGAUAACAUCAUGUUAAAUAAAUAUCAACACUAGAAAGCUAAAGCCAGAUUACACACCCAAUACAAAGCUACAAAAGAUUUGACAUACUAAUUACACUAAAUAGACCGAUAGAAGACAGCAGACCAAAUGCACCAAGCAUUCCAAACUUCCAAUAGAUGCUUAGGAUGGCAUGGCAUCUAGGUAGACAAAGGCAGCAAAUCAGAAGCACGCUAAAAGCCAGCAAUUGUAGCAUAGAAUAGAUUAUAUUCUCUCUCGACAUACUACUAGAUAAAAUAUCUAUCAAAUUAAAAGAACAGUCCAGCGUACUAGUAAAUAUAUCAACUAUAACUUACAAAAUCAUAAAAGUCGCACAAUAAUUUCAUUGAAGCUUGAUACUUCGUAAGUGAAUGAAAUUAGACAAACAUAUAUCUUUGUUUAUAGAAGAGAAGAGUAUGAAAUGAAGCUCAACACACAAACAUGACAAAGAUCAAUCGAACAACUACAAACAUGUGGAGAGUGAGCAACAACUUUAGUCAAAAACAUACAAAUGCAAGGAAGGAAAAAGAGAAACAACAAUUUAAAAUAAAUGCUAAAAGGAAAUUAUUCAUUAAUCAAACUCUCACAACAUUUUCUUGUUUACAACUCCAAAGCCAAGACCCACAACUUAGACAAUUACACAGACACAUAAUUCAGAUUACACCAAACAUAACUUACUAAGGACUUUAAAACAACAGUUGAUCUGCAUGGACUUGUUUAACCAGAGAUAUCAAUUGCCUUCACCUCAGAUCUCUUCUCCUCUUCUUUAGGAACAGUUACAGUGAGCACUCCAUUCUCCAUAGCUGCUUUAAUUUCCCCCAUCUUCGUAUUCUCCGGCAGCCUAAAUCUCCUCAAAAACUUGCCACUGCUCCUCUCCAUACGGUGCCACUGAUCAUUCUUCUCCUCCUGCUCUCUGCUCCUCUCACCGCUUAUCUGUAAUAUCCUUCCUUCUU